UUUUUUUUUUUUUUUUGUUUUCUCGAUAGGAUAAAUUCAUACACUAGGGGAAGGGAAGGAUUUGUAGAGGUCCAAGGGUAACAAUGAGAUAAUUGAAUCAUCACCGGAUCAUACGAGUGUAUUAUGCACCCGUCUGAAUUUUUUAAACAGAGUCACUUUUUAAGAUGAAGAAUUAGUCGGAGGUAAGGUUUGAAUGCAUUGAUGGUGGCCACCAACUCAAAGGCUAGUGGUUAGUCCAUGAGAGUAGUAAUUGUUAUAUUAGAGCUUAUCUAAUGGGUGCUUACUUGGCUAUAGUUAAUAAGGAAUUUAUGUGUUAAUUUUUUAAUAAAUUUUUUAACGGAUGUCUAAUAUACAUUCGCUAGUAAAUUACAUCUAAUUUACUAUGCGAAUAUGUGUAUUAUGUUUAUCGUUCCCUUUGCGUUUAGUCGCUUUGAAUUAAUUUUUUAUUUUUUUAAAUUAACAACUAAUGUCAUUUGUCAGCCAAAUCCAAUUGAAUAUAACAAAAAAUGUACUAAUUGGUACCCAUUGAGUUCUCACUACAUAAAUCCUUACACUUUGAAAAUUUUGGUGGGGACAAAAAUAAUCGGAGAAGAAGUGACAGGUGCUAGUCUUUGAAGUAUUAGAGAUUCUAAGGCUUUGCUCGAAUCGCUAGAUUUUAUAGACACUGCAUAUAUAUUUCAUAUACAUCACAAUGACAUAUUUCAGAAAUACAAACAACUACUACUUUUCUACCCAAAAAAAAAAAAAACACUCCUGAAACUUCUAGAAAAUGCAAUCCAUACCCGCUCCAACUUUAUCGAAUUCAUAAGCGAUUGCUGAAACAUUUGACAGUCAUCCGGCUUGGUUGAGGUUACAACACCUGAAGCGAUUGCUGAAACUAGUUAGCACGUUAUCUUUUUCUGUCAAGAUAUCCAUUAAUCAUUAAGAACACGACGAAUGCUCAUAUGGCAAUGGAAACAGAGUGAAUUAAGAGGGAAAAAUGAAAGAGUGGCCCUCCCCUCCCUCUGGUGUUUUAGAUCUGAGGUUGGAGAAUGGCUUGGAUGUACACGGCCAAUUAAAACAGCUAUCGUAAGGAUAGUUUGGACAUUUUGAGGACAGAAUCUCCAGUUCUUAAUGCUCAAAUGUUCAACAAACUUUAGGACAGGCAAAGGCUUACGUUGUUGUGAGUUGUGACAACCAAAAAGCUUAUCGUAGAGUUGAGUUGCCAGCAAAGUGAAUCACGUGCUGGGCAAAUGGCAAGCAUCAUAAAUGCAGGAAACCCAUCAGGAUCGAUCCCCAAAUUUUGACCCAAUAUUUUCAGACCAGAGAGAGAAAUGUACUAAUGUAGGGAACCCAAUGGUGAUCCUGCAUUUAUUUCCAAUACUGAUCAGGUCCAAGAUCAUUUAACCGGAGUUUGUAUAAAUGAGGAGAGAGUUGUUUACUUCCUUUAAAGGCAAACUUGCACUCAUUGAUUCAUCUCCCUUCCCAACGCAACCCCUUCCCCCUCCCCCAGUUGAGUUGAGUACUUGAGGGUUGAAUUCAAUAAAAAUGAUCCCGAAAGCGGCAGAACAGAACCACCCCAUUUGCCAAGAAGAAGAGUUUUCUCUGUCAAGCAAAGCCAAACCCCGCUGCCCCCCAACUGACCACCCAAUGCCCCCACUCUCCACCGCACGCCACUAGGUUGCCUGCCAUCUUUCAUCAUCGGCCUAAAACAAAAUUAUAACUAAUUAAUUCACGCUUUUAUCCGACCUCUUAACCACUCACACUGGUCACCAGGAUCCACGAAGAAGCACAAACAACUCUUUGAUUUGCACGCCCGUGCUUUUUAGGCAUAUAGACUUUUCUCUCAGGUUCUUUCGUGGUAAAAAUAAGAAGAUUUUGCAAUAAAGUUGUAAAGAAAGAUGAGCAGUAGGAAGCUACAUCACAUGUUCAAGAUAAUUUUUUGCCAACUCCUCCCACUGUACACGGAAAAAAGAAAAAAAGCACUUUCAAACUUACCGAUAGCUCCCAUUUACCUUCAAGGUUACAGAGUCAACCCAGGCCCUUUUUACCCUCCUCUUUCCUCCCCAACUUAAAAAGGAACAAAGCAAAUGAUCACAAAAAGAAAAAGCUAGGCCAACCCCAUUCCGGGAAACUUAAGAUUAAAUAUGGAAAAAGCUAAAUCCUACAAUAAACUAAACAAUCCAACCAAGCCCGUCCAACCCCCUCUCUUCCCCCCCCAAAAAAAAAGGAAAAAAACCAUUCAGUAGAGAGCUCUGCUUAAAUGCUAAGGAGAUCAGGUGGAGGGGACUGAGGUGGUGGUGGUUGCUGAUGGUCUUUGGAGUCCACAGGAGUUGUGCUUGGAGACUCCACUGUGGACGCCGGUGGGGGAGAUUCCGUGUCUGUUGAGUCUCCCUGUUUGCCGUUGGCUGGCUUUGGUAGCUCAGUCAGUAUUUGCACAACCUCCCUCAUUGUGGGCCGCUCCACUGCCUGUUCUUCAACACAGAGCAUCGCCACAUAAAAUACAUGCAUCACCUCAUGAAGGGGAACUGUAGGGAGUCUUGGAUCAAGGAUCUUGAGUACUCCUUCCUUGUUCCCAUCGGUCAUCUUCCUCACCCAUUGUACUAUGUCAACCCCAUCACCAAAUUCCCCUACUGGCUUUCUCCCACUCACUAAUUCCAAGAGAACUACACCAAAGCUGUAUACAUCGCUUUUCUCAUCAACUUUGAGCGUGUAGGCAUAUUCUGCGAUUUAAAAAAAAAACAAUGAUUAAAAACAAUUAAUCUGAAACACAUUAAUGUAAUUAUUGCUUGCAUAGACCAGAAUUGCAACUCUAAGUACAUCUGACAAUAAUUAAGAGAUUAUUUUAACACCAAUGCUUUGACCAAAUAGCAUGAUAUUCAUACCUACCAGAAAAAACAAAUGUUAGCAUGCUAGCCAUAUCCUGUAGACUCAAAUUAGUCUCCGAGACAAUGUUGGCUUUGAAUUUGCCAUCCAAAUUACUCCGUAGAAUAGUAAUAAACCCACCACACCAAUAUAGUACCUAACUAGUUGGAGAUCAAAUUGAGUCCUUUCAAUGACUUUCCUUAAUAAAUUAAAGUCAAACGCUACAGGACCAUUAAGUUCAUGUUCAUUUCAAGUGUUUUCCUCCAGACGUUAACUGUCUAAAACAGCUAAAGGGACUGAUGAGUAUUGAGCCAAUAUUCUCAAAGGCAAGAAGGAAGUGUAUAGUCAAGGUGACAAACUAGUACUUGGAAAUACAAUAAAGGCGCACAUGGUAUGUAAAUUGGAGAAUCAAGUCAAGAAAUUCAAGAAACAAAUCAAUGUCAGAUCUCAACGUAAAGAGUCUUACCAGUCAAAAGUCAGUGCAGUUCCAAUUUCAAAAAGGGAUUACCAACUUCAUACAGUAAACAAGAUAAUUAUGAGCAGAAAAAUACCAAAAUUCCUCUUCCAAUACUACUAUUGAGAAAUCGUGCAUUUGAGCAGUACCUGGUGCAAUGUAACCAUAGGAACCAGCUAUAGCAGACAUGCAUUCAGAUGUUCCUGAAUCUUGCAAGAACUUGGCAAGUCCAAAAUCAGCCACAUGAGCCUCAAAGUUAGAAUCCAAAAGGAUGUUAUUGGAUUUCACAUCACGAUGGACAAUCAAAGGCGAGCAAUCGUGAUGAAGAUAGCAAAGGCCCUUAGCAGCCUCCACAGCAAUUUUAUACCGUGUAUCCCAAUGCAAAUGACCCCCUUUCUUGCCAUGAAGCAUUUCUCCCAAACUCCCAUUAGGCAUAUACUCAUAAACCAAAAGAUUAGUCUCAUGGUUAGAACAGAAUCCCAACAAUCUAACAAUGUGCCUGUGCCUAAUCCUCCCAAGAGUCUGAAUUUCAGCAUUGAACCCAUGAUCAUGGGAUGAGCCUCGGCUCAUCGCGGGCAACCUCUUCACAGCAACAUGUUCUCCAUUAGGCAUUGCCCCUUUGUACACAAUCCCGGCACCUCCUUUCCCAAUGAUAUUAUCCUCCUUCAAGGAAUCCAAAACAUCAUCACAAGUAAAAUCCAGGCGUUGGAAAGCCGUAAGCUUCCAAGCACGGGCCUCACUCGCCUUCUUUAGCGAACGUGCUUUGAUAAUUGCAGCAACUGCGAACACGAUCGAGCAAACAAGCAAGCCAAUCACAAGCAAAAGCUUCAUAGAGGGCGAAAAGGCUCCUCUCUCAUGAGGUUUAGUACUUCCAUUAACAAUCCCUUCUUUGCAGGGUCCCAAGUAAGGGCCACAAAGAUCAGGGUUGCCCAAAAACGAAGUAUAAUUGAAAUAACUAAACUGACCCGUCCCAGGAACCAUCCCAGACAAAUUGUUGUACGAAAAGUCAACAGAAGUUAAGCUCUGCAUGGAUGCUAUUGGAGACGGAAUGCUUCCAACUAAAUGAUUUCUUGACAAAUUCAAAUAGUUCAAUAUUCUCAUACCUGUGAUCUCAGUUGGGAUUUCACCAGCGAGCUGGUUCCUACUGAGGUCGACAAAAGUCAAGAGCUUGCAUUCGCUGAUUUCAGGGGCAAUGGGGCCUGAAAAGCUAUUGUGGCUGAAAUCAAUUUUUGAUAGUUGCUGCAACUUUCCUAUUUCAGCCGGAAUGGGGCCAGUAAACUUGUUCCCAUCAAGCAAAAACUUUUGUACACCCACGAAAUUCCCAAUACUCGGGGGCAGCGGCCCAGAUAAACGAUUGUUUGAAAGGCUAAUCUGGCCGAGAGCAGUCGAUGUUUUAUCCGUCUCCGGAAAUGAGCCUGUUAAAAGAUUGUCCUGAAGCUCAACUUGAGUAAGCUGUGGCAAACUCAAGAGCCCUUUUGGGAUCGACCCAUUGAGAUAAUUCUCACCCAUCCGAAGUCGACUCAGCGACUCGCAUUGGCCCAAGGAUUCAGGAAUCGUCCCAAAGAGAAAGUUUCCCAGAGUAAUCAAUGUCUGUAACUUGUUUCCGGUACAAAUAUUUGGGGGCAAAUUUCCAGUCAAUUUGUUCGAACUGAGGUCCAGAUUUUGAAGCUUCCCAUUAGUCCCCAGCCCUUGUGGGAUGCUUCCAGUGAAAUUGUUAUCCCAUAACUGCAACACCUCCAGCUCCGGCAAGUCUCCAAUGAAGUCCGGUAUCGACCCGUGAAGCUGGUUUCGGAAAAGAUUCAAGAGAGUGAGAUUUUUCAGCUGGGCAAACGAGGAAGGUAUUUCGCCGGUGAACAUGUUGUUGGACAGAUCCAUAGAUUUCAAGCUUUUCAAGUAUCCCAGCUCCGACGUCAACGGCCCAGAAAGCGCAUUCACUUGAAGAAAGAGGGUAUCCAAGUUCUGCAGCAUCCCAAGCUCCGGCGGAACCUCGCCGGAGAGGCCACAGUUGGCGGCAUCAAAACGCAGAAGCUGCGAUAAGUUACCAAUUUGGGGUGGGAUCCCGCCGGAGAAAGUGUUGAAGUAGCCAAUGUAAAGGUGUUGAAGCUUGGUCAAGUUUGCUAUCUCCGGGGGGAUCCUACCGGCGAGCUCGUUGCCGGAAACGGCGAGGUAUUCGAGAUUAGGAAAAGAACCAUACUCGGCGGGAAUGCCGCCGGAGAAGUAGUUGCCGCCCAAGUGGAGAUGCCUGAGGUUGGUUAGCUGGUAAACGUCCACAGGCAAAGGGCCGGACAUGUUAUUAUUGUAGAAAUCAAGCACCUCAAGAUUUUUGAGGCGAAUGAGCUGCCGGGGGAAGGUGAGGUUAAAGAUAUUGUUGGAGAGGUUAAGGUAGCGGAGAGUGGAGAUGGAGGAGAUUUCAGGAGGGACAGGACCACAGAACUGGUUGGCGGCGACGGAGAGGUUGAGGAGAAGGCGGAGAUGGGAAACGUCAGGGGAAAGGGAGCCAGUGAGAUUAAGUCCGGAAAUGUCAAGAGCAGUCACGUGACGGCCAUAGGAGUCGCAGGUGACGCCAGACCAGGAGCAAUGAGUAGUGGAGUCAUUCCAGGAAGCCAAAGAAGAUUGCGGGUCGGCGGUGAUGGCAGAUUUUAUGGAGAGUAAUGCCUUGUACUCCGGCAUUCGGGGUGUUCUUGCGGCAAAGCAAGAAUGGAGAUGGAGUAGGAGAAAGAGGAGGAGAACAAAACGCAUUUUCAGUUUGCGGUAGGGGAAGCGUAGAAGAAGAGUGGGGAGGGGACUGGCUACUGUGUACUGAGUUGAGGAGGGUGGGAAAACUGGAAUACUUGCCACUACUGCUAGAAAGCUAUAAGAAAGAAGGGUGUGGGCUUUAUUUUAAUGGGUAUUUUUUAUUUUUUAUUUUUUUUUAAAAAAAAAAAAGAAGAAAAAAAGGUGUGUAGUCUUUCCUUUUGGGUGGGUAUUAGUUAAGGAUUUGGUGAUUUUGCUUUUGGAAUUUUUGUGAUGAGAAGGGAAGAGUGGGGAUUAAAAGAACAUUUUGAAUGUCCUGACUGCCUAAAAUUGUACUGCUGAGAUUGAUUAAAAGGUGGGGGCGGGGCCGUACGUAGUUGGAUCAUUCAGGGGCCGGGCACUCAGUACUCAGUACUCAGUACUCAGUACUGGCGCCGUAGGCCUUUGUGAGACGACACCGGGACCGGACAACCCAUCCCCCACCGCACCCCACUCCCCAUCCCAUCUUGGAAAUGGCUGCCUUUUUCUCUUUUCAAAAGCCUUCUUUUUCUCUUCGAGGUAUAUAAAAGCCAUCUUUUUGGCUUUUGGCUGUCCAUUCGAUAAAACGCUUCAUUUUGUUUGAGAAAUGAGACUUGAAUAUAUAAUUUCUUUUGUUUUCAAACGAAAAAAAAAAAUUAAUAAUAUGCUAGGCUAUAAAUGGCUAAGCAAGAGACAGCAAGCCCUAAUUGAGCUCUAAAUAGAAAAAUUAUUAGUAGCUUAAAAUCUCCCUUUUUUUUUUUUUUCCCUGUCCUAGGGAUUAUUUACAUUUAACGUCACCCUUGUCCUGUGGAACUAUUAACAGCAGCACCCUUUUCCCUCCCUCUCCAUGAGUUGCAGAACUCAGAGAUAUAUCACUUAAUUCAUGGGUUAAACAUUUGAUAUACUAAAAAGCAUAUAAUAUCAAAGAAGAAAUGUUUAUUGUUAAUCAAAUAAAUACGAAGCAAAUCUGACUCUAUAGCUUUUAGAGUUUGAGUUUACGUGGAUAUAUGAGUUUAACGUUCUAAAUAGUAAAGGGAUUAUAAUGGUACAUAUGAUACCAUUCAUGGCUUGGGAGUGUAUUAAAAGGAGUCUCUUUUUUUUUUUUUUGGGGGGUGGGUUUAAGUAGUAUCUUGGAAGCUACGUUGACUUAAUUUACGUUGUAUGACAUUAUUGUUUAGUGAAGACGCCAGACUACAAAUUGGCACUCUCCCAUAAUUACUCCUCUCUUUUAACUACUCUUUUUCUCUCUCUCUCUCUCUCUUUUUUUUUUUUUUUUUGAAGAAACUACUCUCUGUUUUGAUUAGGCAUGUUAAUAGGUGCAAAGCUGAGUGUAAUCUCUUUUAUCCAAAUCUAGAUCUAUUAAAUUUGAUUAAAUCCAAACUGUUAUGGGUCUAAAAAGCAAAUUCAGACUCAAACCUUAUAAUAUCCAAUGGAUAUUCGUCAUGUUUUUCUAAACAUACUGAAAUAAAAAAUUAUUAAAACAUGUAGAGUUCAAAAACAAUAUAAAUAUCACCCAAUUUUUACUUUCAAAUAAUAAAAUUAAUAUUCAAGAAGUGAAGUGCAAUAUUAUGAACUAAAUUAACUACUUCUCUUUAUUUUCAAAGUUUUAUAUCAAUGUCCAAUACUAUUUUAUAAAUUUACUCGUAUAUAUGUAUAGAUACACACUAGUAUUUAAUUAUAUAUACAUGGUUUUGGAUUUUGGUAUGGAAUUACAGGGGUCUGGGUAUGAGUUUAAGAAAUUAAAUCGAAAUGCAAUCCAAUUAUAUUGGAUUUGGGUAAGAUCUGGCCCAAUAAUAUGACUAGUCUCAAAAUCGACUUACUAUUACAACAUCAAAUCAACAUAUAUAAGAGCUGUUUAGGUUGCUAUUUUCUAGGAUUUUUUGAGAAUAAAUAAAUUUAUUAUAAUGGCAUGAUGUAUGUAAAGUAAAAAGGUGAUCGCAAAAUAUAUUCACAAAAAAUAUAAAAAUAUUUAAAAAAUGACAAUUCAAAUAAUGUAUUUCUAAAUUGCCAUUACGUACAAACUAGAUUAGUAAAAGGAUAAAUGUGUAAACAAAAUCUUAUGCCAGUAAUAUUGUAAAAAAUAAAAUAGAUAUGUCAUUUUUGCAGAUUAAAAACGUCUAUUUAUGGGGUAAACAAAAAAAAAAAACAUCUAUUUAGUUGUAUCAAGCAAAAGGCCACAAAAUAAAUUUGACGGGAGCGCGCGUGAUCUAUAUAUUGCCAUUAUAUAGCAAGAGCGGAUUAUAAGAAAGCCCCAAAACCGUGCCCAAAAUUUGGCUUUCGACAUCGGUUAAAAAGGGUAGCACCGAAUGGGUACGUUAAAGUUCAGCCUCAACCACUAAAUGCCCGUUCCUUUCAGUACAAUACCUCUUGUUUUUCUUGUUUUAAUCUCUGAUCAUCCACGGCGAAUUGGUGAGCAACUUUGUUGUUUCGUUUGAGCUCUCUCUCCUUGCAACUGUUGAUUCAGUCAUUAGACACGCCCAUGCAAUGCAAACCUUGUGACCUUAUUGACACAAUCAUCAAAUUGUAUCAGACACCUCCCCCCCCCCCCCCUCCCUCCAAAAAAAAAAAAACUCUCCUUUUUCAAUUCAGUUACGAAAAAGUCAUUAAAAAGGCACAAGAUUGUCAUGCUAUAAGUACUGGGAAUAGCGAAAUUUUAAAAAAAAAGGAUAUACAAGAUAUAUCUCAUCUUUAUCAUAGUGUUUUUUUUUUCCUGCUUGAUUGAUUAUAAGUUUAUAACUACAGAGCGAAGACGACCUAUACUACAGUAUUACUUCGAGAAUGACGUCAAGGUUUAUCUCUAAUUCAAUCCGAUAUUUUAUAUAUAUAUAUAUAUAUAUAUAUAUAUAUAUAUAUAUAUAUAUAUUUUUUUUUUUAAAAAAAAAGAAGAAAGUAAUACUCACUAGCUGAUACGGAAGCAUUCAUUCGUGCCCACCUCGCAAUCAAUCAAUAAAGGUUCCAAAAAAAAAAAAAAAAAAGAACAUUAAUCAGGUACUGCUCAUAAUUACAACAGUAAUGAUUUUGUUUGUUCUGAUAAAGCAUGGUCAAACAUGGCUGACUGACAAAAUGGGCUGAGAUGCUCUUGGGGAGGUGGUGGGGUUGUUUGCUAAUAAUCUAUCACAUUGCUACUGUACCCCCUUCAAAUUAAUCAUAGUAGACUGGAACCCCCUCCUUCGUCCUUUCCCUCUGCUCCUUGCAAUUCACAAGUUAUUUUACAGAAGAAGACAGAAGGACGAAUUUGCAAUAUCUUGGAUUAUAGCAGAUAGUUCUCGCUAUGGAGGAUACGCAGGCAACAACUAAUUAGUGGAGUGUGGACCAACCUAGCCAUAGAUAAUAUAUGGGUGAAACUGGGGCAGAACUGAGGGAAAAUUGACCAACCAGUCCCCCGAUUUGGACCCCCCACCCAAGAAGCCCCAAUCCAGGGAAAACGAAAGUGACCGCCAGGCGCCAGCAACAGCGGCAGGAGACGAUAUAGUUUCUACUUUGCCCCCCCCUCCACCUUGUGCCAUUUAAUGACUUCCAAGCUACUGUCCCUUUCCCAGUGCCAGCUCAUGCAUGAGGCCUUGGGGCCCAAAGCUUUUCUUCUCUUUUUUCAAAUCUAACGUAUCUAUCUAUGUGCUGCUGGGGGACUGGGUUGAGAGAAUUUCUUUUCUGUUUUUUUUUUAAUGGAAAAUAAUGAAAGGGAUGAUCAAUAAUGUUGUUAUUAAGCAAGCUAAUCCAAGCACGCAUUAAUUGAUGUCUUAACGAGAUUUCUGACGACGGCUAGCUCUAUUUCUUAUUUCACGCAUGUUAUGAACUAGUAGAGUGUUAGUUAUAGUAUCAGGAUUUUAAAUCAAUUAUUUUUAUUCACUAUUUUCCUCAUUAAUACUACUACUAGAUGGUCCAUUCAAACUAGAUAAUUUAUAUUACCGAAUUAUUCUUGAAACUCUAGUUUUUCAAUGCAGUGUCAGCUUAGUCAAUAUUAUAAUAUUUGACUCGAUAUUAUUGUAUUUAUUCCCCCAACUAAAACGAUUAACUAAUGAAUUACUACUAGCAUAUUUUCUGGUAACAAUACACAUUAAAUAUGUGACAGAAGGAUUACUACUUUCACCAGAUAAAAUCAAUAUGAAUUUGGGCGAAUUUGGAUGGUUUCAUUUUUUUUUUUCUUUUGUCUGUGUGUGUGUGUGUGUGUGUGGGGUGGGGCGGGGGCGGAAUUGAGGGGGACAGACAGCCAUGGAAAGGCUAAAAGAUUUAUUAACAGUUGAUAGUAGUCAUUAAGGGGGAGAAGGGAGUGGUUAAUUAGAGAGAUUCCCCGAGGUUUGAUACUCUAAACUUAGUAAAAGCAAAGACUCGGGACUCGCCUAAAAACGCCAAGUCCGAAGCUCCUCCACCGCCAGAAGACACGAUUUAGCCUUUCAAUGAACGGACCUUAAUUUCCAUUAUAAUCUGUCUCGAUCCCUGUUCCUCUUGUCCCCUUCCUUUUGGAAUCCCCCCUCUCUUUUCCCUGUUUCUUGCGCGUUGCAGCUAUAUCUAUUAGCCCCUUAUGCACUGCAGUCUCUUUACAGGCUCAUUUUCCUCCUAAAUUAGAAUGAUAGAUUAGAUUAUAAAAAUGUUCUUUUUAUUGUAAAAAAAGAAAAGAAAAGAAAAGAAAAAGACCGUACCUCAGAAAGUCCAAACCCCAAGCCUGUAGCAUAUCAAGUCUAAAGUAUUCUUCUUGUCAUUUCAUUUGAAAACAAGAAAAGAUUAAUCGAAAAAUAAUUAUAACCUUAUAUUAGAUUAUGAGCUAGCUUCAUCUUAAUUCGGUUUUAGCCGGCCAAAUCAAGUGAACUGACCGUGGAUGGAAAUUCUCUUCUUCUAAGGAAUUAGCCAAUAUAUAGAGACCUGUGAUUUGUACCAGGCUGUAGUGUAUAUAGUGACCGCCACUUUUGGUUAUGGUACCAAUGCAAUGCAUACAAUAAUACAAAAGUCCCUGAGCCUUAGUGUUAGCAUAAUAAGCUGUAAUAUGCGGAUUUUGUUAUUUGCAUUUGUCCAUUUGCCAUAAACCGAAAUUGCUAAUGACGCCAAGCUUCUAUCUUAUAAUUUAUAUUAGUGCAAGUCGUUUUCUCAUUUGUAUUGCAUGUGUCGUUCUUUGGAUGUGAUUAGUAGGAGCUUCAUGCGGACGCCUAUCUGGAAGCUCGUUAGCUGAUGAUUACUGUUAAGUUAUUGAAAAGAAAAAAAAAAAAGGCAAUACUAACAAAAGCUGUUGUGGGGGGUGGGGAAGAGCGAAAAAAUGUCUACUAUAGUAAGUAAUAUCUAAGAAAAAACCGUGCAAAAAUGAAGAUGUGAAAGGAGUUUUUCUCACACAAGACACAACAACGUUGAAUACUCAGCUGGUGACAGAGUUUGAAUGCCACAGAGCUUUACUUGAAAAGAAGUGGAACGAAUUGGCACUCAGGUCCUCAGGACAGGACCCUUUUCAUAGACAUUAUUGAUUCGCAAAAUGGGAUUCUUUUUCUUUCAAUUCACACACACACUCUCUCUCUCUCUCUAUAUAUAUAUAUAUAUAUAUGUUUUUUUUUGUUUGGGGGAGAAGAGGGGAAGGGCCGAAGGGGGAAGGGACGUUUAAAGAUCCAUACGAGAAUCUAUCAAAGUCCAUUCCGUUUGACCAUAGAGUAAUGGGCAUUGGCAAUCAGUCUUGUGCAACUGCAUAAUUAAAGAUUGGACAUCUCAGGCGCGCAUGAGAUAUACGUAGCUGGAGAGAAAAAAAAAAAAAAAAAGAAUCAAAUUCGAGGCAUGAGUUUUGCCAUGCUUCUUGAUUCCAACAGGCGCAUUUCAUUUUUUUAUUGGUUGCUAGCACAAAUUUCCUGCAUGCAUUUUCUCAAGGCACUAAUUUUUUUUUGUUGUUGCAAUCGUUCGGGGUACUGUGGAAUAGUAGUUAGGAGUAGAUGUAGGUUUGGUAAAGUGUUGAAACUCCUUUAAAUUCAAAAUGUUUGUUUGUUCUUUCUUUCUCUAUCUAUGUUGCGAGUGACCAAUGUGAUGAACUCAUCAAGCAUUUUUCUUAAAAAAAAAAAUUUAUAAACUUAAUUAGUGAAUCUUGAAUUUCUAAAUGUGAUUUCAACGUGCAACCAUCAUAUUUCAUCCAAUUACAUUAACAGUAAAAGUUGUUCACGGCCGAUCACUUGCUCUCCCAGAGUUAAACUCCUCAGGCAAAUUAAGUGCAUACUUGGAAGUUCAUCUUUGAUUUGAGUCUGACUCUCAAAAUGAAAUUUUUUUUUUCUUUUUCCCCUGUGCUGUGGCGUGGAGCGGUGGAGGGCAUGCAGCCCAUUACGAAGAUAUUUACUGUGGGGUGCAGCCCUCACUCAAAAGACUUGCAAGAGAAUUCGGAGUAUCCUGAGAUGAAGAAUUUACUGCGGCAUACGACGAGAUGAAAGCAAUUUUACAUAAAACCACAUGUUGAAGCUAGCGAUACAGUAAUAUUCUCAGCCCCCCACCACCAACCACGCCCCACCCCCCCAAAAAAAAAAAAAAAAAAAUAUAUAUAUAUAUAUAUAAUAAACAAGAAGCUAGUUUUAAGUAUUAACUAAUUGAUAAUGUCGUGACAUUUUGUUUUGUUCGUUUGAUGGAUAAUGAUUUUAGUGCAUGAUUGAGGAAGUCGGCGCUCCAAGUUCUCGCUGCAGUCCUCCCACUUGACAGCGCGAAGCGCGAUACGCGAUAGAGAUUAAUUGCUAAUAGCAGUAUUAGUUAUGAUUUUAAAUUAUUAUUUGCAUGAUUUUAUUUGUUUACAUGUAAUCAACGCGUUUUUCAAUCAUCUUUUUAUCUCACAUGUAUCGCGUAAAAAAAAAAAACGUUAUUUGUAGUAACUAUAUAUUCGCUUUUCAUUAUCUGCCUGGUUUACAAAAUGUUACAAACUAAUAGGCAUUAUUAUGCUAUUCUUAGUUUGCUCUCUUAUGCUGCGAGAGACAAGCAUGCAAAAUAAAUUGAGAGGACGUGACCGCAUAAAUUUUGAACACUAGUUAAAAUUAUUUUCUAGUGUAGCUUCAAUUAUUGGUUGUUAACUUUAGGAGAAGCGUCUCACAUAAUUAAUCACCACUUUUUCCUUCCUUCACUCUCAACGAGUCUCUCGUCUUAGCCACCACUUGCAGAAGAUAGGCAGUUAUGUACCAAGUUUAAACUCCAAAUUCCAGUUUAAAAUACAGUACUACUUAUGCUUGAAUAACUUUUGGCGAGUCCUCUUUAGAAAACCACAGCGACUUAUUAAUUCUGGCUUUUGAAUAAAUUAAGCUAAUUAAUAAGCGUUGAUAAAAUCCACAAUAAAUUUGAAACGAUUAUUACAACUGAUAAUAAGAUGUGCAGUAAGCAAUAAACAAGUAAUUGUACUCCACGUCACUAUAACCAAAAAAAAAAAAAAAAAAAAGAGACGAUUUUUGAUUUUUCUGGUCCAAGCAUUUAUGUUACGGGUAAGGAUUGGGGGGGUGGAAACAAUUUCACUUGCAACAGCUAAAUGGUCGCGGGCUAAUGUGUGGUCUUUGUCUUAUCUUUCCCCGGCCGAAACAAAAGGCCCAAGCUUUCUUUGGACGCAUUUGGGCGAUUUCAAAAAGAAGAAUCUAAUGUUUGUUGGUUGGUCGUCACGGCUAGUCAUCAUUUCAGGUUAUUACUCUGACCAUUUUCCAUCUUCGCUGCUUCAUUUUUUUAUGGGUAUUUCUGCAAAAAGGCUGCUGAAUGGAGUACUACUUUUUUCUUUUCUUUUCUUUUUUCCCCUUCUUUUGUGGGGGGGGGGGGGGGGGGGGAGGGGGGGCUAUUUCAUCUUCUUGCCAGUUAAAUGAACAUAAAACUACUGUAUUGUGAUUGCAGAAGAAAUAGAAGACAAUGAAUGAGACGAUGUUGUUUACUGUAUUGUGUUUGCACCUCUCAAGUCCUUUUCAAACUCUGGCUUACUUUGCGUGUUUGAUUUGAUAGCAGUUUUGUGCAGAAUCUUCGACACACACUGCUGCAAGAUAGGCAGAUACAAUGCUCGCUCUAUUAUUAUUUACUACUACUAACAUGUCCUCUUAUUUUUUACCCACAAGAAAACAAAAACUUUCGCGCAAGAGAAUGUCACGUGCUGACAAGGAAACUGGAUAUAAAUCAAUGUUUCAAGGCUUCAAGCUAAAGGCCUUUGAGUUUCUUUGCUUUCUGUUUUACUUCGCCACUCGCGUGGGCCGGAAGAACUCCGAAAUUUUUCAUGGUUCGUUCUUGGAAUUGAAAUCCAUUCUCGAGGAGACUUAGGAGUAACCCAAUUUGAAGUCCAUCUGCAAUUGAUUGGAGCUCCAGAUACUCUGUUGGAAUUUGAUCGAAUCAUGAGAGUUUGGUGCCUUCUUAGCCAUAGCUUAGGUAUGGACAAGACCAAUGAUACAGAAUCGGACGAGCCCAAUUCUAACGACACGGCCAAGUUGAUCCAAAUUAAACGUUGCACUUUUAGCGGCCACCUUUUUUUUUUGGCUGCUGACUCUCUGUUGCUUGGUCUGAGUCGUAAAAAAAAAAAAAGUCUUAACAAACGGGGAUGAAUGAACUAAAAUUCCACAAUCUCAAUAUCAGAUUACAAUAAUAUAUUAUUAAGGGCAACAGGAACAGGGUUCAAAAUGGUGUGCCUAGGAAUCUGCAUCUCGCGUCUGUGAAGCAGCAAUAAAGAGAGCCCCAGCUCCUGAACCUCCGUGAGAAUGCUCUAUAAUCACAUUGUCAGAGAGGUCACUCCCCAGCAUCUCCCAAACACUGCUAUGCAGAUAGUUUCUAAAGAUGCGAUAAUGCUCAUACAGUCCACCUUCAACCGUAAUUACGCUCUUCUUGUUAGCAAUUCUUCCGAGUUUUUUGACAAUCCCCAUUAUUCCAGCUCCCACAAGACGAGCUCCGCGCUCUGCAACUAUGUCACAGACCUCUGCAACGAUUUCUCUCACCACUGGUGUAGUGCUGGAUAUCUGGGAUAGAUUGGUGGUGCGUUACUAAGAGCCACUGUGCUUGUGCAGACCAGCAGUUUUGUUUGUGUAAUCAGGAUGCAAGUUUUAACCAGUUUGGAUGACAAUGAUAAGCACCAAUUGCUUGUGGACUGAUGGGCAGAAGGUGAAAGAUACAGCGACUAGUGCAAUUAUGCAUAUGACAUGGUAACUAAAUUCGCAGACAAAUACUACUCUCUAUUGUGGACCGGCAAAGUGUGCUUCUGAAUUUUGAUUAUGUCCGGAAAAAGUGUUGUCAGUGGUCAUAAAAACAGAGUUAGCAAAUUUCUACAUGAGAAGAUGGUUAAAGUUACCUCGAAUAUUUCCUUUAGUUUUUCAUCAACCAUUUCAUAAUCCUCUGAUGUGUCCUGGUGCAUAAUAGCCACAUCAUGUGACCUGUCAAAGCACAAGACUUAUGCAAUACAGAUGAAAGAAUAAUUCCAUGAACGAGUGCAUAGAAAUGGCUUGUAGUCUAAUAAUCAAAUGGUCUACCGUGAACUCUCUUCCUUUCCAGUUUCCACCCAAAAAAAAAAAAAAAAAGAAAAAUAUAUUGAUUCUCCUACUACAUUCCUUCAAUUCAUAACCCCACCUCUGCAUCAAUUUCGAUUGCUUCAAAUAAUUAUGACAUCAUAGGGAAAAAAAAUUUGAUCCUGCUCAACGUCAAAGUUUAAGCGUAGUUUCUUUCCUGAACUGUACGGGUAAAUUUACAAAACCAUUAAUGUCAUACCAACUCCAAGUGUCUGGUUUUCUGCUUAAUUGACAUGAAGGAAGGAAUGCAUCUCAGUUCUGGAAUUGCUACCGAACUUAUAUAAUAUCACAAAAUAUUGACUUCCAUUUACCUCAACAAGUAUGGGAUGGUGAGCUUGAUUGGGAGGUUAUCUCCAAAUAAAGCUGCUUCUUGCGCCAUCUUCAGUAGGACUUUUCUAACAAUCUCUCCUAAAUACAUCCCUGAAAUAAGCUUUUCAAAUAUCUGAGACAAAACAAAACAGGAUUCAGGAAGGGAUUCGUAUGACUUAGAAUGCGAAUUCAGACACCUGAUAUCCAAGUUCCCUACCCCGCUACCAGGAUUUGUGCUUUCAGAAUCUAAGGAAGCAUCAAACUCUGUCAUUGGAAGGUGAAUGGAACUAAAAUUUCCCCAAUUCACACUAAUAGCCUGCAGAGUUAUAAUAAGCACGUCAACAACUUAAAUGAUAUGAUGCCUAUAUAAUCUGAAUAUGUGCUUAUACAACAUAUGACAGCACAACCAUUUCUCCGGAGUUGGAUAAUUGGCCCUGCAACUUUUGAACUUCUUGUACUGAUUCUAUAUAAGCAGCAUUAACGGCCAUCCCUAAACUAAGUGCAGCGACACUUUCUCUACUGUAGUACCUUGCCCCAGCCAAACAGCCAAUGACUUCAUCCACCUGGGAAAUCGCCAAGCUAUUUGAGUCAAUUCCUAGCUUGGAGACGCUACACUCUCCUCAAACUUGGGGUUUACUUGCACAAAAAUUACAGAAUCCCAGUUACAACUAACCACCAAAUUGAGGAUCUUACCAUAGCAGAAACUUGCAUUUCCACACCAUGCUUCAGCAAAGCCACAUUAAUUUCAGUCAUCAUCUGUGUCCUGACCUGAUGAAUUUGUUCUGAACAAGAUUACUACACAAUGGAGUCUGAGGAAUCUACAAAAAUUCAUGAAAUCCUUUCAUGGGAAUCAAAUUGUGGCAAUCCUCACACUCCUCUGCAAAUCAUGUAUAAAUAAGUGAAAUCAUGGAAGCCAUUUCAGUGGAACCUCAAUAAUUAGAUUAAGGAUCUAGAUCCUCUUAUCACUCGCAGACUCUGAAAGGUAAGCUCUUACAUCAAUGUGUCAUUUUCACUGUAAAUUUUGAAUACUACACAGUAGUUUCUUUUUUGGCGAGCCAUAAUUUCUAAAUUAGUUCUAUUGCGAUAAAGCAGGUUUUCUAGGAAGGGUAAAUUUACAAGAUUUUCACGGCGACUUUCACUAAUAGUUCCCAACAUAUGCAACAUGUUAACCGGGAAAGCUUCAAAUCAAGGAGCAGACUUAACUGUGUCAUCUGUUAACCUCCUCCAAUCGAUGCCUCUGCACGAGGAGGCUGCGGCUUGGUCAACCGGAGGCGAUAUUGUAAAUCCUAGUUUAAGCUUCUCUAGUUUUGUCUUUCCUGUAAGGUCUUCAUGAAGAGAAACAAAUUUUGAAAGCUCCAAGGCAAUUAGAUCAAAUAAUUCCUGCAUGAACAAGUGGACUUGAGUAGAGAUUAGCUGAUGAAAAACAUUCGACAAAACCUUGCCUGAUGCCUUUAUGGAAGAUUCAUUCUAUUAAGUUGAAAUAUUAUCCCUUAAAUAUUUCUUCCACACAAUUAAACAAUGGAAAGCGAAUGACUUUUGACUUUUGUACUACUCCUCCCUCAAGCAAUGUUCGAGAAAAUCAACAAGCAUAGGCCUUUUGAGUUGUUUAAUUUGAAAGUGAAGACGACAGGCAUUUGGGUAAGACGGUAUUUAUUUAUUGCUACUAAUCACUGCCACCAUUUUCUUUUUCACUUUAUGUUCUAGAGUUGCCAUGUCCACAACCUGAGGUUUAAGCACUUACAUAAUUGAGAAAUGAAAACUACUGCUAGUACUUGCCUUGGAAUCGGCAGAAAUUACACGGAAAGGAAUUUGAACCUCCUCCCUCUGGAAUUCAGAUAAAAUUUCAUUCUUCCCUCCAAGCUGCGCUCUUAGAAUCAAGAAAUUAUCACCGCGAAGGUUUAUUCCAUAGUAUACCCCUUUCUCAUCACUGCCACAAUAUACGUGUAUAUAUAUAUGUAUGUAAUUUACACAAUGGUGUGAUUAUUUACUAUAGCGUCUAAAAUCAAAAUUUUGGAAACAGAGGAGAUUGAUCAUUUGGAGCAGUGUAAAUUACCCAGUGGGAAGUGAACCGGAGUAGAAAGGAAACAUGCCAAGUUUGGAUUGUUCAGAAAUAAGGCCGGUUUGCAUGUCAACCGCCAAGUCAUUAGCCACAAGCCAAAGUUCGGUGACUGGAGUAGCACUCUCCCUCGCAAACUUUCGCAAAAUGCGCUUUGCAUGCCUCCAACUUCGCUCGUUUUGGCGCUUCCAGUGCCUCACUAACACCAUCGCAGCAACAGCAGCAGCUGCAGUUGUUACAGUUACUGCCGCCGCCACCACCUCCUUCCUCAUCUUUUCUAUUCCGGAAUUGUGAAAUGUUUGGCGCGAGUCUCUAGUGGGAAAACUUGCUGUGGAUUGGAUGUCAGAAAGUGGUACCAGAAUAGCAGCGCUUAGGGAUUGUGACGUUUGCUCCGAGUCUUCAACGGAAAAACUUGAGUGGUUGGAAAGUACUACUGCUACCAGAAUAGCAACGUUUGCGCAGGGAUUGAGCGAGUAUGACGGCUUGAGAUCACAUAUGCUAUUCUGGUGAGAUCACCAAAGCUGGCGUUCAACUGAUGGAGCACGUCUUGGGAAAUGACGCAUCAUAUUAUUGAAAAUCUUCUAGAAUAUAUAUCAACUGGUGAAUAGAACAUACUACUGAAUUAUAGCACAACUAAAUUGAAUUAUAGCACUGAAUUAAAUAUUGCACAAAUAUUAUAUACUCCCCCCCCCCCCCUCUCCCUAAAAAAAAAUUGUCCUCAUUUGUAUAUUUGGAAAAAAAGAAAAUUCAUGAGUGUGAGAAAAAAUAAUUGAACAAUUAAGAGAUAGUACUUAAUAUGUCUAUCUGUGCUGAGAACAAAUAUAUACUUUGUGGGAGAGCAUAUGUGUACAAGAGUGUACCAUAUGUGUAAGGGGUGUGAUAUGUACAAGCAAUUCACAAAAUUCAAUAAAAAAUUUUCACUUGAAAUCUUAUCUGCAAAUUAAGAAGUGCUUAAUAUAUUAAGUGCAAAGGAGAUGCCUGCAUUUCAAUGGCAUUCAAGGAUGUCUCUAAUACUACUUUCUCAAAAGGAUUCACUACUGUUACCCACAAUUCUAUACACUACUUGCCGUGUAGAAUCCAAGAGUCCAAGACCAGUUCUUUUCUUUUUAUAUAUAUAUAUUUUAAGUUCAAGUUGAGAGAUUCACAUAACAGAGGUUGCUUACAAAAAUGAUAGCAACAUCCAAAGUUGCAAUCUCAAAUCUCAGUUCAUCAGAGAAAACAUUCGUCAGCAACAUACACAUCUCAAUGUCUAACUUCAUGUACCGACAACCACCAGAGGGUCUAGAUGAUGAAACAAUUCACCCCCCCCCCCAUGUUUUGUUAACACAAGAUGCAUAGUGAACGGGGGAAAUAGAACACUGUCGUUCAGAUGAAUUAACCAUUUUGUCCAUUCAGCUCCCAGAAGAACGACACUUUCCCCUCACACUAAAUUACGUAUGAGCAGAAAACAAACAAUAAGGCUACAAUAGACUAUCUUGAAUAACUACCUGCAUCUACAAAUAAUCAGAGAUCCUUGCCACGAGCAAUCCAUCUUCACCAACUGGGAAGUCAAAUUUCACGACCAGGAGAGAGGACUUGUCAAUGUUACUAAAUCCCCUAUGCUGGUCACAAACUCAGUCCUCCCGAGUCCAGAUUUUGACUGUCUUGUCCUCUCCGAGAGCACCAGAUGCUAUCAUGUUUUCGGUUGGGUGACAUGAUACAGAUACGACAGUAUCAGUAUGACCUUCCAGUUUUUGAACAAUCUUCCUUGACUGAAGCUCCCAUAAGUAGAUAGAAUUAUCCUCUGAACCGCUUACAAUGUACUUGCCAUUUGUCACCGAAAAUGUAGCAGAGAUGCAAUACUUUGAAUUGACAUGGCCUGUGUAGGUUUUCAGAUAUUUUCCAGUUGAGAAGUUCCAAAGCCGCUGCAACCACACCAAAAUGUUUUACAUACAUGCAAAAUAAUCCCCAAAAUUCAAAACAUCUGCGUAGUAUGAUAACAGUUCAGCAUUUCUUGAACCCAAGCCCCAAAAACUACACCGUUGCACUUAUGUCAGUAUGAAACAGUGGGAACGGGACUCCGCAAAUUACCAGAAACAGCAUAUAGUGUGGCACCAUGCAUUAAAUGGAACUAUACCAUUCUAAUAAAUCUCGGAAAGAAAUUUAUUCCCUGGCAGAAAGUACCCAGAGGUGUUCAAGCCUGUGCCCCCUAGAUGAUAAUAUAUGAUCAAAUGCAGAAAGGCAGUGCACAAAGCUUGCGAUAAAAGAUCAUCAUAUUUGACAACCACAAAAAUCCAACACUCGCGAAAAUGCAACAUUCACCAUGAUGCAGUCUCAUAUCCACAGUCUGAAUUAUGUGUUGUACACACCAAGUGACAUUUUGGAUUGUUGUAACCAUGCUGACUCUAAAGAGCAGCCAAGGAUAGUAGCCAGCAGAAGGAAAUCAGAAAAGCAGUAUUAGCACAAAGUGAAUGAGAUUGAAUAUGCUAAAAAGUACUAGCACAAAAUGUCUGUGUCUCUACCUCAUAAUCUAUCAAUUAUGAUUGAUCAUAAGAUAAGCACCUCUUAUUUCCUUUGCACUCGUUUUAGUACAUUCAAACAUGUCAAAAAUCAGCCUGCUGCACCACGCGUAAUCAAGAAGUGGGCAUUGGAUUAUAUUUAGUAUGUGCCACAAUAUUUAGGUUCAGUAUAUUUUUGACGCUUUUUUUGGCGUCAUGCAUGCCUUGAACUGAAGACUUUAGAAACUCAGCCCAAGACAUAUAAUCACAAGGCUUGAAUUUGCUUGUACCACCGUCACUUAUCCAAACUAAGGCAAUGUUUGGUAUUCUACUCCAAGAAGAUUGCAUUGCAAUCUCCCCUGCAUUUUACAUGAAGGAUUUCAUCAAAACACAGACUAGGUCUCUGCUCAGGUUAACAACAGAGCACAAUCAGUUUUAUUACCAUGCUACUACAUUUACAAAUGGCCAGCAUUACAAAUUUUCUCGCUUUACGACUACUAGAAUGAACUUGAAGCCCGUGAUGAACUUCUCAAAUACCUCUUAUAACAACAAGUUCAUCCAUAACAAGUCCGAAGAAAUUAACAAACGCAAUAACAACCAAUUGAAGAACUGAUGCACCAAAAAAAUCGUCACAACAGACUAUUAUGCUCAGAAACUUUAAAAUCCAAUCUUGCACUUAAAAGACACCAGCAAUGCAACAUAAGAAAAGAGAGGAAAAAGAAGGAAGGGCAAAAAAAAUAAAAAAGAAACACAGAGCACUUACAAAGGUAUUGUCCAAAGUUCCAACGAGGAUAAACUUUCCAUUGGGCGAAAAUCUCACAAAGCUCACAGGUGGAUUCUCAUCAUCAAUCAGAGUCUUCAUACAAUGCCCAGUUGAAGCAUCCCAAAUCCUACACAAUCCAUCAUAACUACUAGAUACAAUCAGCGUCCCAUCCCUGUUAAAAUGAACCGCCGUCACAGGGUCUGAAUGCGCCGGCAAAACCUUCAAGCACUUCCCCGACUUAACAUCCCAUGCCCGAACAGUUUCGUCGAACGACCCGGAAACAAGCAUGUUGGACUGAGGAUUAAAGUUGACGCAAAAGACGUAAUUGGUAUGGCCAGAGAGGGUUUUGACUAGGCUUCCGGUGGCAACGUCCCAGAGGCGGACGGUUUUGUCGUCAGAGGCGGUGGCGAGGUACCGGGCGUCGGAGGAAAAGGCGAGGUCGGAGAUUCCUUGGUCGUGACCUUGGUAUUCUUGGAGGAGGGAGCCGUCGGAAGGAGACCAGGUGCAGGCGGUUUUGUCGGCGGAGGCAGAGGCUAGGAGUCGGCCGUCAUCGGAGAAUUUGACGCUGGAGAUGGCUCUUUUGUGGCCACUUAGGUUAUGUUUUAGCUUGUAGGGCUUGAAGGCUUCUGCUGGUUCUGUUGCUGCUGAAGCCAUGCUCCCAAAAACUAAAUCUUCUUCUGCCCCUUGUUUUUAUGGGUGGUGCUGGGUGAAACUGGAGAAGGAUUUCUGGCCGGAGUUGGUGUUUAGAAGGGGUUUAAGGAAUGAGACUUGCCCGUAGUAUGGAUGUGGCAUUAAGUGAUUGAGUGAGGAAAUCUAAUGACCAGGAUUUGAGCUCCAAGCCUGAGACUCACCGGUAACUCGUGCGGCAAGCGGGAUUCCCGGAGGCUCGGCCAGCCUGAGACCACGCAAUGAGCCAAAAGCAAAAGCUAUGGAGAUUGCUUGCUGAGAAGUCUCGCAAUAUAAUGUUGUGUGAUCGACUUGAAUUUGUACUCGGACAAAACUUCUGGGAAUCUGAACCUUGGGGGAAUAGGGAUUGACCAAAAUUCAAUUUUAUUCUAGUAGUAAUAACUUUUAUUUUAUUUUAUGCUUUUUAGCACUCGGUAUCCUUGCCUUUAGUAAGAGGGAAGUGCCCGUGCAUCGUGCGGGUAUUCAAUAUCUGUGAUUAAAGAAAAUUUUUUAGUCGUUGAAGUGAAUAUUAUUUCCAUAUUAAUCAAGAAGUUAUUUUUGAUCAAGAACCUAUCAGUACAUAUCAUCCAUAUUGUUGCAAGGUGAGCAUGUGAAUAAAGAUAACAGUAGGAUAACAACGCAUAUUAAGUAAUAUUAAUAAAAUUAUUGUAGAUAAUAAUGCGUAUUAACCGAAUCCUACUUAAUAUGAGUAGAAGGAAAUACAUGGAUAAUGGAGUAGUUUAGAGGGCAUUAAACCUAAUCCUAGAAGCCGAAAAGGGAACAAACGGAAGAAUGUGAAAGAGGAAACAUCGGAACAACCAUAAUCGAUACUUAGACAUUAAAUCAUCAACAUACCUAUGUUUUUUGCUGUUUAAUUGAGAUGUAAAUAGUGGUAUAUUGUUGGUGUGGAAGCUGUUUCAAAGACAUGAUUCAGACAUAGAAACUCAUGCAUUGGUAUUAUUAUGAGUUAUUUCACAUAAUUGAAUGAAUAGUUGCAAGUCUCUUUAUUUUAAUUGCAAUAAGACACCAUUUCAGUAAAUUACACCAAUACAUAUGCUUAUAUAAGUUGUACCCAAUGCACUAACGAUUGCAAAAUAAUCUCUCAGUUCAAAAAUAUCCAGAUGUCCUUAUACUAUAUAAGAAUGAGUUUUAGUCAAAUUUGUCAAAUGCUACUGUAUGAUAACAUCUAACAAUCAUUUCAUUUGGUGCAACAGCUAAUAAAUUAAGUAGGCAAAGAUUUUACAAAUUAUUAGAAAUUGAAGUUAUUAACUUAUACAAAUUAAGAUACAUUUUUAUCUACUUUGGGAGCUUUGUUUUUGGUAAAAUUGUAAUAAAGUAUUUACAAGGAUCUUCAAAAUAUAAGAAUAUAUUUGUCCGUAUAAUUUUUUGGUAGUACUAAAUUUGAUAUAGUUUCAGACAAUUGGUGAUAAAACAACUCCAACUUCAAUCGAAUUUUGGAACUAUUUAUCUGGCAUAAUUUGUGGUGUAAUACUAAUAAAGUAUGUAUCUAAAUUUAGGUUGAAUUCUAAUGCUUUGUGAAGAAAGUCAGGAAUGAAAGCUUUAAUGAAUUCUAUUCAACCACUGUGGACUACUCAAUUACCAUAAGUUUAGCAAAAUAUAAGAGAAAAUAAACAUAUUAUCAAACAUAAGUUUAAGACAAGUCAUAAGUUUCAUAACAGAAGAUCAAACUACCAAAAUCAGUUAUCAUAUGAUCACAUAGAUGAUUCAACUUUAUCACCAUAACAAAUCGGCAGUACAAAGGUCAAACUACCCACCAAAUGAAUCAAGUAUUCCCAAAAAUCAGACAAUCAUAUAUAUAACCAAAUACAUAAAUGUACGAGCUCUGUCACCAAACUAAAUUAGUAUCACUAAGUAUACACUCACACCAAAAUCAAUUUCAGAACUAACUACAUGUAUAUCAAAAGAAUUUAAAAGAUUCAGCAGAAAGGAUAAAAUUUGGAUUACCUUAUUCCAAAUAUUCCCUACAAAACUUUUCCUCACACACAUGAGGCUGACAUUGUUAAUUCAUUAGUAUGACCUAAUUAAAUAUAUUAACAUGUGCAUAGAAAGCAGUUAUACAUAUAUCACAAGUUAUUUACAAAUUAUGACAAAUUUCAAUGUAAAAAAUACCGCUUCAACAUACAUUGGCUUGGAGAUUCUGAUUAGGAGAUGUAAGUAUGUAACACUCUUCCUAUGAAUCCUGUUUCUACCACAAAUACAAGCAACGCAAAAAAAUACAAUUCAAAAAAUUAAAAGUCAAUUGAUUGUUAUGAUUUGUCUUCAAAUGGAUGAAAAAUGGUUGCAAACAAUAAUACCUUUAUUGAGCAAACCCAAAAACUGAGAAAAGAGGAUGAACAGAUGUCUAACACUUGAUACUUUAAAUUUUUCAAUAAUUAGCAUUAAUUUUUUCUUAACCAUCCUGGUCUUAGAAUGGUUGGAAACGUUAAAGAUCUUAAGCCAAAUACAUGAAGUUGAAGCAGCAGAAUUUGAAUAGUAACGCCUAUCUAGCCAAUUUCUGCCAAUUAUCCCUAAUGAUUGUGUCUAAUAAAUCAUUUGCAAUAAACCCAUGCAAUGAAUGGAAUUUAGCCAGUCGAGAAGUCUAAUAAGUUACAUCAAACCAUCAUGUUCUCCAACCUUUAAUUUGCAACUCACCACCUUUAUGUAAUUACACCAAGACAAAAGUUAUUAUGAGUUGUACCAACUGUUAAAAAGAGCAAUACAACAAACUCGCAUUUCCAAAAUACCCUUCCCUCAUUAAUUCCUUUCACUAAUUACCUACUAAAUCACAUUCUCCCCAAUUUAAUUAGAGACUAAGGACGUUUAGCUAAUUAUAGCCACACAAAGGCUAUUAUCACUUGUACCCACCGAUAAAAAAUAACCAAAAUAAUCAUACAUUCCCAAAAUACCCAUAAAAAGACACAACCCCAUUUUUGGAAAUGUAUGACAAAAGAAUUCACCAUAAAUUGUACUCUACUUACAAUACAAACUUUAAAUGUACAACAUGAGGGCAUCUCUGUAAACAUAUCCAAACACGUGCUGCCAUGAAUUGUACAAAAAACUUUAAAAAAGCAACACAUUAUUUCACAUUUUCAAAAUACCCCUACCCAUGCGGUUAAAAUUUAAAACUCUUUUUGACCAAAACUCAGUCUUAUAUAGUAUAAGAAAACUGAAUUUGACUCGGAGAAUGCCGUAAAGUUCGGCUCUUACUCGAAAGUGGAGGUUAGGUUCAGAACUUUUCAAAGUGAGUUGAACUUGUGACCUUAGCAACCUACCAUUAGCAUUAGCAACCCGUCAUUGGCAUCAGCAACCUGCUUAUCAGCUAUUUCAAUAACCUGCUUACCAAUUGUCCCAAACUCAUGGUAGUAAUAAUAACUGUCAUAAUUAUUAUGAAGAGCUCGCAUGGCUCAACGAUCUUUUAUAUAUUUUUUCAAUAGUAAUUGUAGGUACUAUUUUAUGUAACGUAGGUUUAGCGGUUCUAGAACUAUCAAUGGUUGGUGAACCGGCAGAUUCAUUCGCAACUCCCUUGGAAUUAUUACCAGAAUGGUAUUUCUUUUUCGUAUUUCAAAUACUUAGUACAGUACCAAAUAAAUUGUUGAGUACUCUUUUAAUGGUUCCAAUACCUGCGGAUUAUUAACAGUAUAUUUUUUAGAGAAUGUUAAUAAAUUUCAAAAUCCAUUUGGUUGUCCAGUAGUGACAACUGUCUUUUUUAUUGGCACUGUAGUCACCCUUCGAUUAGGUAUUGGCAUAACAUUACAUAUUCUGAUUCUUUCUUUUUCUCUUGAUUUUUUUUUAUCGAGAUAUAUAGAUUUUGUUCAUAGAUUAACGAAAAUGUGCAAAAGCUCUAUUUGUCUCUGUCGUUUUUUGAGUCUCUUUCUUUUUGUGUAUGGCAUCGCCACUCCCUUUGGCAGCAUCCACUAAUAUGAAACUUAAUUUGAAAGCCAUAUUUCGACUUGAAUGUUUUCGAGAUGCCGCUAAUAACCAAUGAAUGGCAAGUGCUUUUCUAGUGAAAGUAAUACUUGAAAUGGCAAUCCAUAAAAAAAAACACCAAUAGUAAGGCUAACUAGAACAAGUCAAUAACAACAAGGAAUUGCUAGAUAAUUUAGUAAAGUUGAUAUGACUGCAAUGGAUGGUCCAAUAUUGAAGAAACGAGCAUCCCUAGAUGGAAGAAGAUUUUUUAUUCAAGUAGUUUUGUACCAUCCACUAGAACUUGAAGACAAAAUAACCCAUGAGAAGGGCUGAUUUGCGGAUGAGGAAUUAGUGUAUCAACUCGCGUUCAUCCUUUCUGGCUUGGAGUCCAAGAGAAACUAAGCAGUAAGCAUUGAUAGUUCACAUAACUUGAAUACUUUUCAAUAAAAAUAGGAAAAGGAAACUAAAAGAAUAAAUAAAAACGAAGGGUGAAAUGAAACAAAAAGAACUCUAGUCAAUUUUGUAGUCUAUUUAUUCCUAUAAAAAAUGUAAUCAAUUCUUUCUUAGGUCGCGAACAGUGAUUCAAUUGAUAAUGAAGAUAGAGAAUUCUUGAUUCAAUUCUCUACCUUAAUGACAGAAUAAACCUCCCUAUCUUGAAAAUGAGAAAAAGAAAGGUAAACCUUUUACCUUGUAUUUAUUCAUUUGUCAACAAAAUUUUUAUUUUUUUGUCAAUAAAAAGUACUAGGAUUUUUGGAAUAAUUCAGUAACCAAAAAAUUCUUAUUUUUAAAACUAAAAGAAUGAAUUUAAUUCCAUCUCAUAUUGAUUACAUCAACUCAAGAGAUGAUGAAAAUUUUCUAUUUCAUAGAAAAUUGAAAAUGGAUCGAUUUUUGAGUGUAUUCCGAUUAUUCCAAACUUUUAUUACUUAUUUAUUUGUUUGUUGAACAAAAAAAACUUUUUGAAUUCCCAGUAGAAAGAGAUUUUCUUAAGGAAAAAACUUUUAAAACUGUCCAAUAUCUUUGUUUUUCAAAUAUUUUACGAAUACGUUUUUUUGAUGAAAAAUACACUUCUUUAAUGAAGAAUUUUUUUGGAAUUGCCAUUUAAAGGGAAUUACUUAUUGUUCUAACUAGAUGUGAAAGACAUCUAUUGUUCAAAAUCAAUCAUUUAGACUAUUUAUUAUCGAAAUAAUAAUAAUAAUAAUAUCUUUCUAGUUGGUUUGGAAGAAUUAGGAGACUCUUUAGAAGAAAUAUGGUUCUCCUUCUGGCGGCGACAUAGUUGGUACCGCUGAUGGGUCAAAUCAAUAUCUUCACCACUUUAGAAUGUGAGAAAAUAUUGUGAUAAAACCUUUAUUGAUAUGUUGCGAUAAAAGAAAACAGAUUAAUCCAAAUAAUCAAAACAUGAAAAACGAGUGAUUCAGUAAAUGUUUUUGGAUAGGAGAUUAUUUAAAAUAUUAUCAGAAUAAUUAUUGUAGGACUUUUUACGAGAUAUAUAUGAAAUAAAAUAGUGAAUAGAAAGAUAAAGAUUGUAUUAAAAAAUGUGUUUGUGAUGCAAAUAAAUAUUUUUUUAAAAAUGAUUUCUGUCUAAACACAAACACUAGCAUUCCCGUUCAUGUUACUGAUUCAAUAGCAAAAUAAGUAGUAGUAAUAGUUUGUUGUGAUGAUUUGUAACUAAUGCUAAUAAUGACGCCUUCAGGCGCACAAUCAAAUGCAUUGUACAUAUGAAAUCUGUAAGGGAAGUAGCCCAUAAAAAUUGAAGCUGCAACUCGAGUGGCAAAAUAUUCUUCGAGCUUUGCAACAAUGUUUGUCAAAAAUUCUACGCUAGAAGAAACCAGCCUCUAGAUUUCUCCGUUUUCUGAUGGAAGUUUGAAGGAGUGCCUUUACCGCUGCUCCAUUACAGAUAAUUCAGGGGCUGCUGCUACUACUACCCUCUGCCACAUAUAUGUACAAUUAAAUCCCAUUCAAAAUCACGAGCCUACGUAGUUCAGGAAACAUUCUGAAACAGAGAGAAGGUAAAAGAAUGAUAUGAAUCGCAGGGGACAAGAAAAGGGACAGAAUAAGGACUCGGCUGUUUGCCCUUGGCUACAAUCAUCUCUCGAUGGUCCUAACUCCUAGUAUAGUCAAAAUUAUGUACAAUCCUCGGGCGCAAAGACAUGAAGAGGAGGCUAAGAGAUUAGGCAGUCGGCAUAAAGUUUUUUGAACUUUGGAGAGAUAAGAAUCAACAGUCAGGGACUAAAUGAACUUUUUCUCGAAGUAACAAAAGAAGGUAGCUGUGAUGUCUCUGGUGGAUUAGAGGAAUUGGCUUUUGCAGAAACAAGUUGAGGACCGGCAGGAAUAUUCUCAAAUGGCCUAUUUCUAAACACAUUAUACAUGUCGCUAGCACAAGUCAUAUUGGUUCUUCCCUGGGUGUCCUGACUAGUAUGCAUUCCCACUCCCAGAGUUGCUUGAUUUUGUUGACUGAUAGAGUUUGUCCAUAUAUCCUGCGAAAGAUUCAAUAGCAACUACAUGCAGUUACAAAAAUAAGAAAGGAAUGGUAUUAAAAAAAAAACGCAAACUAUCUAAAGGACAUAACUUGUGUCAUUUCAGGUUGGUGAUUAAUUGAUAGAUACCUGCUCCUGCUCCUGCCUACUAUUGCUGUAAGGCGAGACCAUGGUUCUCAUCUGUGGGAAUGAGUUACGCAAAUAAAGAGGAGAUCUAUCAGGGGUGCAGUACUGUGAGUUAGGCCCAUUUCCAAACCAGUGCUGACUACUAAUCCUCAUGUAUGCUGCCGGUGAGUGAUUGAGAGACAUGUAAUAAUAUGAACUAUGAUGCUCCUCUCCGCAAUAUGUACCAGGCGCUGUCCAGUUGUCCUUGGAAAGUGACCUGACACUCAAGUUUUGGUGUUGUGGAAAACCACAGGGUGCUCUAGUGUGCAACUUAUUAUUCGUGGAACAAGAUGAAGGUGAGUAUCUUCCACAUCCCAUAUCUAAUGAAGGCUGAUAGUAUCUUACUCCAACUUGAGGCGUUGGCAUAUAGUCUUCAAUUGUAAUCCCUUGUUUCUCGGUAAGCUCCAAUAACUGCUUCUCAUCAAGUCCCAAACUCAGCAGCAGAUUCCACAUAUUCCUCUGUGCUUCCCUCUGGCUGCAAAUAAUUUGAUCUCUCAUAGCCAUUUCAAACUGGAGCUCAGUGUUUGCAAUUCCCUUUACAUAUCACAAUUCAAGGAUUGUUAGGUGCAGCAAACAAGUUCCCAGGCCCAGAAAAAGCCCUAACAAUCAUUGGCUAUCCAGCAUUCAAAAUUCCCAACCAACUUGUGCCAACCAAUAAGCGAAGUUGGAGAAAUACAAAAAGGGCAAACCCAUUAAGCAUGCUUGAAGAAAGGUACCAGCUCGACAAAUACUCAAAUAACAGAAGCUACUAAGUCUAAUUUAUGAAGAAGGAAAAUGUUUCUAACAUUUUAUGUUGUGAUACAGAAGCUAAAUGAUGCAUGUAUGAUGUAAUACCAGGAGUCUGUAUUGACUCAGAACUCGCAAAUAGGUUUUGUUGCCAUUGUUGCUGAUUGCAUCUUCAAUCAUUUCUUGUAGCUGAUGCCUGCGCUUCUCAUUUGCUUCAAUUUCCUGCAGGAUAAAGACUUGUUAAAAUAAGAAAGCCACAAUAGAAGGAACCAAUUUACAAAAACAGCUAUGUAUGGUCACCAUCUGGUAAUGGACACCAAGUUCAUCAUUGUCACGGAUAUUGUCAAGAAUCACUUGCCGCCUCUGUCUCAAAGCCUGCACAACUGCUCCAUCUUUUUCAAUUUCCUGUGAUGCAAAUAGGAACUCAUUUGGACAUGAUUUUCUGGCAUAUAUGUCUAAUAUCAACAGUUAAUCUGGACUUCAGAUGCCUUUGUAUCCGCAGGAGGUUUGGAAUUCAUCCUCCCAGAAUGACAGAAGAGGGGAUUUUCGUUGACAAGGUUCACCUACUUGUUUUGGAAAAUGUUUUUGAGUGUAAAAUAAACUCUCACUUUUUUCUACCUGCUGUUUUGCAAUAGCGUCAUCAAGUUGUUGGAGUUCAGUGCGGUUAUGAAGGUUAGUUUCCUCCAGUUCAAAUAGAGCCUUCUGCAAGUUUAUCCUUUCCUGAACAUUUUCACUGGUUUCUUGGCUCAACCCAUCCAACCAUGACAUUUCAUCAUCCACAGAUUUCUCAGCAGGCUUAGCACUCAGUUGAGAUUCUUUUUCUGAUAACUCCUUUCUCAACUGGCUCACUUCAUUCUGCAGAUAUUUCAUUGUACAUGGAAGUGUUAAUACCUGACAUAAUACUUUCAUGUUGGUAUAUCAAGCAGGUUACCUGUAGAGUGUCGAUCAUCCUUUGGUAGUCUGACACGUGUGUAUUUAUGGUGCCGAUAUUUUUCUGACAUGGGUAUGGACAGAUUAUCAAAUCUAUGACCAUGGUUAGAAAUUGCAUCAAUUGAUUAAGCAUUCAGGAUACCAUUAGACAAGGAAUGAGGAAAGAGCACAAUAAACAUGAUGAAACCUUCAAGAAAUUAAAGCAUUGUCAUAGCAUGUUUUGGAGAAAGAAAGAUACCAUGCAAUUAUGGUAUUCAAAAAGAUAUAGGACAACAUGAGGACCCAAAACCGCAACUUGCUUUCUGGAACACAACAUACAAUCUCUGAAUGUAAUUUUAUUUCCUUGGAAUCACUUUUAUGAAAAAGAUUCAAUUUGCAUGCCUGAUAAGGGCUUCUUAUGCGGUUUGGAGAUACCACUAACAUUCAGCAAUAGUUCUUAAAGUGAAUCUUUUGUGAAAAAUCAUCAAAUUUAUUAGGGAAGUGACUCUUUGACAGCUCAGCAGCACACCCUUACAGGUUUUUCAUAUGAUUCUCCAAUCCUUAAGAUCACCAGCAAUAAAGCUUAGCACUCUGACCAUUUGAUGGAUCAUUGCCAAGAUAUUUGUGGUCAAUCAUCAGUAAGUUCAAAUAUGAAUCCAUAAUCAAAGGGUAUUCUAUUUAAGUUCACCAAAACAAGAAGAUAGAUUCUGUCAUCUCCUCAUGCCACAAGAAUUUCUUGAUGCAAUGAGAUUUAAAUACCCCAUCUUAAUUUUCCUCAAAACAAAUGUGAACAUAUAUACGAGUCUCACCUGGAUGUGUGUCCGGAUUUCUUUUGCUCGGUCAGCAUACUUUAACGUAUUAACUGUGUGGUGAUACUGACUAUCGGCUGGUGAUACUGUAGCAAUCAUUAUUGUUUGGGAAUUACCGCUCAGACCAUCUUUAAGAAUCCGUGUCAAUUUGCUGGAAAGGAUUUACUGUUAGAUAUAAGAACAAGAGAAACCAUAGAACCAUGAGUCCAUGACAACUGAAAGCAUACCUGUUUCUAUAAGGAACAUAAGCUAGACCCUUUUUCUGUUGCUUGCCAAGGGCAUUUAUGCAGUUUGCUAGUGCAAGAAGAGAUCGAUUAAUAUUGGCACCAUCUCUCAACUUUUUGCCUCCACUAUUUGUUUCAGAUGCUCGUUCACUGCAUAAAAAAGUUUGCAAUGAUAAGUAAUUAACACCUUUGAGUAGAGCAGGAUACCUAAAGUGCAAACAAACAGAAGGAACCAAACCUGCCAGCAAGAUCGACAAGGGAAAGUUUUCCCCUAAUGACCUGAUUGGGAUACUUCUUACUCUGUUUCCUUGUCACAUUUAUCCCCAAAACUGCAUGUGAUCUGGCCAUUGAAAGCUAAAAUUAGUUCGACAGAAAACUCAGAUGAAACAUAUUCUACUCAAAUAAGUGAAAUAACAGGUGACACAAGACUCUCCACUACAUAAUUGAGAUUUUAUGCUUCACUAUACCAGACAAUGCCCGGUUCACAUACUAGUGGAAGUGUUAAUUUCCCAGAAUUACUUAAACUAGAGAAAUGUUUAUUUUAAAAAAUGUUGGUAUAUAGUUAAAGGAAUAACAAAAAUUAGAGGAAAAUUAAUGGGCUUAAAUGGAAUCUUUGUUCUCAAUUACUGCUGAUAAAACCUUUGCGAUAAUCACCCAAAACGAAGAAUAGCUGGACCCAAGUUUCUCAGUAGAAACGGAGAGAGAAAUUUGGCACUCAGAAAUCUGGACGCUACAGGGUUUAAGAAGAGUCAACCAAUUCAGCCAUAAUCCCAGAAUUAAAGAGCGUUCUUCAUGCUUGAAACCCCUAAAAACCCCAUCAAAGUGAAGCUUUCUUAUGGCCAUAAAAGGCCUGGGCUAAAGUACAGUUAACCAUAUAUCUAUUACUCAGAAAAUACAAAAGUCUUGGUUCCAGUCAAGAACACCAUAACAUGCCACCAGUUAACAGACUGCAGCAACUUAAUUCAACUAGAUGCACAAGAAGAAUAUAUUGCUAACCUGGAUGAAGUUUCAUUAGCUUCAGUGCUUUCAGUUUUUCUUCUACUGUUCCCCAAAUUCAAAAGUUCUAGAAUCUUAUCAGCUGAGUUUACCUGGAAAUGACAAAGAAGAAACUUAGGAAAUUACACACACACACACAGAAAUUACAAGGUUGUUAAGGCCUGUGAGUUGUCCUAUUGUACAAAGUAGAUGAAUCCAAUAUUUAUAUGUGCAAAAGACUAACAGAAACCACAUAACAUCAGAUUCAAUAGCAAAAGGAUGGUUACUCCUCAAGACUUGCGGUAGUUCUAGUCAAUGUAAUUAUAAGGCCAUGAUCCCCAGACAUACCAAGACAUAUCAAGAACUAUAGGGAAUUCUACUAGCUAGGUUUGCAAAAUUCAAAAAGGAAAUGUAAAAUCAGUAGCAUGUUAACGUGUGAGGUAUCAAACUGAAACAUUUAUUGGGCCUACUGUCUUAAGAGUCCAAAUCGAGCAAAGAAUUGGAAAAACAAGAAAAAGUAUAAGCAUAAGAACAGAGCAGAACAUGAAGCUGCAUCCUAAAUUGAAAACUCUGACUUUAAGGAUAAAAGCGUACAGCUGCUCGUGAAUAUUUCUGCUCUUGACAAUCCACAAGUACACGGAUAAGGCGAGUACUAAGACUAUUUUAUUAUGUCCUUAGCUCUAGCUGAAUGUUAUACUUGGCGUGAGUGACAACCCAUUACAAAAAUCAAAAUUGGAAACAACUGGCAUGGUUGACUAAGCCAAAUUAAGAAAGUGGAAGUCAUAAGAGCUAAUGAGUAACUGAAGUGAAAUAGAGUGCUGAUACCCUUUGUCCAAUAGACCAGCUUAAUGAUACAGUUUUAUACUUUGAACAUACACUUCUUAUAGACAUACAUGAGCGUAUCUCACACAUGCAUAAAUGCAUAGUUUAUACUCAACACUUAAAGCAGUAAAUAUAUCGAAUACUCUGAAAAAGAUCCUGACAGUCAUAAAUGCUGGCAUUUAGCAUGACACUAUGACCUGAGUUUUACCCCAGGAAAAAAUGAACCUUGAUGCAUCUAAGGCCAGCAACAAUUAUUCCUUGCUCUGGGUCUUCUCUGAGUUCCAGGUGACCUGAUGACCUUUCAAGCAAGUCAUAGAUAACCUGUACAUUUUAAUUGUCAGACAUGGACCAAUAUGAUUAAUCAUAAAAGUCAAAAUGAAGAUCUUUUCUUUUGUUCUUUACACAUGGGAACUCUACCUCAUUGUAAACUUCAAGAUAAGAACAAGUAACUUCAAAUUGAUCGCAGCUAUUAUCUUUCUUUAUAAGAUCAAAUAUUGUUUUAAGACUGAGAACCAUAAGUCCAGGGUCAUCUUGAGUCCCUACCAUUGUAUAUGUUUUACCGCUGGAAAGAAAAAACCAUAUUAGAUGAAGAAAAAAAUUCACAAGGUGCAUAUUAAUCACACAACCAAAAAGAAUAAAAUCUGAUAAGAUCCUCUUGUGAUGAUAUGAGAAGAUGUUGCCUACCAAUCAUUUGAUUGCAAAAUACAGGUGAACGAAGGGCAACAAUAUAUGUACCAUUACAUAAAGAACCAAAGGAGGGGAGGGAAGGAUGAGAAGCUGAGCGAAUUGAAGAGGACAAAGUUUAAGGUCUUAAACCUACUUUGCUCUGGAAAAGAUAAUGACAAUGUGGCAUCUCCAAAUAAAUAAUUAAUAUAUUAUUCCUUCAAAGGUAGGCUACAACUAAUUGCAAGACUCUUGCAUUACUAAAACUACUCUUUUGGUAUCAUGCAUUUUGUCACUGCCAUUUCUUCUGCCAGUUAUAAAAUGAGAGAGAGGCAGUGAUACUACUGCAGUUGGGGCGAAAAAUUUUUUGAUCCUUAUGAGGAAAAGUUUGAAAUGUUCACGAGGCCUCUGUCAGUGAUACAUAAGGCCUUGAGAUCAGAAUGUCUUAGGCUACCAGAAAAUGCACAGCAAGUUUUUAGUAUACCUAUACCUUACCAUGUGUUAACAUGCAUUUAAUUCCCCUCACGAAACUAACAAAUUUGAAACCAAAAGCAAAAGAGAAACAGGCAAGACAAAUAAAAUCAUGAGCUUAAGAAAGCUAUCAAUCUAUCUUGAUAUUUCUCAAAGUGCAAACGUGUCUGGUAAGCUCCACUCACUGGCUACUUGCAAUGCUUUUAUUAUGUACCUUCCUGUUGAACCAUAAGCAAAUACAGUUGCAUUCAGACCUUGAAUCACCCCUGCUAUUGUAGAAUGUAUGCUUCUUUGGUAUACGUCCUAAAAUAAUGCAAAGACUAUAUUAUGCAGAGGAAAAGAAAUUUAAAUAUUGCAUAUUUGAGCUUUCUAAUGCCUUUCAAAUUUUAUCAGAGGGCUAUGUUAUACCACAAAAUAAUUGAAAGCUACAUAGAAAUUAGAGAAGACAUACCAAAUUCGUUGAGAUAGGGCCGAAGACGUAAUCAAAAUUAUAUCUGCGUUCUUUAGUUCUAUUCUGUAUGCGAUCCAGAUAGUCCUUUGAUAGGUCAGGAUCCAAAACAAGUACUUCCUAAAAUUUCCAUAGUUUUCAUUACGGCGCAUUACUUAAAAUAAAAGUACAUGACAUAGACUGAAUUACUCAAACAAGAAGUUAAACUAGAAACUGAAAUUCCCUAACAUUCCACCAAACUAUAAUCUGAUUAAUUCCGCAAAAUCUGAGCAGAAAGUAAGCACAAAAUCAUAGAGCAGUAAAACGAAUAUACCUUAUCGUUAUGAACUCUAAUUAUAUUUCGGCCACGAUCUCUUUCUGUCAAUGGCCGACAUUUCACAGCUACCUAUAUUACACACAACCAUACAGAAAUUCAAUAAUUCAGCAGACUAAAAAUGGUGAACCGCAAUUCCGGUUAAAAAUGGCAAAGACCAAAGCAGAUAAAUAAGCAAACCGUGAGAGUCGUCGUCCUCUUGGCAGCUGGAGCUCUAAUGCUUGGCAUCUUUUGACACCAUUCAGCUAAGAAUAAUACUCCGCUUGAAACUCUCAGUAUCGACGAUUCUACACCAGGAGGGAAACCAACAAAAAAAAAAAAAAAAAGAGCCAAGUUCUACUGAAAAUUCGUGCUCUGUUGCGGUAGAGAUAAUCGAAAUAACGAGAAAUGAACAGUAGAUAUCUCUCUUCAAUCCGUCAGAAUAAGAUGUGUAAAAUCAAAGCCUAAAAAAAAAAUUUUCCGGUUCAACAUAUGCUUCAUGGUAGUGUAAUCAACAGCGAAAAUGAUUAUCUAAAAACUUGUAUCAGCUGAAAAUCUCCGGUUAUUUCAAUGAGCCUUAUUUAAAGACAAAACAAGGUUGUUUCUACAAGAAAACGACAGCGUAUUGAGGACCUUUGUGCAGAGUAAUUCGAAAUGGCAAAACGAGGCCGAGUGAAGGUGAUGAAUGUAAUAGAGAACACGGUUUAAAAAUUAAAAUUAAAGAGAAAGGAAGAGGAGUAUUAUUUAUUAUUAUUAUAACUCCUGCAAAGUGUUCGAGUAUUCAAAUCUUUCCAGCUUUUCAAUAUUUGUAGGAGUAAUUGUUCUUUCUUCCAUUUUUUUUGGGUAUCGGUAACGGCAGCGCAAAAUUUUCAUUUGCAUUGAAUGUAGCCGUAGAAAAAUUAUAAUACACUAAAAAUUAAAAGGCUACAUUUCGAUAUCAGGAUAAGAGGCGGGCGGGUAAUCCAAUUGCAAUUUUGUAAUUUACAAAUGGUAAGCUGAGUGCGGAGAAAGAAUGAAGACAGAAAUUUUGAGGGGAAGUUGGUGGUGGUGGUGGAGUCCCUUGUCCGCGUUGGUUUGUAUCAUUUAUGGUGUCGCCGUUGACGAUCCCUCCCCUUCUGGGGUUUCGGUUGCUUUUUGUGGUCGUGGCCAUUUGUUUUUGUUUUUUUAUUUGCUCUACUAAUCGGGAAACUUGGAUAAAAUCAAUCAUUUUAAUAAUCCAUUAGAAAAUUAAAUCCAGAUCUGUUUUUUUUUUUUUGUGUGGCGAAGUAUUAUUCUCCACAUUAAUCACGAAGGACAGAAAAAGAUUUCAAAACUUUUCAGAAAUUUUAUUAUCUCCAAAUUAAAAAAGCGAGGUUUCCAAGACAAAACAAACGUAACUUUCAUGCCCUACCCUAACUAAGAGUUACCCAAAUUGUAGGAUACCUCAGUCCUAACCGCACAUCAAUCAACUUCGCUUUCGCUCGUUAUCCAGAAAAGGUGCAGCUGUCUGACUAACAGGCUUUAACCUUUUUGGUGUUGGUGAUGCAGUAAGUUGACAGUUGAAAUCCAAGUACGUGAAACAGAGGACAGCAUCAAAAAAAGAGAGUAGGAGAAUGACGUGGCAAGAAGCCGCAAUUUCACGUAGGCCGUAGACAAUUCCCCAUGCACGCCACCCGUCUAAUACUCUACUAUUAACUCAUGUUAGCUCAAUUGAUAAAAGAAAAAAUGAAUUAUUUUUUCGAUUGUGGGUUGGAAUUUCACAAUCAAUAUGAGGAAUUUAUUGAUUUUUGGUGUUUCCUAUUAUCAUACUUAAUUACCGAGUGAGGAUUCUGUAGUGUAGAUAGAAGGGUAUCGCCGUCAACUUUAACAUAAAUUAAUACUAUUAGAUUGAUGUAAGAAAUAUCCAUGCUUAUUCAUUUAAAAAGGACAAAUCCAUUUUUUUUCUUUUACAAUGACGUCUAAUGGGUCCAAAAAUUUUAUUAGCAAAGAGAGAAAAGAAGUGAAAUAAAAUAAAAAAAGGAGGAAAAAAAGAAGUGCCAAUGUAUGAUGAGGAGGGGAUAUAUAGAAGUCAAGAGGCUAAUUUAUAUAGAGAAAGUAAUAUUUUUAUGCAACUAAAGAAGAUAAUUUUAUAAAAAAAAGUCUAGGGAUGCGAGUAUUAUGAUUCGAACUUACAAAUAUUGAAGAGUUUUAAGACUAUUAUGUAAUUUUAUCAAAUUUGAGGGAGGAAGAGGGUAAUUGCCCGCCUUCACUCCUAUCCAUGCAACUCCGCCACCGGCCAUAUCCAUGGUCUCGAAGCAUGCCGUGAUCGAUGGUGAUGGUGGCUGAAAACGAAAUUACCCAAAAUUUUAUUCCAAAACAUAAAGAGACCGCUCUACUUUAAAAUGUUAACAUGCAAAAAUUCAAGCACUGCGCCGAACUCAGAAGUUACUGGCAGGAGAGAGUUUACUGCAGUAGCUGCAUGGGCAUGACAGAUCACCAAAAAUAUCGAAGGUUUAAGAGUAACGGACGGAGGGUCCGCCGAAUUAAAACCCAAAUGGCAAAGCGUAAGGGUUGGUGAUGACAAUCCGGCGUCGGCUGCCUUUCUAAGAAAAGAACCAAAACUGUGUAUUUCAUAUCAGCGGACGUCUUGUCUGGAAUUUAGUCAUUAUUUGUUUGGCAGGAUUGUACUGUGAUUAAUUAUGACAUCACUCUGAAACCUCAUUAACGUUGGCCCUGCAUGUUUUGCAGCUGUUCUUUCGCUGUUUGGGUCAGGUGGUCCAAAUCGUGAUAGAUACUAAACAAUACUGGACUUGGCGCUCGGGCUGCCCAUUCUUUUUCAUGAGGACAUUGAUUUCCUUGGGCCAAUUCCAGCUAAACAGUAGUAAAGGCUAUCGAAAAUAUUGUUGUCCACGAACCCUUGUAGCAGCUCAGAAAUCAGGUGAACAAUCAGAGGGGAAGAUUCCACUCUUUGGGACAUCUGAUAAAAGAGAAAUUUCGGACAUCUCAGAAUAAUUAAGGAGCGGCAAUCAUCUGAAAAAUAAACAAUGAGACGGACAGGAGUGUUUAGUUUAUGAGCACAAAUUGCCAACAUGCCCGUGAAAGUUUAUAUGCACAAAAAACAGAAAGCCUCCUUCGAUCUCUCCAUGGACUUGCGUAUGUACAGUUCAUCAAGAAACGACCUAUUACUUCAUAGAUUCUUUAUUGCUGCAUAUGCCGAAACAUGAAUAUCACAACACUCUGCAUCCCACGAGAAAUCCUUUGCCAUGGCAUCUGUGAUCUUUCUGUUCCACUGAGAUGGAUCCUCCUCCUGCAAACAGGAAAAUAAGAAACUUAAAUAUCUUUGAAGGUUUUUUUUUUUUUUCAAAGCUUUUUGAAGAAUUCUGAAGCUGUGAAACAGGAAAAGUUUAGAGGGAAUGCCCACGAUUUCAUUGAUUGCCUGGCUUAAUGACAUAUUUCCAAAGGAAUUGCUGAUGUACUUUGAAACUUCCGGACGCCCAAAAUCAUGAUCCGCAAAAUUCCUGUUGAACCAGUAAUUGCAUAAACAUUUUUCAGCUGUUUGACAAGCUAAAGAGCCAAAAGAUAUAGGAGUAUUCAGACUAACCCAAAUUUGUCAUCAGUAAAAUUUAAUGCAACAAGUCCAGCUCCAUAUUUUAUGGCCUUCAGCUGCAUGAUUUACCCCAGCACAGAAAAAAGCUUCACCAUUGUAAAUACCCUUUUGUCAUGAACGUAUAACCAGAGAUGCACAGGGAGAUAGACAAGGUGACCAUAUAGGCACAAUAAGCUAAUUUAAGAAAAUUUGUCAAGAAGGGUUAUCGGGAGAAACCAAAAAAAAGAGCCUUAGCUGCUUGAAAAAUAAACAAGUCUAUUUCAGUUGAGAUAACAAAGACGAAAUAAAAAGCAAUUCUAUGCAAUAGUAUUUAAUAAAAGAAAAAGGUAAAGCUCACCAAUUUUAGUAACAAAAUUGUAGUACACAUACCGGUACUUGAAGCACUGGAUCGUCCAAAGAUGGGCACAAAAUAAUGUCGCAUCCAGCUAAUAUCAAAUGCAGUAGGGGUUCGUCAUAUUUAUCAAUAAACUUCACAUUUCCAUCCUGCAUAGAAGAACAUAUACUAGAUGAUUUACAGAUCUCCUUUAUUGGAUCUAACUAUUAGUCAUAUUCGCUCCAAAUCAAAACACAAGUUUGCAGCAAUGAACUUCUUUAACGACCAGGAAACUAGCUUUUAGCUGAAGAUCUUCAACCAUAAAAAACACAGAAGCAAUCUUUUCAAGCUUCAAGUCAAUCAUUACAAUUGAUCUCCAAUAACAGCAUAACACUUAAUCAACUUCAGCUAAACCAUUUCAACCUUCACAGAAUAAAUCAUGAAACUGCUAUGCAACCACCACCAUGACAAUCAUAACAGAAGGUGCUGCCUGUAUCCAUACGUAGACAUCUGCCAGCACACAACACAGCUAAGCAAUUGGAGACAUGAAACAGUCAAGAAUGGAAAUGGAAAUACGGGGCAUGACAUUAAGCCAUAGCUAGCAGUUUUCUUCAAUAAUUCACCAUGAACUACCUUAAGCCAUAGUUAGCAUUAAAAUCAUUUUGAAGGUGUUUUUAGCAGGAAAAUUUCUAUUUCUCCCCUAAAAAGUAAAGAAAGAGUGCAACCAGAGACACCAGAAAUAUUUAGAUAAAGACAGGUGCAAAAUACCUUGAGUUCUAACAGCAAAGAUUCCACUUCUCUUCUUAAGCCUGGAUUUUGGCUACACAACAUGAAGACAAACUGAAGAGGAUAAUAAGAGAAUCAGACGUAGGCAAUAAAUAAAUACAGAAGAAGAUAAAAGGACUUUGACUGCUCAGAAGCUGAUCAGUUAGUUAUUCAGCGCGGUUAUCUGCAAGUACAUUAGGAUAAGCUGUUAAAAACAAACAGAAAAAGAAAGGUUCAGAAACAACCUGAAUUCCCUUUCUGGAAGCCAUCCAAACAAGAGUCUUGAGGUUCUCCAGGUAAACAUCUGAAACUUCUGUUAACAUGCAACCAACCUGGAAUUACAACAUUUCUAUUUUUGGGUUGGUAAGACUUCAUAUGCUGUACAGGAUACAAAAAAUUUUGUGGAAACACAGAUAAGUACAUAGAAUACAUGCGAAAGGAAAGACAUUUUUAAUGUGCUUGACUCUCCAGAAAGGUUGCUGGAGGUCGGCCUCACAGAUGCUCUUUUACACAUAACUAAAGGUCGUCAAGGAUGAAAAUGCAAAGAUUAAACUCUGUUUUCCUCUUUAUCCUUCAGCAUACUCUAUCGCUGGCUAUUCUCCCAGGUGAAAGAAAGGUCAGUUCACCUACUCCUGAGAUUCCCCCUCUCCCGAGAUUCCCCCUCUUAUCUUUUAUUAUUGGGGACACUUCAAGAAUAAGAUUUUCAAUGUACUUACAAGAAUCAUGGAAGCAUUCUUUGUUAACCCAAGGUGCUUCUGCAAUGAAAUUUUGCAUACAGAUUUCCCUUUCAUAUCUUCUUCACUGUAACUCUCUGGAAGAAAUUUGUCCACUGAAGGAUCCCAAACUGACUUGUCAAAUCCAUAAGGAGCAAUCAGCAGCUUGUCCCUUCAAUCAGAAUCAGGAGUAAGGAAAUGUGAGGACUAGUUAUCAGAUUACCAUGACCAUGAAAUAAAUAAUGAUGGGUACAAAGCUUAGAUUCUAAAUUACAUUUUAUUGAAUCACCACAUCUGAUGUUCAACAAAGUUACAAACACCAUGCCUAUUUCGACAUUUUAAGGUCCAAGUUCGAAGAAUGCCUCGAUGGUAUUACUUACUUGUGGAUGGCUAAGGUGGGUUCCAUUCCAUGACCCAAUUCAGUGAUGAGAUGGGCCUUCGUUUGCAUGGAUGCAAUCACUAUCACUUUAUUGGAGUAAACAACUCCACCCUGAAAUUUAGCAAAGAGAGUUCAAAUCAAGUUCACAGCAAAUUCAACGAAGCAUAAAUGCAACAUCAGUACUUUGUAGUGCUUUCAGUAAUCACAAGAGAACCCACAUUUCCACUAUAACUGGACCAAUGGAGAACUACCUCUCUCUCUCUCUCUCUCUCUCUCUCUGAUUUCAUCUUCCCCACUCUGAUCUCUAUCAGUAAAGCACUUUAGAAGAACAAAUUCGUGACCAGAUAUUUUGUUGCCAAUGAAAGAGAUACUGCCUGUGGGAUUUUUAACAUUUACAUGGGUCAGAAUUCUUUGAACAUUAAGACUCUGGAAGCUAGCAGUACCUAGUAAAAUACAACUUUUAAUUCAUAUCUGAGUUCAUGCGAUCAUCUUCACUUCCAAUUAUUUGAUGAUUUUUGGUUGCUUAACAUUAUUCUUUUCCUUUUCAAUGUAGAGCAGUAAAUGCAGAUGGCACUCAGCUUUUAUCCUCAACUGGAGCAGAUUUAGCAAAUGUCCGGGAAGAGAGGGCAGGAGAAACACCUUUUUCCCUAUAUGAGCACUUAUAUCACAGAAACAAUGAUUGCACCUUCGCAUGAUGCUCUUCCGAAGACUAGCAUUGGCUUGAUCUCAAACCUUGAGAUCAACCAUGCAUCCAAAAUAGCAAACAACACCAAUAAGAAAGGACCUACUUUCCUGUAGAAUUCUUCCAGAGCAAGGUAAUGUGCCCAGAAGCUCAGAAAGGAGAAGAAUACCUUCAAAAUGUUGACCAUAUGAGUCUUGUUAUUAUCUUGAAGGCGAUCAGGACGAUGUAGUCUUGAAGGAUCAAGUCCACACAGAGCAAGCUUCUCAGGUCGUUGAAGACACUAAUGAAAAAAGAAUCAUCAGUAUAAUUGCUACAAACAUGGAGAUAGUGCAAUAGCCAUCCCACAAUUCAAAUAUAUUUUACAUCUGCUAAGCAUAGAUACAUGCCUGUGAAUCAAAGCCCUGGCAUGUCAAUAAUAUUCUAGUACCUUCGAGUCCCUGUGUAAUAAAAGCUCAGAACUGUUAAGGUAACAUCAUGAAUUAGUAUGCCUAAUACUUAAGCUAACUUGUUAUAAUUAGUAGUACAAACAGACCAUAAGACUAAUACAGGGAGGGGGGAAAAAAAGAAAAAGAAAAAGAAAAAGCGUAUAGUCCAUUCAACCAGGAAACAUAAAACUGGAAGCUUUCCAAUGCCAGUUUUAGUUGUUUUAACCUAAUACAAAUGGAUGAAGUAAUAACAACCUAUGACUCAUGCAAAAGAAUCUCUGGUUCCAUGUUCAUAUUCCUAACAAAUUAAAAUAACAUUUUGUUUACUCCAUUCACAAAGCAAGACGCACCACAAGAGUGCUACACAUAAAUGUGUCACCUUCCCAAAAAAAUUAAACUACUUUAUUUGUAUUCCUUGUGUGGUCUUGAAGAGAGGGAAGAACCAAUGAAACCUGAUUGACAAAAACGUCCCAAAAUAGGGGCCCAACAAUUGAUGUUUCCCAAUUGUGUAUGUGAACAAUAUCGGGCUUCUUUCCUGAUUUCACUAGAUAAUCCAGCGAUGCACGAGAAAAAUAGGUGAAUCUAGCAGCAUGAAGAAGUUGUUAGAAGACCACAACAAAAGCUUAUGAUUGUAAUUAUCCAUGAUACAAAAUAAACAAGAAAUAAUCAGCUUAUGCUCAUGUAUUAGGGACAAAAUGAAAAUAUUAGGGUCAGAAAUAACUGAUUUUCCAGAAGAAGACUUCAAGCUACAUGAGUGUGUCACCAUUAGAAAUGCUCAACAUAUGACCAAGUGAACAAAUAUUGGAGAUGUCUACAAACCUUUCAAAGUCAUUUCCAUAUCCAUAUACUCUCUCAUGACUGAAAAAUGCUGAAUAGUAGACUGGUUGUAUAAAUGUAACUCCAAUGCCAAAGACAACCCUGUUUUCCAAUCACUUAAUUGAUAAAUAAGAGACUAAAACGGAAAGAAAACUGUAGCUUCUGUGUGUCUGUAUAUUGUUUUGCAGAAUUUCUUUAGCUCCCAAUAAACACAACCCCACUUCACAGAAAGACAACUAAACAAAGACAAACACCAUAAUUCCAACAGACGACACAAUAUAAGAUAAAACACUGCAAAAAUUCAUACUCACCCAGUCCAGAUUCUGUUUUUAUGCAAUUGACCAUUAAAAAAUGAAUAGACUUCUGCUUCAACUUCUCGAAGACCUUGAACUUCGUCUAAAUUUAGGCAUGCAUACCUGGUUGAAGCAUUAUACCAAGAAUUGAAGCAUUAUACCAAGAAUCAGAUGCUUUCAGAUGAGAAUUAAGAGCAAGCAAAACAUAAGUGCUCCUUUUUCAUUGUAGAAACUGCAUUACUUAAAGUUACAUCGUCUACAAGUCGGUGCUUGUUCAACCACUCUGUUUUAGGUCCUAGUGAUGAAGAGAUGCAACAGGUUUUCUACAGCAUGAGUGCACUUAAUCAGUUAUGAUUCCUUGUUCUGGCCCAAAUAAAUUCACAUAUGCCAACAAGGACGUAAAUCUUAAUCUUAGUGCUGAAAGUUGCCAACUGAUCGCAAGGGUGAUAAACUUCAUGAAUAUACUUGUGCAAGGGUACAGAAACCAAAAGUCACAUGACACGAUUUUUUAAUGCAGAUAGAAAUGUAAUUAAUAUUUAAUACUAUUAGGAACCUAAAGCAAAGACCAAAAAGUUGUUGAAACAGACAUUUAAGUAAUCUAGAUUGCAAAACAUAACUAGAAGUUGCAAAACAUAACUAGAAGUUGGUCUACCUUUUAAUCAAAAGAAUGUCUCCAGCAAUGGAUAAAGGAGGUUAAAUGAAGCUAGUCAAUUAUUGUUUUACUUGAACAUCCGCAAUAAGAAAUGUAAGCAAAACUUAAAAACUAAGAGAAUGCCGUGAUUACUUGGGCAAAAUGACCUCGACCACAUGUCCCUUUCUCUGCAGAGCACAGGAUAGUCCUGUAACAUAAGAUGCCAAAGAUCCCACAGAGACCACUGGUGCCAUUUCAGCAGAAAUGUGAACUAUGUGGAAACCCUUCCUGGAUUUGAAAAAGAUGAGGAUGCAUAGAAAUCAAAGAAUAGCAAAAAAAAAAAAGCAUAAAUGAUUAGGGAUAAUAUAUAUUAUCCCCUAGGUGGAUGUCUUCAAUGUGAAAGUGGCAAAAAAAGGGAGAAGGGGGAGGUCCUAUCCCAUAUGGGGAAACACUGUAGAUGUGAGAUGCAUGGCUUUUGAAAACAGGAAUCCAAGAGUUAGAAUUAGACACAGGAUCUAGAAGAAUACCUUACUUUUUACUUUUGCUGGAAAAAUGGCGCAAUUCCACCAGAAGUUCAGAAUCUUUCUUGUGCGUGUUUUGAAACAAAUUAGCUGCUAUACUCAUUCUUGAAUUCAUGACCAGCCUUCUCAAGUCAGAAGCCUCCGCAUUAUCAAUCAUUCCACUUAGAACCAUUGAAUCAAUCCUAAGCAGCAACUCAGAGCUAAUAGAAAGUGUAUCCAUUUCUGGUCACAAGAUUAACAAACUGCAUUAGAAAUGUUAAAAACCUGAAUAAAAAGAUAUCCUGAGAACUCAUAAUGGUUCAUAACAAGAAUAAUCAAGCAAGAUAUCCGACAGAGGAGAAGACUCCAUUUGGUUGGUCGUUAAACGCACUCUGAAACAUUGAUUGAGAAAGUUACUCAAAUAAAGCACCAGAAUAUAUGUUCAUGUGGAAAGCAGUUUGAGUAUCAUCCCGCAUUUAAUUGAGCAUCUUUAUGAACAGCACCUACUUCAGACAUCUAACCCUUCUGUCAGUGGUCCUUUCUUGAAUAGGCCAUUCCUAAACCCAUCAAACUGAUCAGAGAUGGUCUACCCAAGCAUGACCAAUUCUCUAGCCGGGGCUCUGGGCUGUGUUUAGGCUGCUCAAAAUUAUUGUGGAUCUAGCGGGUCUAGAAGAGCAGAAUGAAACCAAACUUGCUAUGUUGCCUCAGUUUCUACGAGUAUAACAAUAAUAAUGAGCAUGUGAUGUAAUGACCAUUCAUGGAAUACAAGUGGAGAAUUAGUUUCAGAGUUUCAUAUGACUGCCAAACGAACGAGGUCAAAACAAUUUUUACGAGAGGAAACUUUUCAGAAUAGCAGAGAACCAAGUAUUAAUCCUACAAGGAUUGUAAAGCAGAAAUUCAGGCUUUACAGCUAUAAUCACCUUUUUCGGUGUUCAACAGCAUUUUGGCCUCCAAUUGCUCUAUCCUAUCAAGCAGUGCCGUGUUUUCCCUCUUCAGUUCAUCCAGUUCUUCCAAUGCCGUGAGUCGUUGUUUAUUCAAAGACAAUAUAUCUGAAUUGCGUAGCGAAUCAGAAAAUUAAGAGUAGAAAGAAACCAAUAUGUGGCACGCAAUUAAGGAUAGCAAGAAAAAGAAUAGCAAUUGAGUACUCUGUUGUGCUUCUGUGAAGAGUUGCCAUAUAUCAUUCUGCUUCUCUUUUGGUGCAUGAUCCAUAGACUGCGGAAGAUCCUGCAAGGGAAUGAGAAGCAGUCAUUUUUCUAGCUACACUUUAAAUCUUUCACCAACUCAUGCAAGCAACAAUUUCUUACCUUAUGGACAUCCAUGUCAUCAUGUCUUUCCACCCUAAAUUCCACAAUGAAACGCAGCAAGUCACGUAACAUAAAUAAGGAUGCAAAAUAGUAAACAAAAGAGAAAAGCUAAAACAGACCAAUAUUUUCAAAAAUAGAAAAAGAAGAGAAGGAGCUCCUCCAAAAAACGUGCCUUUUUGUCUUGCUUUUCCGAUGUUCAUUACGUCAUUUUCCCGGGGGCGGGGGGGGGGGGAAUCAACUUAGUGCAGUGACUGUAUAAGAGGCCACCGAAGCUGAACCUUAGGUGUUCUGGAAGCAAUCUCGAAGUAAAUUAAUUACUAUUACUUAGGCUGUACUCAAGUUAACAGAAGCCCCAACAACUAAUCACGCUCUCGCGAACUUGUAUAUACAUACUCUAUAUCGAUGCUUAAUCCUCCAGAAUAUGUUAAUGUGACGCCCGCAUAUGCGCUUAUAUGAACGUUAUCAACAUGUAUGAUGAGUGAAUGAACGUACGUGUGUCUGUGUGUUUGUGUGUGCGAGAGAGAGAGAGAGAGAGUGAGAAUCUAUAUCAAGAAGGGAGUUUGACGAGAGAGUGGUAGUAGUAACAAGUACCCCAAGCAAGAGGGAAGCCGAGCACCAAGGGGCUUGCGCUUCGUUGCACAGAUUUUAGGCAAAGGAGGAAGCUUAGAUAGCGGAGCAUUUAACAGCAACUCCAUUGCAGAGCGCCAGACUGCUAUUAUAUUUCAUUUAUUCCGACCCCGAGCCAUGGGACUACUGAUAUCACCGGAUGGUAGAUAAUUUGUUUGGUCGGGACGUGGACAUGUUGGUCACGUGAGUUUUGAUGACAUGGCAGGUCGAUCAUCACUUCAUAUCCCACACUUUAUGGAUAACAUGGCUGCAUCUUGGAUCAUGGAUGUAAUAAAUGGGGCAACAAGCGCUCCUACUUCCUCGAUGAAGAGUACAGUAUAUCCGAUGUUAUGAGACACGCGUCGCUGCGCCGAAAGGGCCACUUUUAACAAAUUCAAUUACUCUCUCGAGAAUCCAACCAAAUCAAUGCCAAGAAGUUUGGUCUUCCCGUGAUUUUUUAUUCGUGCAGAAACUCAGAUGGAGAUGCUGCUGUAGGACUUCGGAAGCUUUUAACAACUAAAAAUUUCCGCGCAUCUUGCCCAGUACAUUCCAACCAUUUUCCAGCUCCCUCACAACGUUCCCAAAAAAUAAAUAAAUAAAUUUAGGAGCAACAUAGCAGGGCAAAGGAGGACUUGCAAAGAACAAGUAAUUCUGAGGAUAAAUAUACACCUCUGAUCAAAUGAUUUGCUACACCAGGAUUAAGGGACCCAAAAAAGAAAAAAAAAAGGGAAAAAAACCUUGUAAGUCUAUCUUUUGACAAAAAUCAUUCCUAAUAACUAAUAAACAAUGGAGCCCUACAUCGAAACCACCACGUCGGGCUUACAGAUGAAAUAUAAAAAGACUAGUAGAGAGCAAUUUUUCUCUACCCCUCUUUUCUCCUUCCUCUCGCUUCACGUACUUGGGCUCUCAGCAAAGCAACAAUUACACAAUUCCUGUCAGAUUAGCGCAUUUUCUGGUCAUCGAUGGCUUAACUUGCGUUUUUUGGCUUCCUUGCGCAAGCGCUCCCUUCUUUCUUCUUCUUCUAUCUUGCGAAGCUCUUCUUCAUCCUCUUGCCGAGCAAUCCUCGCACUGAACGGUCAAAAACCAAGAAAAUUUGCGGUUGUCAACCUCAACAAUUAAAAAACUAGAAACCCGUACCAGCGGGAAUAGGAAUUCUCAAAAGAAAACCAUGGUAAUACAUCUUUAUAUUCAUCAACCACUGGCAACUAACAGCAAGAGAAUAAAUAACUAAAAAGCAUGCUAUUUCAAAGGCCUACUAACCUUCUCUUUUCCUCCCUCUGAAUGUCAUCAAAAUUAGCCUCCAUGUCACUAUCAUCGUCAACAUCCUCAUACCUACUAGGAUUAUAUCUGAAAGAAUUCACACAUAAAUAUCAAACUGAUAUUUAGUCACCGAAACAUAGAACUUCUGGGCUUGGGAUAAGGUAAGCCCGUAAGGAGGAGGUAUCAUAAGGCAAGUCUCUUUAUCCAAAUCAUGGUUUUGAAAGAAAAUGUUAAAAGAUAUGCAAGGUAAUAAGACAAUCUAAUAGCAAUUGGACGAAAAUUUUGACAAUAGAAAAGGACAAAAAAAAGAAUACCCGAACAUAUUCCUGAUCAUACGCAAAGCAGUUUCAGGAUCAUCUUCAUCAUCUUCAUUGUGUCUUGCGGGCCUCUUCCUUGGCCAUUCACCUCUUGAAGCAUCCCGAGCUGAAGGUUUUGGUGCUGGUCGCAAUACUUGCUAUAAUUUGGGACAAUUAAAUAACAGCAAAAAAGUUAGCCACCCAGCGUCUAGGUUUUGAACUACAGAAAAUCAAACAACUUAUUCUUAAAUACAAGAAUGCAGUGCAGAAUGCAGUGCACCAGGCAGUUGAAAUACAGCAUUAUUUCUUACUAGAGAUAAAGAGUAACUGACCUUAGGUUUUAAGGGUGGGAUGGGUUGUUUUGGUAAUAUCUUUGGCUUUCCUGGUGCCUGGUGUUCCUCCUUCCUCGCAGAGGACUGCUUUGAAACAGAAGUCGGCACUUUUGAAGGAUUUGGUUUGUGAAUGCCAGGAGCAGAGGUUCUUGCAACAGGAACCGAAGCCUUCUUAUCUGACGUACUUACUGAAGGCUUUGGUGGCACACUCUUUGACACCAAAGGCCGACCUGGCCCACUACCAUUACUGUUGGGCUUUGUUGGCACACUCUUUGACACCACGGGCCGACCUGGCCCAAUACCAUUGCUGAUGGAAGGCUGUUUUCUAUGAUCUGCUAACACACCAUUUUUUCCACUGAGAUGUUUCCCAGACUCUACUGAUGGCCGAACCAGCUUAUCCCUGGAACCAAAUUUCUCUGACCCUACUUUAGGCUGCAUUCGGUUAACAGCAGCUGUAGGUUUCUUAUCCUCGCGACUGCUGGAAACUUUUUGUCCAUUAAUGCUUAAAGAGUCUCUGCUUCUUUCUGACAAUUGUGCAGAGCGCGCCUCUUCAACAUGAUCAAAAAACCUGUAUAAGUUUUCCUCGUGAAAGUACAAGUAAGGUUUGAUGGAAACUGCUAGAUACGUCAAAGAGCAGCAAUGUACCAGGUUUUUGGGCAGAAAUACUAUGAGGAACUUUUUUUGGCACAGGAAGCUCAGCAUCAUCAGCUAAUAGAAAUGAGUAAUCCCUGGUAUUUUUUAGCAUCUCGACUUUCUUUUGUAGCUGCGAUGAUAAAAUUUUCAGAUGCAAAGCCUCCCAAAUAAAAGAGCACAACAGCACAUCAUACAAGCGAAGGGGAAAGAGGAAGCAUAAAUGCAAAAACCAAAAUAUUACCCCAUUUGUAACUUUUGCUCGGGGGCCAGCACCAGCUUGAGACUUUGACACAGAUGAGGCUGAACCAGAGCUCUUGUUUCCCUGCAGGGAGAUCAUGGCCCAUCCACAGCAUUAAUUUCUUAAAGAAGGAUACGGAAGAAAAUUUUACAUCAUCAGCAAAGUCACUAAUAUGCACCAUAUCAGUUUAGUUCACUAACAGUUGGUUGUAUACUGGAAUCUAGAUUUAGUAAGCUACCAUAGAGUACAAGUCAUGUGCAACUAGAGGCUGAAAAUAAAGGUUGCAUCUCCAUUCAAUGAUGAGAUAUGUCCUUCAACACAUUUAAAAGUCAACCUUUGCUAAAUCCGACAUGAAUUAUAACUUCGAUGGUCUUAACCCAAACUAUGGCAGAGCCAUCUCUGUUAAAUUGUAUGCUAAUCAUUAUAAAAGCCAACCUAGAAGUUCCUUUUAGGAUAGGUAAUAACCAUGCACAGCAAUUUCAAACACUAGGAACCAAAGCCAACACCAAGUUCUUAGCUGAACAAACUUUCUCGACAUACACUUUGAUUAAAUUUAAUGACUCUAGCUGCCAAAUCCGGGUUCUCAAGUAAUGACUUGCUUUCUUCGAUCACUCUCUGAGCAAUAACUGGUUGUGAAGGUCCAAAAAAGGAACCAUAACUGCACCACAAGAAAAAUUAAAUUAAAUUAAAAAAAAGAUCAGUUAAAACCUUGCAGCUCGGAAUGUAUUUGAAUCUUCAAUAUUGGAGAGCAAGUGAGAAGUGUAAAAUCAUUGAAACUGCCAAGAGAUGCACAAUUACAGUAGGUGUCAAGAAAUACAUUGAUCAAUUAUAAUUUAUUAGUAAUUAAAUGCCAAGCAAAGAUCAACAAAAAUAAACUGUAGGAUCCCAGCAUUCGUCAAGUUCAGAAUUGCACCAAUUUCUUGCAUUUCAGUCGUUUUGCGCACUUUCCAACACAGUACUUCAGUCUUUCAGUAAACAAAGUAGUAGCAACAAGGAACCGAUGGCAACUAAAUCAGAUACACUGCAACAAUUGGCAGAUAUCCUAACUUUGCAGUUGAAAAACUCCACUAUAUAAUUGGACACAUACGCAUCUUAUUUUGCCAAUUCUGUUCAUUGUUAUUUAAAGCUCUACCUGUUUAAAUUCUUGAAAUCAGAGAAUACAUGCAUUCCAGCAAAAUUAUAUCAUGCCUACAUUUAUUUCUAUAGUCACUGCAAGAGAAAAAUUUUAAAACGAAGGAUUGUCUCUACGUUCUGUACCAAUUUGCAAAUUUUCCUGUUUAAGUAGAAUAGGAAAUCCAGUGGUAAGUAACCCUCCAUCAUUACUGUCUGCUAUUAAUGUUAGAUGUUAUGGCAAAUAUAUCAAAACUUCCAUUCCCAGAAAUAUAGUACUUACGUAUCCUUUGAGAUCACAUCCUUUGAGAUCACAUUCUUUUUCUCACGAGAACUGCCAUUAGCAGUUCCCAAUUCCUUCUUCAACUUCUUUCUUUUCUCUUCUUUUAAUCGUUGCCUCAGUUCAAGAUAAUUCAACACCUCCUUGGCAGGCUUAGGAUCGUCUUCCUCUUCAUAUUCAUCUUCACCAGCAUCUUUCUCUUCUUGCUCAUCACCAUCCUCCUCAUACUCGUCUAAAUCUUCAUACUCCUGCAUUAAUAAAACUUCAUUGAACAUGCUACACACAUCCAUUAAUGCAAAAGAAAUGUGAAGGAAGUCAAGGCGAGCUUUCAUACAUCAUAUCUAUCAUGUGCUCGCAUUGCUGCAUGAACUCACGAGGCAAGAUUUUCCAGACGCUUGCUCCUUAAAAACCUGAAAACAGCAAUGCCCAAUCAGAGUAAAUAAAAUCAGGGAAAGCUGAAUUUUGGAGAACCAACACCAAGAAACCAAAAUGUAGCAUACAAAAAAAGAAUUAAAACUUCCGAGCUUCUUAUCCGUGUAAAGGACAUAACAAAUUCGACAAUUUUGCAUAUACAACUUAUCAAACCGUAUUCAGAAAGGAGACUAUACCAAAAACACCACCUAAAUUUGACAUUUUCACUACGUGGAUAAAUUUCAAAUUUUCAAAAUUGCAAUACUUGAACAAAUUUCUUGGCCUUCAUCAGGUAAAAAAUAGAAAUACUUUUGAGGUUAAAAAUGUUCCGCAAUCCUCUCACUCUAAAUCAGCCGUGAAACGAAAGAUUCCUUGCCACUGUAUCAUUUGCGCAAGGAAUCCGAAAAUUCAAUUUCAGUCAGAAAACCAGAACAUAGGUCCAAAACCCUAAUUACCGAUAAGAAAGUUGACAAUAGAAGUAUUUUAAAAAAGAAUCAAAUCCCAAUCAGCAUUAGAUUUCAGAUCCAUGAUCAAGCGUUGACGUACCCAAAAAUUGAUAAAGGAACAAUCGUGUGCCUCUGAGUCGAUCAAAACCAAUAUAAAGCCCUAAAUUCUCUUAUAUUUUGGCGGAAAAGAAAAAAGUCCAAACCUUUUAUCUAAAUCAGUCGGUUUCAGGCAAUUCCCAGCUGAAUAAAACCCCAAGAAAGAACAACGAUCUACAAUCGGUCAGCAAGACGAGAAGCCCCAUAUGAAAAAUCAAGAGGAAAAAAAAGAAAAAGAAGAUGAAUCAUUACCUCAGUUGAUCCGAAAAACCUGAAAAUCGGGUGGAAUUGAUCGAAAUUGAACAAACGUGAGCAAAAUCGAAUCCAGAUCCGAGGCGGCGAUUGCUGAGAGGGGAAGGAAAGGAUGAUCGUAGAGAGCAAGAAGGCUUCGCCGAAGCAUACAACAUAGAAGACAAGAUAAAGUGUGUAGGGCUAGAAGAAGGAGCAACGGAAGGACCCAGAAACAACGGGGAUUCAUGCUAACAUGCGCAUGGAGCGUGGUAAAUAGUGGCAGCUGCAGCAGCACCAGAAGCCCAAACCCAAACCAGGGUUGGGUCUGAGACCGACUGUGGUAAUGGUAGUUGGACAUUUUCAGUUUUGGAGUCCGCGGGUCGACUCGUGCUUCGGACACAUGUCUGAUUGGAUUUGGCUCUUUGGGGGUUUCUUCGACAAGUAGUAGUGAAUAAAUGGAGCCUAUGGCGGUUGCGGUAACGGAUGGAGUAAUGAGAAUUAUGGCCUCCGUUGACUGUGUCGUGUUUUUACUAAUUAUCACAACCACUUUCCCCAUCUCCUGCCGCAACAUCAGGGCAGGAUUUACAAGUGGUAGCAAUUCCGAAAAAUUUUGUACUCCGGGGUAAAGAGGUGGUAGUUAUUUCCAAAAUUGUAGGAGUAAAAUAUUACUAUAUUCAAAAAGAAUAAUUUUGAUGGAUUUUUUAGAUAAAACUUUUUAGAUAAUCACUAAGAUGGACUCAAUGGUCAAUGAAGUGCAUUUUUCCGUUGUCAUGCUCAGGGUUUGAAUCUUGAAUUUUGAAAUUAAGAAAAUAAAUGGUGUCGACUGAUAAGUACUAGAGUGAAAAAUGGGUGUUGGGAGAUGAUCAGUAGGGUGAAACUUGGAUUUUGGAAUUAAAAAUAGGAAGGGUGUCAGGAGAUCAUCAAUGUGGUGAAUUUUGAAUUUUGUAGUUGAGACUUGAGAAUAGGAAGGGUGUUGAAAGAUAAAUCACUGGAUUUGCUUUAGCGAUCUGCAAUUGAGAAUAGGAAGGAUGUUGAGAGAUAAUGAUUUUAGAAUUUUGUGGCAUGGUGAUUAGUAGUUGAUAAUAGGAAGGUGUUGGGAGAUAAUUGCUCCGUUUAUAUUAGCUAUUUCUUGGGGUGUUUUUCAAAAAUUUUACCGUAAUAGAGUUUUUAGAUUAUAUUUUGGAUAUUUUUUAAGAGUAUAAAAAUUUCUAGAAUAUAUUUUGAAAUGUUUUUAAAAUUUUAAAAAAAUUUAAACUAAUUUUUAAAUGACCUUUUAGAGUACUUUUUAAAAAUUUUUAUUGUAUUUAAAAAACUAGUUUUUGAAAAACAAACCCAUCCUCUCUCUGACUCUCACUCUCUCUCUCUCUCUCUUAAUUGAAAAGUUUACACACUUGAAUUGAUGAAUGUGUUAGGCUGUAUAUGAAAAGAUUUAGUAGAAUACUAAAAGACACUUUACCUUCUUUUUUCCAAUUUGAACUAGUAAUUGUCAGUUCUCACAAUAUUGAGUAAAGUUUACUAGUGUGAGAAUUUGUAUUGUUUUCUCUUAUUUUGCUGCUUGUGUUACAAUUUACGCGUCCUUUACCAAGUGGAUUAGAUGUCCAUCACUUAUAUGAACAGUUGAACAGUGACUGAUUGUUUGCUGAACUCUUGCACACCAUGCUAUGUCUGAUUAUUUGCUAAAGUUUAUUAUUCCAUAAUUCUAAUAUAUUGUAUGCUCUCCACGAAACAUAGGACUAAAACAUGGUACAAGUGUUUUAUUGAGAAAAAUAUGAACUAGUUAUGGAAAGAGGAAAUAAAAAAUAAAAAACACCAUCUUUUUCUUCACUACAAGCAUUUCUUGCCUUUUUUGUGUGUAUUUUAUAUACUUAUUUUUUCUCUUCAAAUAUUCACCUAAUAUAGUAAUUUUAAUAUGCUUAGAAAGAGAAGACAUGUGUUUUUUUUUUUUUUUAAUUUUGUUUCUAUCGCACAAAUUCUUCUAAAUGUAUAUAGGAUUAUCCUUUUUAUAGAGCAAUUCAACCUUAAAAAAUAAUAAAAAAAAAAAGUCUAUUGUGAACAUGGUUAAUUUCUUAAUAUCCGUUGUUUGAUGGUUGCAUUUGGUUCACUAACUACUACGUGAUUAUUUUCGUUCCAUUAGAAUCAUUACCAAAAACAUAAUGCUAUAUAUUCACUUGCGCUAAUUUAUACUAGGAACAGAAUCAGCCAUCCAGUUCACAGGAGCUGAUUUAUUUUAUUUCAGAUUUCACCAAGGGAAUGGCGUGAGGCACUCUUGUCUCACAAAAUGGGAAGGGAAUAGGACCGCUAGCUACUUAUUUGCAUCAAUUGUAGCUUUUUUUCUAUUCUUACAUAUGAGGUUCCAGUACUCAUUUCUUCCAACAUGUUAGAAUACAGGACCAGCAGCCAAAAUCUCUUCUGCCAAGUUGUUAUCUAUCCCGAUCUUGUGGCUUACGAAUACUUCAAAGUUGUUCUUGAAAAGGCCAGCUAGCUUCAGCAGUGUUUCAUUAUAAGCAUCCUUGUCGGACCACUACACCACAAGAUUGAAGGAUGUAACUCGAACAUGAAUGGUAAGCAACAGAAUGAAAGACUGGUAAAAAAUGAGGACAAGUUAGUCAGAAAUGAAGAAUAGAAAUCGUCAACUAACAGUGUUCACGGGAUCCAGAAUAUCAGAAGGCACUCCCUCAAUCUCGGAUGGAAUUUCAAGCCCAAACACCUCAGUCUUUUUGUAAUUUGCAUUCAAAAGACUUCCUGAGUGUAUGGCAUCAAUUAUUUUCCGUGUAUGCGCCAACUUUAUACGGCUUCCUACACCGUAUCUGCAAGAGAAACAAGAGACAAGCAUUAGCAUAAUUAGUUCUGCAACAAUGUUGUAUGAAGUUCUCAGUUAAGUUUACACGUUAGGAAAUUGAAUAUUCUAUUUGUGCUACUUGUACACAUGCAUACCUUCCUCCCGACCAACCAGUGUUAACGAGCCACCCUGUUGCACCGUGUUUCUGCAUCUUUUCAGCCAACAUUGCAGCAUACUUAGUAGGAUGCAACAUGAUAAAUGCUGCGCCAAAGCAUGCAGAAAAUGUAGCCUGGGGCUCUUUUAUGCCAUCCUCCGUGCCUGCAACCUGUAUUUAAGAAUAUUUCCGUGAGAAUAAAGCAAGUUAGAGAUACAAAACGAAGAAAAGAAGAGAAGGGAUCUCAAGAAAGCUUUGUAUUGCACAAUCGAUAUUGAUGAAUUUGCCUUGAGAAAUUAAAGGGUACUCUAUGAAGAGGGAUAGAUACCAGAGCAGUGUAGCCGCUGAUGAAAUGGUACAUGGUCUGUGCCAGGCUCAGCUUGCUCACAGGGGGAAGAACACCGAAGGCAUCACAAGCCAAGAGUAUGACGUUCUUUGGGUGUGGGCCAACACAUGGAAGUUUUGCGUUAGGAAUGAAUUCAAUGGGAUAGGCUGCACGGGUAUUUUCUGAGGAAACAAACAAGCAAGUUUAUUGAGCAGUCAGAUGUUCAUAAAAAUUUGACACAAAUUAUCUUCUACAUCAUUUAUUAAGCAAGUUCAAGAUCUAUGCGCUCAGAUUUUUCCGUCAAUAGUGACUACUUAAAUCAAGCUUCAUCAUUUUUCUAGAACCAAAUCCAACAUUGGGAAUUUAGUCUCCAGGCAUAAAUUGUUUGACUAUUGGCUAGCUAUCCCUCAAAGCAUAAUGUGAUGGAUACAACGACUAUUAGAGGUCAAACUUGCUCACUACACUAACCAUUUUGAACUGACCCCAUCCCACCUAGUGUUUAAUAUUAUUAAGCUUGUAAACAUUGUCAACUAAGGCUUAACUGCUUUCCUAAUAACCACAUAUCUUCUUUUUCAAUUGUUUUCCCCAUUAGACAAAUUUGGGCGGCCAAGAUGAGGAUAUGCUUCAUAUAAUAUAAUGUCAUAAAAAGCAAAAUCCAGUUAAGGACUGGAUCACCAAGACAGUGAAUUUCUUUUGCAUUUAUUACCUGUGACAGAUUUAUCUGUAUAAUCCACUUCUCUUGUAUGCUCUUCGAAUACCACAUUCUCCAGCACUGGAAGCACCGGGUAAUAUAAAUAAUCAUAUAGAGAAUGACAUUUUUUAAGAUAAAAAGAUAGUCGAUAACAAACUAAAUAGAAUUAGCUUACCAUUGAUCUUUUGAUUUUGAAACAAAAUGACGAUUUGAUUUAUUUAGAGGUUAGAAGAGAAAGAGCAGUGUACCAGUCCCAAACUUAAUAGCGUUCCAGAUGUCAGGUUCCUUCUCCCUUGAGAGAUCAAUGCAUUUGGCAUAACAACCACCUUCAAUGUUGGCCACCCCAGUGUCACUCCAACAGUGUUCAUCAUCUCCAAUUAAAAAUCGAUUGUGAUCAGUAGACAGAGUAGUCUUUCCGGUCCCUAGAUGAUGAAAACAACGGGAAAGAAAACUCAGUAACUAGAAUGGAUUACAUAAACAAAGCUGUAUCGUCACCUUCAAUCAGUCGUGAAGAGCUAAAGGCAAGAAGAGAUAAACUAGCUGGCAAAGGAUACCCACACAUCAGAAAAUCGAUCCAAUGAUACCUUACCUGACAAUCCAAAGAAGAGGGCAACAUCUCCAUCUUUGCCCAUAUUGCUACCAGAGUGUAAUGAGAGAAUUUGACGUUUAGGCAUGAGAUAAUGCAUGACACUGAAUAGGCCUUUCUUCAUUUCCCCAGCAUACUGGGUACCGAGGAUGACCAUUUCCCUUCUAGCCAGGUUUAAAUCUAUGCUAGUAGACGAUGUCAUAUAAUGGGUAUAACGAUUACAGGGAAACUGUCCAGCAUUGUAUAUAGUGAAGUCCGGAGUACCAAAGUUUUCCAGCUCUUCAGGAGUGGGUCGGAUACACCUGCCACCCACCCAGUUAUCCAAUUGUAUAUACAUAGAGCUAACGGUAUUAUGACACUUGAGAAACUACAGGCUUUUAAAACUUAAUGACUAUAUCUUAUAGCAGGGAUUGUAACAAUCUAGAAAAUUUUCAACGGUAAUUAAACUUAUCUGGUAGGUUUAAACCUGGUAGAAUGCAACAACAAUAUUGAUAAAUAAGGCCACUUACAUGUUAUGCAUAAACAAGGAAUGAUAAGCUCUGGCAGAAACAAUUCGGACUUUGAUGCGAUUCUGAGGAUCCCAGUUUAGAAAUUGAUCAUUGACAAAGACCUGGAAUCGUUGUCAAAUCAGGAUAUGUGAUGAUUCGGCUCAGCAUUAUAACUCUUAUUUCUUUUUUGAACAUCUAAAAAGCUUGGCAAGUGAUUCAAUCAGUUUUAUGUUGUCUUAAUCAUGCAUGGUGCAAAAAUCGCACUGUGUUGUAGUUUUAGGUGCGUAUGACUAACUAGGAACAUAUUCAAAUGUGGACAACCAACUUGGUACUACUUGACAAGGGAUCAAGAACUGUGAAUAUGCUACCUUAACUCAUGGCAGACACAGAUAAAAAAGUAUUUAUUCCUUAGCCUUUAAAAUUUGGCAUUUUAAUCAUAUUCUAAAUUUCUAAUUGAAUCUAUUAAUUUUUUCAUUCCAUAAAGUUCUUUUUUCUUAGAAAAAAAAACGUUACAUAUAUUUCAUAAUUCUGACUCUAGAGUAGGAUAAAGUUUUAUAAAUAACUUGUCAAAUAGAUAAGUAAACUGAUCUCAUUUUACAUCACCAAAAUCAAUUACGAAGGAAAACUUAUGGAUUACCUUCUCUAAAGAAUUCAAAUAAUCCACAGCCCUUUCUCUAUUGACCAUGAAUGUCUGCUCAUCCAUCUCAAUAUUUGGCGAUCCCCUACACAAAGCACAUGAGAAUAUAACUUAGUUGGCAAAAUGUACCUAACUUCUUGCAUGAACAAGUCAAAAAGUCAAUUCCCAUGAUUGCUGGGGGUAGUAUUAAUUGUCUGUCCACGCUUAAAUUAUGCUUGGGAAGAGAGUAUUACAACAGAGAUAGAAAAGGAGUACUCAACUUACUUUCCCCACCAAAGGUCAUCCUGUGUAGUCUCGUCUUUAACGACACGUUUAUCCUUAGGGGAACGUCCAGUCUUGGCACCAGAAAGCGUUGCUAGUGCACCAGUAGACGUAAUAAAUGACCCUUUUUCAUACUUGAUCGCCUGCUCGUAUAACUCUGUUUUCACAUCAGAUAAAUGCAUUACAAGAAUGUACGAUUAAUGGUUCAUCUCUCAUCUAGUUGAUUUAUUUUUUCAUUAUAAGUAGACAGUAUAAUAAAGAAGAAGCAGAAGAAGAAGAAGAUCUGCAGUCUAUAAAGAAGAAGAGAGAUUAUACCAGCAGGAGAGAGGUUGUAAAGGACGUGAGUGAAUUUCAACGAACUGUCACUAACGCUGAUGGUUGGGGUGCCAUGGGCAGGGUGUUGGGUUACGUGUGAAACCCCUGCAGUUUCGGCCUUUCUCGCCGGGUCUCCUUUCACCAGUUUGGGUCCAUAUCCUCUUGUCAGCGAUGCUAGAGAAGCACUGAAUAAUAAAGAGACCACCCCAAAACAAAAUUAUAUAAUAAAAGAAAAAUAAGAGAAAGAGGAAUGAUAUAUGCUGCACAGAGAAUUUUUGUUGAAGAAAUAGUAAGUGAUAGAUACAAAAUACAGAAAAAAUGUGAAAUAUGAAAAUAAGUAAGUCGUGCAAUAAUCGCUUAAUAAGGAGAAAGGCUCUUAGAGGCUUCCCUAAUGCCACGUUCAGAAAAUAAUUCUGUAGCGGAUAGUUGGGAGUGAAAAGUGUAUGGGAAGAGGCGAAUGGAUAAAGAAAAAAAUAUUUAUGUAUUCUUCUUUUGCUCUAUUAUUUUCUUUGUUUCUCUAAAACAGUAACAUGCUAAGACAUCCAUCCAUGCAUCCUGAUAAAUGUAGUCCUUUUUCUAGUCCUGCAACAAUUUUUGCAUUUUCAUAACCAAGCUAUUUGGUACUCGUACUAGUGACAUGAGUACAUGCAAAGUUAGAAUGUCAAAUGCUCUCCAAUCCAUCAUUAAACUUUCAAAGGGUAACAUCUUCAUCUACUGGUUGCUUUACGUUCUAGAAGAGAGCUUAAAAGGGUAUCAUUUUGAUUUAGUCUUUUUCCAUUAUCGAAAUCAAUUAGUACUUGUUUCUGGUUUCUAGUAUUUUCUAGUAUUGAAUAUUGAUUACCUGAUGGACUGCAGCUGCUGUUUCUGACGUUCUUGGCCAGACGGAGGAGCAAAAGCAACAUCCUGAGUCUUGUCGGGAGUGGGAGUAGAAGGUGCUGACUUCUUCAUCUGCAACGAAUGAAGCUCGUCUAUUGUUUGAGCCUUCACGGUUGGCACGCUGUCGUCGUGACAUAUUUCGUCAUGACUCUUGUCCGUCUGAAUCUUCGGUAAUCCCUGGCGUCCAGCUGCCUCUUCGUUUGAAGUCAUUUUGUCUGCUCUUUUAUAAAUUUACCCUACACCAUAUCAAACCAUCUUCCAUAACUCAUUAAUAUAACAUAUAUAAUGGACCCCCAAAGAAAAAACAAACAAAGAAAAUCAAACAAUACACACCGAAAAAUGCAAGCUGAAGAAGAAAACUACUACGAUAAAGAAUAUGGGCUUUUAAAGAAAAUUGGCAGAUAUAAAACAAACAAAUGACUGAACCAUCAAAAUGGUUAUAAGUGUGAUGUGAUAUCACUGCCUUGUUUUACGGCUAAGCAGAAGGUGAUGAAAUGUGGUGUAGCUCAAAUACAGAGGUCGUAUUUAUAGGACUGAGGAGCACUCUUUUACCGUAGAUUACAGUUAAACUCUUGGGGCCUUGACCGGUUCACCAUGUCAAGCUCCAUGGUCUCCGGACAUUUCAUUUAGUUGUCUUUUGAUUUUUAUCUUAUCCUUUUUCUUAGUUACAACAUCUUUUGAUAUCUUUAUUUAUACUAUAUAAGAAUUAGUUGUGGUCAAAGAGAGAUUUGAAUUUCAACCGUAUGAUAGAAGCUUUUUGAAAAUGUGAAAUGUUGUACAGUUUUUUUAAAAAUUUUUGGUACAACUAAAAGGCAGCAUGUGCUUAUUUAAAUUUAUCGAAAUGCUCUCAUUUUAGCACAUUUAAAGCUUUGAUUUAUGGAGACAUUUGAGUAUUUCUGGAAUAUAGAAUUAUUUUGCAAUCGUUUUUACAUCGAGUAUAACUCAUAUAAGUUUAUGUGUUGGUGUAUUUACUGAAAUGAUAUUAUAUACACGUUGAAUUGAAGUGUAGCUUUUGUUGUGCAAUUAACACAAAAAUAUAUUAACACAUUAUGUAAUUAACACAUUGCUAUAAUUAGCCAUUGGAGGAUAUUCCUUUGUCUGAAACAACUUAUGUUUCAUCUUUGACGAUUUUCAAUUGACAUUUGUAGGGGUCUUUUGGUAAUGAUAAAAUUGUAAAAACAUUGAUAAAACAAAGUGUUUAAGUGUGUGUUACAAUUAGAACAUACUAUUAUUAGUUUUGUAAUAUUUAAUGACUAUUUUUUUAAAUAUAUUAUUAUUUGUUCAAUGAAAAAUUUUAUUUAAUCACAAGCACCAAACACCCGCACGAUACACGAGCAUUCCCCCCUAGUACUACUAGUUUUUCUGAUAGAAAGCGCUGCGAUAAAAGUCCCGAAAUUCAUGAGUUGCUUUAAUGUGUUAGGAUGGUUAAUUAUUUGGAAAAUUAUUUUAGAAUAGCACCAUAACAAAUUUUGUGAAGUUAUGCAUGUCAUGUAAAAAGUGGAUGGAGAGAUAAAAAGAGUGAUUCAAAACCGGUUUAUGAUGCAAACAAAAAGUACUGCCAAAUGACAAUAUAACCAGAUAAUCCAAGUUUAACAGAUAAUGUACAAAAAUACAGCAAUACAUGGAAUGCAAAAUGAGUCCAGAAUCUUUUUUAUUUCCCUCAUCACGAAAAAUCUUACUUCAUUUCGUCAGAACAAAUUCUGAAAAUACUAAAUCAUCGUAAUGAUAAUAACUGAACUAUUGAGAUUUUACUAAAUUAUGGAAGUUAUCUGCAUGUGCCUCCAUGCCAUGGCAUCAUUCGACUACCUUAUGGGGUGCUUCAUUUACAUCUUAAAAAGUAUUGUGAUACAAUCACUGCAAAUUAUGCGAAGUUUUUAAUAUGUCUCAUUGAGCAGAUAGAUUUUUUUAUUCUGUUACCAUUUUCAUUUUCUUUGCUAGUAACCAUAGAUUGGUCCCCAACUUUCUUCAUUCUUCAAUUGUUUUAUAGCUAGUUUGUGAGUUGAGGAUAGAAAAGAAAGGAAGAGAAAGGUUAAGUUACAAGAGAAAAGAAAAGAUAAGAAAAGAAGGGAAGAGGUUUUAAUGUUGUUUGGGAGUUUAUGAAAGAAAAGAAGUGAUUUUGGACACAUAAGUAAAUAAAUAUUUCAUUCAACAGCUUUUUAGGGGUAGAAUGGGCAAUUUAAAAAACUUUUUGCUGCCUUUCCGUGCUUUCCUUUGCUUUCUGCCCGAUUUGGGCCGGAAAUUUUUUUGAAACUGUAGCUAUUUUUUCGUCCUUCCAAUUCCGUCGGUUUCUUUUCCUUUCCUUUCACUUAAAACUCUCAAAUGUGGGAGAUGCAGUCUUUCUCUUCUAUUCCUUUCUUUUCUGUUCAAAUCUCAUCUCCCAAACUAGCUAUUAAUGUCUUUCAAUCCUGAUAUUUGCCUAAUGUAUGGUAUUAUAUUGACUUAAAAAGGAAAUAUGUCAAGUUUAAUAGUAGGAUAUAUUCAUUUUAAGCUAAUCUGUUAGGUGUUUAUUAGUUGAUUAAUCUAUAUAAAUACUAGUAUUAGUUAGAAAGAGAAAAUUCAUUUUAUUUCUAAUAAAUUAUACAUGAUUUGCACCCAACAAACUUAUACGCUAAAUAGAGAAUAAAUGAAUUCGUUAGAAUGGAAGAUUAUUUGAAGAAUUUUUUUUAGAAUAAUACCGGAGCAUUUUUUUAUGAUGUUAUCUAUAAAAAGAUGCUUGAAAUAGUGAAAAAGUUGUUGAAAAAUAUAUAUAUAAUGCAAGUAAAAUAAUUUUUAUAAAUAAGGGCCGUCGAAAUUCGAAACAAACCCCUUACACUUUUGUUUGUCAUAUUGUCUUAUUUUAUUUUGUUAUUGUCAUUGUUAUUAUUUAUUUAUUUUUUAGUACAGGGGGGGAUUACACUUGAAAGCGGCCCCCGUUUAAUCGACUAACAGGCUUUUAUAUUUAAGCCCAAAUUUAACAAACCCGGAUGCCCGCAACCCGGCUGGGUUCUUCAUCAUCAUUCCUCAGGAUUCAACAAAUUUGUCGUCUCCGCGUGACCAGGCAGAAGACGGCUGCCCGAAAAUGGAUUACAGAGACAAGCUAGUUUUGGCGCCUAUGGUCCGCGUUGUAAGUUUCUACAACCUUAUUGUUUUCUAAACUAUAUCUGUUUAGCAUCUUAUGUUGUCGCAGCUCUAAUUAUUACCUAUCCACAAGAAUGAAUUUAUUCUCUGAAAACAAAAUAAAGCUAAAAAGUGAAGACAUUUUACAGGGGACGUUGCCAUUCAGGUUACUAGCUGCAGAAUAUGGCGCCGAUAUAACAUAUGGGGAAGAAAUUAUUGAUCAUAAACUCCUCAAGUGCGAGCGUCGAAUUAAUGGUAUUGAUUUCGUUUUUCUUAAUUAUUAUGACUGUUCUUUCCUUGCACAUUUGAUUCUAUUAGUAAGUUGAGUUAUAUUAUACUAGAAUCUAGCACCAGUAUAACUGAUAGCCGGGAUUUGUGUUUCGAUGGAAAAAUGGGGGAAUGAAGUAUAUGUAACUGUCUAAACAAUUUUUGUAUUGGGUCAGCUUUAAUUAGUCUUCCUCAACUUCUGCCUGUAUAAUUUAGCUACAUGCGACUUAAUGUGAUCGUUUUUGGAGGCUGAGCUUAAAACAAAUCAACUCAAAAGAAGCUUUCUGCCCUUUCUUACCACCUCCUAGGCACCUUAUGCUGUAAGCAUUUGAAUGAUGUUUCCUCAUUUCAAACGUAAUUGCUUUUCGUUGUAGGUGCAUAUCAAACUUAGGUUAUACAUUUGCUGUGUGUUCCAAUUCGUGAAAAUGCAUUGUCUGGUGAGGAAAGGGUGAUAAAUGUCAGAGUUUUUGGAUGCCAGUAUAAAGUGAAGCUAGUGAACAAAUGUUACAUACAAUAAAUAUGGUGCCCCAUAUAAGUUCGCUUAUGGUUGCGGCAAAUGGUUUGUUAAUGGUGGUUUAAAGGGACAAGAGGUUUUGACCAUAAUAAGUACUUGGAAGCUAGUGAGUGGAAAGUUGGUGACGCUGCUUAACAUGGUUACAAGAUAUGUCCUUCCCAAACUUAAAAAUUCAACCCUGUUUGCUUUAGCCAUCUAAUCAUUGCAUGAGAGGCAUUUCUUCUUCGCAAAAUAUAAAACUUUUUUUUCUUUUCCGUCCUACUCUUCUUCUCGUGUGAAAUUUGCUUGCUUUGUGAACUUAAUGGAGUCAGACUAUUAGCUUUAUUGAUGUGUUGAAUAUUCUAAUCCAGUUCUGUUCUUUUUAUAGAUGUGCUCAGAUGCACUGAUAUAGUGGAGAAAGGAACAGAAAGCGUUGUUUUCAGAACAUGCCCAGAAGAGAGAAAUAAGGUUGUAUUUCAGAUGGGUACUUCUGAUGCAGUAAGGGCUCUUAAGGCUGCUCAGUUAGUGUAAGUUUGUUAUUCUUGUUAAGGUUUGGACUUCUCUAAGAAAUUUGGUCGGGUAGUUUAACCUGAAUGAGCUGACAUACUUUGUCUUCGAGACUUUUUUCUGAAUCUUACUUUAUUUUAGGGUUUUCAAGUCAGGUUUUACAGAUUCUUCAGUAUACCAUUUAGCUUUUCUGCUAUAGCUCUUUUUUGAUGUAUAGACAUUGGUAGUAGUGAUUUUGAUGCAUACCUAAUGCUUAGCUGUCUUUAAUAUGCUUUUCUGGAAGAUCCAAGUAAUUUGGCAUCACCCUUAAUCAAAUAUCAUUCAGCAAUGUCCUUUUGUGUCUGGCUGAUUACCAUUUUCAGCUGCUACUUACAUUCUUGGACAUGUGACUCCUUUUACAGGUGUAAGGAUGUUGCAGCAGUGGACAUUAAUAUGGGUUGCCCCAAGUCAUUUUCCUUAAGUGGAGGAAUGGGUGCUGCUCUUUUGACUAAACCAGAGCUGAUUCAAGAUGUUAGGAAAUCAACAUUGGUGGCUAGAAUUCUUGCUCCACCUUCUCACUGUAGAUUUUGCAAUCCACCAUUCUUUGACUUCUCUCUUUCAAAUGCAGAUUUUAACAACCUUAAAGAGGAAUUUGCAUAUGCCUGUGACAUGCAAGAUUCGGCUGUUAAAAUCCUCUCGUGAUACGGUGGAAUUAGCGCAGAGAAUUGAGAAAACUGGUGUUUCUGCUCUUGCUGUCCAUGGGAGGUGAUUUUUACGUCACCUUGCAUUUAAGAAUCCUUUUAAGCAAGUGUAGCUCUUCCCUUUGUUGUUCUUCUAGUAAAAUCUUUAAAGUACCAAUUCUGUCCAUCGCUACUUUUACAUUGGUUCGUGAUAUAUUUCAAUGGUCUAAUCAGUUACUUUAUCUUUGUCUAUGGGUGCCAUUCAAAUAUCCUGCUAAUGCUUUUCUUGUAGCUAUAGGCCAUUGCUUUCUAGAAAUUUUCCUUUAUUCAAGUAUUUAAUAGACUCUUGAAUGAAAGAAUUGCAGUUAUUGCUGUAGAAAUGCUGUCACUUUCAUUUUCAGUUCUACUAAGAGGAGGCAAAGUAUUAAUUCUCCAUAUUGACUUCUUGCCAAAGUAGUUCAUAAAGGAUGCUAGAUGUUGAAAGGUUGUCCUGCAAUUACCUUCUUGUUAAAAUGUUUACUUGAAUUCAAGAACAACUAUUUGGAUCUUUUCAAACUUUUUAAUUGCUGUUUCACCAAUGAUUAUGCAGGAGAGUUGCAGACAGGCCAAGAGACCCUGCUAAGUGGAAUGAAAUUGCUGAUGUGGUAGCUGCUCUUUCAAUACCUGUUAUAGCCAAUGGUGAUGUUUUUGAGUUUGAAGAUUUUGAACGCAUGAAAGUUGCUACAGGUAUGUAAAAAGAGAAUGCGUCAAUCUUUAGUCUUUCCUUCUUGACUUCAUCUAAUCUUUUUUGGGUCGAUAAUUUUUGUAGUCAUGAUAAUUUUUAGCAAUAAAAGGUACUUCUUUUCAUGAACAAUUAUUCCUAAGAUAUAUUAUUUAGCAGUAAUUGUAAAGGAACGGAUGGAUGAAUGGGUUUUGUCAGGAUGCUGAAGACUGCCUCUGUGGUCUUAAUGCUUUAGUCAAAGACAAAUUACUGUUUGUUAAACAACACUGGAAUAAUGUUAUGUAAUCUUUUGCACCAUUAUCUUGUUUGUGUUUUAAUGUGCAAUUUGGAUGUGGUUUUUGUGUACUAACCAAAGAUAUUUUAGUUGUCUAAUGAUUGAAAGCUAGUUGGCAUGUGCAAAAGGUUAUGAUGGAUUAAACAUGCUGGUUGUAAUACAGCCUCUAAAAUCUUUUUGAAUUUUUCUGGUUUUGCUAAUUCCUCUUUUUUAACCAUUCAUUCUCUACUAUGUCGUUCUCCCCUGUUUAUGCUUCCUCUGUGAUUGAUAUCUCCUUUAGUGAUUCCUGAGGUUCAAUGGGCUUUGUUGCCUACUCUAUGGGCACUUUAAUACUUCCAAACUCCUAUAUGAGGUUCUACUUCAGUAAUUGCCUGAUUCGCUUUAAGACAUGCUUGUUUACUGCUUUCCAAAAGCCUGCCUUAAAUUUUUGGCCAUGUUGUGGUUUUAGUUUUUCUUUUGAAAGAGGGUAUAGUUCGUUGGAGAUCUUUGUUUAUGUGGAUCCAAGCCUUUUUCGCUCUUUACCGUCUUUAGCUGACCUUUCUCUUCCUUGAGCAGACUUCUUUUCUAAGGGAAGUCAUCCAACUAGCUGAAGGGGAAUGUGGAAUUUUUAUGCUGGUAAACUCCAUAUUUUUUUGUUGAGAUGCAUUAAUUUGCUAAUGGCAUGCAGUCAAAUCUGGGUUCUGCUGCCUGUUAGACCUAGCUUUUUGUAGUCUCCUGAUAGGGGUACAAUGUAUUAUAGCUUUGUUGGAACAUUUGACAUAAAAUUGACAAAGUUAGGCAAACAUAUUGGGUUCUUUCAUCCACUCUACGUGAUUUGACUCACUUAUCAAUCUUUUUCUUUUUGAGGUUGGAUGUGCCAGUUAGUCUAUGGGAGAUUUUAACUAUUGGAUACAGGAUUAGGUUUAUACCCUGCCUCUGAACCUGGCUAUCACCCUUAUCUUCAGUUUCUGUAUUCAGGGUGGUGUGACUUUUCUGCCUAAUGUCAUAAUAGUUUGCUUACGUAAGACACCCUGUUAUUGAUUUCCCUCCUGACAGGUGCCUCAUGUGUUAUGGUUGCUAGAGGUGCUCUUUGGAAUGCUUCUAUUUUCUCUCCUACUGGCAAACUACCAUGGGAAGAUGUGAAAAGAGAGUAUAUAAGAAAGGUUCAGGCCUUUAGAUAAUUUUCAUUUUGCUUUUUUAUUCCUUGUAUAGUUUUAAAAGUUCAAUGUUUCUGGGUUUCCGAAUUAAGAAUGGUGAAGAAGUCAUGAUCAAUUUGCUUGCAAUUGAUUCUGUUUGAAAAUACUUUUUGCCAACCCUUCGGUCCUUUGUUCAGAGUAUCUUAUGGGAUAAUGACAUCAAGAGCACCAAGCAAACUCUGAAGGAAAUGAUAAUGCAUUACUCUUGCCUUGAAUUCCCGGAGGGAAAGGCUGUGACUAAGGCAGAGACUUUGGCAGAUCUUGCGUAAGUAUCACUUCAAAUUACUUUCUUGUCAUAAAUGUUCUUGCAAACGAAUUGAAGGUGUUACGCAACAUGGCACCGUCUAGGUAGAACUUCUCAUGAAGCUGUUAUUGAGGUCAACUAUUAUAGGUUCUUCAUGCGAGAUUAUUGUGUUGACUUUUCUUUCUUUCUUUUUUCAAGUCAACUUUAUGGGCAAGAGCAAUAUUAUGAGUAUGUCAAAUUGAACCAGCUCUCAUCUACUCGAAGUAGGUGAAAUCCUUUCAGCAGCUUAACCAUGAGCCUAAUUGCAAAAAGUAGGCAUGCUUGCUCUUCAGUCUGAGGAAUGCUGAUUUUUGUGGUUGUACUAUAUUGGGACUGCCUGCAGCACACGUAAUUGGCAGAACGUUUACCAUGUAAGAGCAUAUAAUUUGUCCGGCGAGCUUGCACUGAUUUCAUUCCAAUGAUAAUUUUUGCUAAAAAUUUGAGAACUUCUGGAUGUAUACAUAAAAAUUUAGCAGACCGAAUUUUCCUAAACCCCUUUGACUUUUUGGAUGGAUAUCACUUCAAAUUCUUGGCAGGCGUCUAUUUGAGUACCUGCACCUGGCAUUUCCUUCUAGUUUUUACAUGUACUGCCGGCGGCAUUUUCUGUCGCAGCCGUGUUAUAGCUUAUUAUUGGGCAAGAGCCAAUGAGCCAUAGUCACGCGAGAUGCAAAAUUCGAGAGCUGCAGCUACCCGCUUGUUUUUUUUUUUUUUUGGAUUUCAUGGUGUUUUAGGUGCUUUGUGGAAAUACGUCAGGGGAAUGAAAUAGCGAGGACAAGCCCCCCAUCAAAGACUGGGGAGAGGGUGCUAAUUGUUGCUAGCUGAUUUUAAAUUGAGGAGAGCUCUUUUCUACCGGAGGUUGUGGGUGAAAUGCUAUAAUAUGGUGCAACCACCUAAGGUCGAUAACUUAGUUCAAUACUUAAAUAUAAUAGAUUUAAAUUUUAGCAUAUUCAUACCGUUUGAUAACGAAAAUUGAACAUCCGAAUUAAUUAAGUGGUACUGAAUUUUUUGGGUAAAACUUGUUUUCAAAAUUAAAUGAUAAGCUAUUCACUUAUCAUUGAAUAUGAUAUGCAUUCAAAUAUAUUAAAUUUAAUAUUUAACAAUUCAAUAAUUUAAUUAAAUCAAACUUUAGAUUUUAUAUUUGAGAUUUUAGUUUUAUUAAACGCAUCCUAAAUCAUGCUACCUCAAUAAGUACGUGACAGAUUUAAGGGCGGUUCUUCCCCCAUUUUUAAUAGAUUGGUUUUUGGUUUCAUAAUUUUUGCUUAAUUUGAGCUAUUUUCUGCAAUGUUAUUCCUAUUUAGCUUCAUUGUUUUAUACUCUUGACCUUCCCGCGGUCCUAGAAUCGAAGGCAUACUAUGAGUUACUAUGAAUUUCUUUCUAAAUGCUACUAUCAUAUAUUCGGCCGUAAUGCAAAAUUUUGUUUCGGUUUGAAAUGAUUACAUGACAGGUCUAUCCAGUGAAAAUGCUAUAAAUAAGAUCGUGGAGUUCAAUGAUUAAGCAUUAAUGGAGAUUUUAUUUAAAUUGUUAUUACAUUCUAGUAGGUUUUAAUUGGUCAGAUUUGGCAAGAGUUUCUCACCUAAAUCCUAGAUUUUAGCCUUUAACAACAUACCCAAAAAAAAAAGGGAAAGAAACGGUUGGGAAUAUAACAUUGGCCGCCUCCUCAACAAAACCGCAGACCUCAUUCACUGCAGGAGAUUUGUGGAAGGGUAAAUGCUGAAAACCCCUAAGAAUUAUUAUAGUAAGUGCAUUUUACACUCUAAAUUAUUUUAACAGGCGCUUUAUAGCCUUAAUUAACCAGAAAAUAAUAAGAAAAUUAAUUCCAUCCAAAAAAUUGAAGAAAUUAUCAAUUUAUCUUCCAUUAAAACUUUAUAAGUGACAAAAUACCUUUUUGGUAGAAAAGUUGCCACUUUAAAUGGAUUAAUUUUCACUUCGUAAUCAAAUUCUAACUAUAAACAUAUAACAAUAAAAUAUAUGAUCACUUUGAAUGACAAUUAAAACAAAAGAAGUAUGAAAAAGAAGAAGAAGAAAGGGAACAAAUUUAGUUCAAAAAUCACAACAACCCUAUUUUAUUACAUAUUUCAAGUUAGCUUAGGUAAGAAAAGAUUGCAAUGAAGAAAAAAGGCACGUGAAGUCCUAUUUAUUUCUCAUGCAAGCCCAGUUAGGCUCCCUCUUUAGUCUCUCCCAUAGGAUAGAAGUAAUGUAGAUUGUUGCUGCUAAACUCAAAAAAAGUCUUAUUUAUUCCUCUAAUUUCGAGCUAUACCUUCGUUUUAUUUUUAUAUGCACAUAACAAAUGAAAUAAUUUAGGUGUUUUAUUUAAAAUUUUGAGUUCAAUAUUUUGUUUACUAAUAUUUAGAUUAGGUUUUAAUUUAGGUUUGGCAUUUUGAAUCUUUAUUGCUUUCAUAUGAAAAUUUUGUUUUCUAUGCUAAUUUUAUUCUUGUGAAGAUUUCAAGUGAAAUUUUGCUGGUUAUAUGAAGUAAUGGCAUUAUGAUGGGUCGGAGAAAAUUAUGAGAUUUUAAAAAUUGUAACCGUUGUAUCUCAAUAUUUCCAUAUUUUGCCCCUAUUUUAGUUCUAAUAGUCUUAUUAUUCAAAGCAAAGCUACAUAUAUAGUAAUCUUUUUCAUGAAAAUGGUGGUAUUUUUGUGACUUAAGUUUUUAUGGACAAUAAAUUGGUCAUUCCAUUAAUCACUUGGAAAAAAUUAAUUGUCAUAUUAUUUGUUAGUUGACUAAGGGUGCAAAGUGUCUACUAAUAUUUUAGGGUGCAAAUUGCAACUAGUGCAAAGUUGGUGCGAGCUCUCUGCAUUUAAUUCUAGAAUAAACAACGAAAAACGAGGGAUAAAAGUGGAAUGAAAUGGUUGAGAACCCAAACGUAAGCAAACGGCAAUCUGUUCUCCCUAAUUUAUUUAGAAAAUCUCUGGGCUUCUAUUCUCUCUCUCUCUCGAGCGUUUUCUUGUCAUCAAGCCAAGGUUCCACACAACAUCCGACCCGAACCACCUAACCCACCCUUCUGUCGACGGUCGGGUAUCCAUUUUCAUAGUUUAACAAUCUCCGGUAAGACACAAUACCAGCAUCUUCUUUUCUGUCCUAAACUCCCAAAGUACUUGGUGAUUAUAUUUUCUACUACUUUUGCUGAAACGACGCCGCCAGUGACCGGUGAGUUACUAGCAUAAAUUUGAAGGGGGAAAAAAGAUUAAAUUUUGAUGAGUGCUUAAAUUUUCGUGUCAUGAUUUUCGAUCUGAAUUUGUGUGGUGCAUCAUUAUUCACGCAUCCAAGCACACAGUUUAGUAUAUUUGUUGCGUGGAAGCAUCAUCUAUUAUUUGUUUUUUUUUAAUCUUUCUUCUUUAGAUAUGGAAUUGCUUCCGAGUUACUGCAUUUUGUUUUCUUUGUUUGUAAUGUUUGAUUCGGCGAAUUUGAGAAAUCGUUAUUUAUUUUUCUCCACGUAUUGUUGAUUCUUGAGUGUGAUUAGUAGGCGGAGCACUUCUGAUUGGGUGGGCUUAUAGAUGGCACUGCGGCUAAUUAACAUUCUAAUGCUUGUGUUAACUAAAUUGAGCUGCUUACAGAAAACGAAAAUAAAAAAACUGAAUUGAGCUGGUAUUACUUUUGCUUAGUUGAAAAGUUGCUUAAGAAGGAAAUCUUGCUGUUUUCUUUAUGACAAAAAAAAAGGGUGUUUCAACUGUGUUCUAUUGUUUAUUUUGUUUUAUUUCGGGAGAUAUUUAUUUAGGUCUCUUAGGAGAAUCGGAGGGGAAACUUGAGAAUAGAGUAUAUUACUUUCUCGUGUAGUUUGGGAGUCCCAGAGAGAAAACAGCAAUUCAGAAAGGAGUUCUAUUGAAGUUUGAGUUUUAUGGGUCAUUUUUUGUAGUUUUCUUUCAUCAUCAUCAUCUUCUUCUUCUUCUUCUUUUAAAUCGAAAUCCUUUUUCUUCAUUCCUUUUUGUUUUACUUGAGUAGUGAGUUAUAGAUUUAAAGAUGCAAUAAAAAAUUUGAUUAUCUUCUUAAGCUUGUUAUGCAUAUUUUAUGUUGGUGUUUAAACUUUUUCUCAUCUAUGUCAUCAUGUCUGAUUUAAGUUCAAGUUUUAGUGGUCAUGUGACCAUUGGAAUGAGGCACAUUCUAGGUUUCAUGGAAAAAUUUCCAGAAUUUUUUACUUUUUUUUUUCGGUUUCACCUAACAUUAGUAGAAUCUUCACUUGAAAGCUAAUUUUCUUGCAUUUUUACGCCUGGAGAGUAAAGACUAGCUGCACUCGACAUUUUGUUGCUUGUGUGUGUUUGGGUUGGGGGGGGGAGUCUUUUUUUUUUUUUUUUGAGGACAGAAUUCUCUGUUUUUGAAUAAUUCCCGUGCAUGUAUGUGCCUUUCUUAAAUUGUACAACAUUAACUGUAUUUCAGGUUUGCCCCUGAGUUGGUAUAACACAAAAAAGUUGUUAAAGUUGAAAAGACCCUGUCUUCCUCGGUGCUUUAACAACUUUCAGGUGACUUUUACCUUUUGUAUUCGUUUCCACUAAAUAAAUCUGUAUUCUUCGACUGUCAAUCUCCAAAAAAAGAGUCAUGUGUUUGGGUCUUAAGUUGUUUUUAUCACUAUUCAUUUAUUUUUCAUAGUCUGAUAUAUGGUCCGCUGGGUUGAACCUGCUAAGUGUAUUCUUUUUCGUUUGAAUCCGUGCUGUAGAUAAUCUCAUUAUUGAGCAAUAAAUUCUUCCAAUUAACACUUAAUAAGUUUUAGAUCUGAAAUUGGAUGAAGUUGGAGAGAGAUAAAUAACAGAAUUUUCAGAAUUUCAAAGCAAUUAAAUCUUGGGUGAUUAGCCAUUCUUAUUUGGCAUCCCGGUGCACUCAUAAAGACUGGCCCAUCAUUGUUGAUUGGGUUUUCAAGUUUUAUCAAGGCUUUUUCUUUGCUGAGUGAAGGGAAAUUUGAAACUUUAUCUGAAGUAACAGUCUGGAAAACAUGACCCGGACUUCCAUCUGCCAAAUCCCUCUACCUGUCAAAAAAUUUUAAAAGCCAUUGUCAAGUUAUUGUGGGUCUCAUAGGUUCAGGCUAUAUGUUACUUCACAUUUUUAUCCCAUUUGUUUAACAAUUUCAGCCAAGCUUCCUUUAUUCAUGUUGUGUAAGAGGUCCAAAUAUGACUCGUUUGAGCAGCUUGGUGAUGUUUGUUUUGUUAAAAUCCUACUGAUAAACAUAAGUGAAUCAUCAGCUACAAAUGUCUUAUCUAUGCAAAAGAACACUUUCUUUUGCCAUUUUACUCUUUUCCUUUUUGAAAGGCCUUUACUAAUCUUUCCAGAGCUAGUUAUGGGGCGUCAUUGACUCAUUGAACUCGAGCAAUAUUUUCUCUGUUCUCAUCUGGCCUUUGUCUUGUUGUGAUGUACUUUUGCCUGGUCAAGCCCUUGGAGUCACUUAAAAGAGUUUUGAGACCAUCUUUUGUUAUGAUUUUGAAUUUCUUUUGAUAUUUUGAGUCUCAGUCAUCUGGUAUUAAUUCUGACUUUCACAUAAACUGAAACUUAGAAGAGCAUAAUUAUAUUAUCUCUCUGAGAACCAAUGACCUUUUUGUUUUCCUCUUUUAAUUUCAAUUAUUUCACUCUGGCUGUACUUGUAAAGUACUAAUGAUCAUGUGGUGCAUAUAUAUGGAUUUUCUGUCUGGUUUCAUCAACAUACAAGUAAUUCAUGGAGUUCUUAUUGAGCUUUGCAGUGUUUUGUCUUUUAAAACUGCAGAUGUUAAAGCUUGAUUUUUGUUAUGUAGCUAAAUGACAAGACUAAUUUCCCUGGGCAAAGUUAGAUGACUCGAUAUGAGGCUGUACAUUGUUAAUAAUAUAGUAAAAUUGAAGUUCAUCUAAUAGAAAAAAUAUGCUGGAUACUAGGAUGAAGAAAGGAGCCUUCUUGCUAUAGACGAUUUGAGAGAGCCUAUCUUGGUGGUAACAAAUUAAACAAUAGCUUUUUUUGAUAAUCUCACUGGUUUUGUGAGUCAUGGAUAAAGAAAAGGUGUACCAUUCACCGACUAUUAUAGUUUGAGUAACUCGAGUAUGCCUACUCUUUGUUUUAAUCCCUUGAUAUUUAGUCUUCCAUCUGCCAUAUUUCGGGAGAAUUUCAUGAUGCUAGUUAAGUUGGUGAUCGUCUUUGGUCUUGAAUUGGAAAUCGUACAGGAGAAAAGUUUUAGGCAAUAUUGUUUCUUUUAAUGUGCUUGUUGUAAGUUUUAAUCAAAAUGUUGUUCUUUAUGGAAGUAUUGUACAAUGAGUCCUGACUGAGAUGUAACAUGGUCUCUAACUUUUUGAUUUCAAAAUCGACUAGUACACCUGUUUCUUCUUGAAAAGGGAAAGGGAGAAAGAAAACAAGUAAAUAGGGCGAAGAAAAGGGUAAAAACAAUUUUUUUUGUUAAAUGCAUAAUCACUCUUUUGUGUCUCCCGGCUUAGGGAAAAGCUGCUUCGGAAUAAGUUGGCUGAUCGUUUAUCUUUGAGACUUUAUAGGUACUUGUGUGUUUGUUUAUGAAGGUAGAAUAAUGUUUAUAUCAUCUCUUCUCUAAUCUAGGCAUUGAUAUUUACUAGUGAUGAAAUGUUUCUGCCUACUUUUAAUCUCUUGUAGAUUUCAUUUUUGCUUGCUUUUGCUUUUUCCUGUAAUGAGAGAAUGAGGAUCCUCUUGAGUUUUUGGGGACUCAUCAUUUUGAUCCCUUUCUUUUUGGCUGUGGUUGAUUAGAUUUAGAGUUUAUAAAGAAGGAACUUGAGCUAGUAUAAAAUGGAGUUGAAUACUAUCAAGGAUGCGUUUGAUCGUGUUACGAAGAAGCAGAAACUGUCAUCAUCAAAAUCCCAAGAAAUCAUAGAACAAAUUAGCCAAGAGAUAGAACAAGCCCUGUCAAGAAUAGGACCAGGUGAUGAUAUUAUGACUCAGACUGAUCCUAGGUUUGUGUUAUGUGAACUAAAAGCCAAGUUGAAAGAAAUCGGGCCUCUCAGUCAGCUUGAAGUGACACAGAAGGAAUUAAAUGUGGCAUUAAGCAAGUACCCAAAGCUCCUAGAGAAAUCCUUCAAUCCUGAUAUAUCAAAGGCUUACAGAAAUAUUGAUUUUGAUAUCCACACAGUGAACCAGAUAAUUGCCAGCCACUUUUAUCGGGAAGGGCAUUUUGAUCUCGGUGAUUGUUUUGUACAUGAGGCCCGGGAACCGGAAGCUGAAGCUGCAAAGUCAUCUUUUGCCGAAAUGUACCAGAUACUUGAAGCCAUGAAAUUACGCAACUUGGAGCCUGCUUUGAAGUGGGCUGCUACCAAUCAUGAUCAGCUUAACCAAAAUGGUUCUGACAUUGAAUUGAAACUUCAUCGCCUUCAGUUUGUGGAAAUUUUACAGAAAAAGCGUAGAGAUGAAGCUCUUAAUUAUGCUAAAACUUUUUUGGCUCCUUUUGCUAAGAGUCACAUGGCUGAGUUCCAGAAGCUUAUGGGCUGUCUGUUGUGGGCUGGAAAGCUUGAUGCUUCACCAUAUGCUGAAUUGCUGUCCCCAGUGCACUGGGACAAGUUGUCUGAGGAGCUUACCCGGCAUUUCUGCAAUUUAAUGGGUCAGUCCUUUGAGAGUCCAUUAAGCGUAACGGUUGCUGCUGGAGGCCAAGGUUUGCCAACCCUUCUGAAGCUGAUGAAUGUAAUGACAGGAAAGAAGCAGGAAUGGCAGUCAAUGAAACAGUUACCUGUUCCAGUGGAUUUGGAUAGAGAAUUCCAGUUCCAUUCUGUCUUUGUGUGCCCUGUGAGUCGAGACCAGGCAAGCGAAGAGAAUCCACCCAUGCUUUUGUCGUGCGGGCACGUGCUCUGCAAGCAGUCUAUAACUAAGUUGUCAAAGAAUAACAGUACUAGACCUUUCAAGUGUCCUUACUGCCCCUCUGAGGUUGAGGUAGGUCAAUGCAGGCAGCUGUAUUUCUGAUGUUUACUCCCGACGCAUAACCCUGUUGUUCUAAAAUCCUUCUUUGGUCAUCCUUUUUUUGUUUCACAUGAACUAAAUGUUUUAAUGGCUGUAGCGACACUGGACUCUCGGUAGUAUAGGGUUUGUGUGGCAGGGUGGUUAAAGCGGGUUUCUUCUGGCGGUAUACUGUUGGGCUGGAACGGGUGUAAAUAGAUAGAUAUUCUUUGCACAUUCAUUAUUAUCAGUAAGAAGGCCUACCUUGAUACUAGUAUUUUAACGUUGCCUGAACCGUCUCACUCGCACCAAAUAUUGGUUGGUGGUUGCUAAUAAAUUUUGAAGGCGGAAUCGGACCUGCCUUGUCUUUCCAUCUAAAUCUCUAGUUAGUAGAUCCGUAUCCUGAACAAUGAUUUGAUUUCUGAGGAAUUUCCCCUCCAUAAUCCAAGGGAGGGGCCGGGAUUUGAUAUUGGGGCCUUGUUUAAUCCUCCUUAGUUAAUGGAGACUGAAGCCGCUUUACCACGUCAAAAGCCUUGCACUAGUCUAAUCUUUAAAACGCCCUCCCCGUAGGGUAUUCAAGAAAAUCUUUUAACAGUUUCCUUCUCUCUCAAAGAUGGAGAUAAUAUUAAUACCCCCAGUGGCGUAUAAAUACAAUAACGAUGGACCAGUCCAUCCAUGAUUGUGUUCUACUUUUAAGAACAUCUAUCAACUGGGAUACCAAAAGCAAAAGUGUCGUCUUUGGAUGACAUUGAAUAGGUUUUACCACCGGCUUUGUCAUAUGUCUUCGCUGCCGAAGCUAUCAUGUCAAGAUGGCAACAAUACCAUAAAAUUUACCCCAAAGUGAUCGUCGGGAAUUCUAAUUGGCGUUCUCUGCAUCUAGAAGUUAUCAUCAAAGAGAUAAAAGGUUGCUAGUCUUCAGCAGCUGUUGCACUUGAAAGGCUUUAAAGGUGCGAGAUUCGAGGAAAUCAUCCAACACAACACCGCCAUAAACACAUAAAGCCAAGUUAACUCGUCCUGGUCCUUUACUGGAUUGGAUACAUGAGAAAAGCUUUCUUCAAAUUUCCCACUUUAUUAAUGCAUUGGUUUCUUCUCCAAAACUUUUUUGAUGCCUUCCACGCAGAUGCUGCAGCAAGCUUUCACUUGAAAAAGCUUGCACUCUUUUUACCUUAAUUUUCACAAACGUGUAGCUAAAGUCAUGCUAACGUGGAACUUCUAAAUGCAGAAAAAGCAUCACAUUUCUUCCAAGUUUCCCUAGGGAUUGUAAAUAGAAGAGUAAUUUACAGUAGAACUAAAUGGAACUAAUCAUUUCCAUUUCGGUGGGUUUCCAACUCUUCUUGGUGUCGAUGAUUCAUUUGGUAUGACAUGGCCUGGGUAGAUCGCCGUGUCUCACUUUUUUUCCUUCUAUCUACUCGAAAAUGAAUAUUUUUUCUCCUCGUAUUCGAAAAAUGACUAGAAUAUUAGUAAUGUCUCGUCUGGACUGUGAUUACAUUUUUCAAUCAUCUUUAUAAUUCUCAUAUAUCAAAUCGUUACAAUACCUUUUUUUAAAAAAAAAAAAUAAAUAAAUAAAUGCUCCUAAAAAUAGCAAUUCAAACGGAAUCAAGUUUUAUUCAAGUGCGACGACAACAUUAGUAAUGGUAGUUUGCCCGCUGAGGAUGACAUUGCUUGUUGAGAUGAGUUUGCACGUCUCUUCCCAUUCAUUUGAUUAAUUUCACAAUCCCACAAGAAACAGCCUGUUGUGACAUUAAUCUUUUAAAGAGUAAAAAUGAAGAAUAUGCGUAACCGGAGAGGCUAUAAAUAAUAAAAUUGUGUUCUAGAAAGAAAAAGACGAUCAUAAUAUGCUUUUACUUUUUGCUGCUUCGCACGCUUGCUCUGGUCCGGACGGUUUGGGGUUCUUAUACUUCGGCAGCUGCUGUAGAAGCAGCUUGAACAAUUUUCUCUCCAAAACAAAGAAGAGAAUUACACCAAUUCAACAAGUCUGAUCCAAUUUACACAGAGGUACACGAGACAGCAGGAUAGUACAUGAAAAAUGUAUAUAUAUUUAUUAUUAAGCGGUAGUUGUGAUCUCUUGAGUAAUACUUUUUCUGUGGGUCCCACAGCAGCGAGCCACUAUAUUAUUAUUAUAAUCUUUACGUCAAAGUAAAAAAGAAUGGAAAGAAAACAAUGGUAGGGAAUCAGCCUAGUCUCCCAUAGGAUACUCAUUUAUCAGCUCUGCAGUGGCAGUCAGAAGUACGCAUAAAAACCAUGCAAUGGCAGGGAAUCACGAAACCUUACUUUAUUAUAGAUCUAAGAUUGAAAAAUAGAACUAAAAUUGUCCAUUUUCAUGAGCCAUGGCAUCGCGAAAUUUAUCAAUUAGUAUUGGGCAACGUCUUGUCCAACAGCAAACUGUUGGCUUAUGCGAAUCCCUGGAAUUGGAUACAGAUAAAAGCUCUAUUUCACCACAAAACAAAAAAAAAACACCAAAGCGCGCCCUCUAAUUCCUGACCAUCCGAUGAUCAGAUCAACAUACAAACAAUAAUAAUCAGAGAAAAGCAUUAAUCAUAUCCUAAAUAGUAGAGGAGAGCAACGAAGAUACCUUCCCCUCGGGGCCACACAGAAAUCAAUCAUCGCUCAUUAAAAACUUUUAUUUCUGUUCAUUUCCAUUAGGAACCCACUCAUUCAUUCAUUCUCUACAUCGCAAUUGUUGUAUCACUACACUAUAUAAUUCAGACCAAUAAUAAUAAUUAAAAGAAAAGGAUAGCAGUACUGUACGACCCCAAAAAAAAAAUAAAAAUGGGAGAGCGAGAGACUUAAAAUUACCAAUAAAGACAAAAGUAGCAGAUAGGCCUUCCCCCCCCCCCUCUCGAUUUCGCCUUUCAAUCAAUCAGUACAAUGUGGGGUUCCCUCUCCUUUCAGCUCUCACCGUCCGCUGCAGAAAGCGCCGAUCCGUCGGGUACUCCCUCCUUGUCCCUAUCUUACUUCCUGGGUCCCCCCUCCUAUUUUAAUUCCUUCUUCUUUUUUUUUCCCCCUUCCUUGCUAUAAUGUCCAACAAAACUACUUGUACAUACACGGCACGGCAGUACUCACUCCUAUUUUUCAUUUUAAAAUUUACCAACUAAUUAAAACAAAAUUAAAAUCUGGCAUUCUCAAAGCCGUGCAAGUCGCUGACCCUAUUCAUAGAUUUCCUCAUAAUUGCGACUUUAGCCAGCCUCUCCGCCGCUCUCCAAGCCGAUGUCGGCGUGAGCGGCUCGCUUGAUUUCUCAUCCAAUCUGAUGCUACCGCCGCUGCUGGCGCCGGUAGGAUGCCUUCUUUCCACGUUUCGUCUCCUUGGAAUCUGCUGCACCGGAUUUUGUCUCCUCCAAUGCAACUCCGACAGCUCAGCUUCCAAGCCGCUCACGUACUCCUCGCCCCACUCGCUACUACUGCUGGCUUGCAGUACCAGAGAUCGAGCCGAUGUCAGCAGCUGAUGGGCUCCGGCUAAAUCAUUUCUCUCGACUAAUCUCCUAGACUCAGCCACAGCUCGCGUCGCAACAAACAGGCUUCUCAACCGUUCGAUGCCGCUGGGCGUGGAUGAUCGGAGGGCCUGAGGACGUGGGACCAACAGCGCCUGUUCUUUACCUUGGAUUAGCACCUGGGUUGACGGGUCUUUGUAUGAGCAUCGAACGGACAACGCGUGGUGGGCCCCAGCCGAACUCAUCGACGGGACUUUUAAUUCCACCAACAGUUCUCUCUCUUCCUCAGCGAACAACUCGCCCAGUCGGACCAAACCCGAACCGAGGGCCAUGGCCCGACCCCCGAACGAGUAGACUCCCGCGACCUGGCCGUGACCCGACCCGGAAAUAAAUCCUAAAUGGACCCUCAGGUCCUGCACCACCACGCUCAGCAGUCCUCCAACGCAUUUGGCCAAGGAGUCGUCCGGCGGCGCCCCGUGUCCGUACGCCCCGCAGUGCCUCAGUCCGACUGACAGUACCGGAACUUCGUAAUGGGUGACGCGCGUGGUGCACACGACUGACGACUGCCGCCUUUGAUUGGCUGACCGAUCCUCAAUCGCGUCGGACAAGAGUAUAAUGCUGGCGACGGGGUUUUUUUCCCGGCGGUCCUCCAGAACCUUGGCGGCUUUCUUAAUCGCGUCAUUGGCACUCGCGGGUGCUGUUCCAUCCAAAGAUACUAUGGAGUCCACUAUCCUGCGGGCGGACCGCCGCCCCGCCGCCGUCAUCCUCCUCAGCGGCAGCAGCCGUUUGGAAGUAGAUGAGAACGCCACAAUGGAGAGCCUAUCGGCAGGCGAAAGCGAGGACACCACCAAUCUCAGAGCUCGUUUCAUCAUCUGAAGCUUUUCGUUGGUCAGCUUCCGGCUCACAUCCAGCACCAUUACCAAGUCAAUCGGAGCUCUCCUCGCCGCGUUCGUCGGAGCCGGUGGAGCUCUUAUUUUUAGCACAACCACGAAAGUCUGGCUACUCCGGCCAAUGGAGAUCACGGCAGCCUCUGGCGAUAUCUUCGUUUCGACAUUUCCCAAGGCAGAAGCGGUGCUCUUCUGAAAAGGACUCGUUGUAGUAGGAUAAAAUCCUUGAAAUUCUUCUGUAAUAUUAUCACUAUCUUCUUCACCAUUCUCAUCGGACUCGGGUAUCGGGUUGAACCGAGCUCCACAUGUUGGCGACAUCAGCGGCUCGUCGUCAUUGUACACCUUCAAAACAGGUUGCUUACAACUAUUAGACGAGGGAGGAGGCGGCGGCGGCGUUUUGGGAGAUGACGGAAAUUCCAUCCUUUUCUCUUGUUUGUCUAACCUGCUGUGAUGACUGCUGCUGCUGCCGCUGACAUUGUGGAUUGAUAGUAAGGGCAUUUCGGUCCAUGUAGAGUUGCAAACCGGGCACGCGAGAAUCCCUUGCUUUCUCACGUGACCGGCGACGCAUGGAAAAUGAAAGCUGUGGCUGCACUCCGCCGUGAAUAUGGCCAUCCCUUGCCCGCUUUUUAUGCUGUGUAAACAUAUUCCACACCUUGUCUGCAAGGAAGAAGAGAACAAAAUAUUUAAACAAAUUAGAAUAUGUUUUUUUUGUAAGUUUUUGUUUUUUCUCUAAAGAUAAUAAAGACAAAAAAGAAUUGAUGGUUUACCUUGGAGGAUAUGCGAAGGGUGGAUUUAAGAAGAGAAAGAGUGGAAGGGGAGCGAGGAGAGGAUGGGGUGGAGGAGCGUAGUUGGAAAAAUCUGGGGCUGUUUUUGGCCGUCUUGCAUUGGCGCUUUGGACUUUCAGGCGGUUGUAAUGGUGGUGUGGAUGGAGUACUGGUUGCCCUGGUGGUGGGGGUGGUUCGACAUCGAAGUCUCGGGCUAGAAACAGGCUGAGAUUGUAACCGAGGAGUGGAAGGAAUGGAGAAGAAGCUUAACUUGGAGCUAAGCUUAGGAGUGGUAGGAUUGCUUUGAUGGGCGUCGUGACUAAUUUUGUCUUGCCUGCCGCCGUUGCUGGUGGAGCUGCUGCUAUGGAUGCUGGAGUCUCGAUCCCUAGAGAUCGACGUACAGAAGGCUUUUCGCCAUCCCAAUACCAUUGUGAGUUUUCUGAGCUCCUUCCACCGCAACCGAUCCCGUCCUUGUUUUCCCUUGUCUCGUUUUCUGGGUUUUAUACUGCUAUCUCUAUGUUGUCGUUGUUUAGUUGUUUGAUGUGGUUAUCUUGUAGUGGUUGACGAUGAUGAUGAUUCUGAUGAAGAAAGAAAAGAGCAGAAAAGAAAGAAAGAAAGAAAUUCGUGGUGUAUUAUGGCAUUGGGUUUGGUACUGGAGAAGACGAAUGCGAAUGAUAAUUAAUGGGAAUAGAUAGACAGGCCUACCACUAGCAGAGAAAAAGGGGGAAAUUUUUGAUAGAAUUGACUAAUAAGACAAAAUAUAUUAGCAGUAGUACCAAUAUAGUGGUAAUGCCAAGCGGAAGAAAGUUGACCACCCUUUUUUUUUAAAAAAAAUAAAAAAUAAAAUCUCCUGCCCUCUUCUCCUUGCUUUUACGCUUGUAUGCAAAGUCUAUUCGGUUUUUUUUUUUCUCUCUCUCUAUAGAGUAUAGAACCCUUAAAAAGAUCAGAGCACAAAAGUUAUAGUAUAGUAAACCAGUCGGUAUGAGAUAUCUGCGAGGUCUCGCUUGAUGCCCCACUCUUAUUUCAUUUGAUGAUGAAAAGCCUUUUUCCAAGGUGAAACAGUAAUGUUCAAAUGGAGGCUGUGGGUUUCGUUCUUAAUUUCUUCACCUAGUGACUGCCAAGUGGUGAUUUGUUUUCUAAACCAAGUUUUGGAAGUCAACGGGGUCGGCUCUAGGCUCUGUCCACUGUCUCCUUCUAUUUCCAUACUUCGAUGCAGUAAAUUGCCACCAUAUGAACGCUGGACACCGACCCUCCUGCCUCCUGAGCCCUGCCUGCCGCCCGCCAUGCGAGAUUCUCUGUCCGGCAGUAUUAGGAAGCCCCCAAGUAUGGAGGACUAAGAAGAGGGGGAUUAAUUAGCACUUUCGCCUUACGCUCCUUUCCCAUAAACUAUCAUUACUUUGUUAAUAGAGUAGUACUACUAGUAAGUAAGCUGUUACUCCAUGUCUACAAUUCCCAACUUUGCAAUAGGUUUACUCAAGCCACGUAGUCUACUGACAUGCUUAUAGUUUAACUUUUAAAAAAAUUUGUGCCCAUUGGCUGUUUCUUGCUUGUUGAGCAUUGUAGUUUGUUCCCUCUUGCUGGUCAAUUAAACAACGGGAUUAAGGCUACCUAAGCUGCUCUCUUCAUUAAAUUAAUUAAUCCCCUCCCCCCUCAGAGCUCUCUAUUUUCAAUCUCAUUCAACUACUAGAGCAACGUCAAGGUUGAGUCUUGGGGGGGAGAAUUAAUGGAGUAAGAUGAGCUAAAUCAUACGUGAAUAUGAAGGUGUGGCUUUUGCGAGGCCUGUGCUGAACCAUUUGUAUACGAAAAAUAAAAUAAGAUAUGCAUUCCCUACAACACCAUAGGCAAGAUAUUUAUGAGUAGCAUUUAAUACAUGGGAAUGCGAUUUACUGAAACAAACGUGGAAGAAGACUCUCUAUUUCUUGAUUGUGACACAAAGGAAUGGGAUAUCUUCCUCAAUAGUAAACAAAGUUUGGAAUGACAAAUUAAACCACCCUAUCCUCCUAUUCUGAUUUCUCUGAGAGAGGUAGCAAUUUGGAGGUGGAAUCGUGGAAGUAAAUGAUAAAAUGGGCUAGACGAUGAUGAUUCAUGAUAGCCAGCUUUAAUUCAAUAGUGAGAACAUGGAAGCAGACAGUUACAACUCUGCAGCUCUCCUCUAACUGAUACUACAAAUUAUCCCUUUACAAAUUGCUUUCUGUAUGGGACACGCCCGCCCUGUUUUAACUUUCAUGCAAGGACAAAUCCUUAGCGUAGAUGGGAUUUUCCUGUUAGGGCGUGACCUUUUUUGGCUGAUAGCACAGUGAAGGAAGGCAAGCGAUGGGAUGGUGGGCAUAAUAAUGAAUGAUGAUGAUCAAUAAUUCUAAAAUGUACUCUUCUCGCGAGUCCGUUUCAAUAAAUGUUAAGCUGUCAAUGCCAACGAAUCAAAUCGGAAUCAUUAUGAAAUAUCUCUUCUGCCGUUUCUGCACACAAAAUCAUUAAUGAAAAAGAGGGGAGGCGCAGUUUGACACAGCCCAUAUCUCUUGGGUUGGGUGUAAAUAUAAUUUGAGUCCGCAGUAUUAUGAUUAAGUGGCCGACGGAGCAGGCAGGCAUACAUUUCUGUGAAGCGUCAACGUACUCGCCGGAGUACUUUAACAAUGGCAUACUGUGGGUACUUAACCCCUCUACUUAUCAAAGGGUGGUUGUGCUGCACUUUACUUUAGUCGCAGGAUUUAACGGACCAUGUUAAGUCAGACAGGUGAUUGACGUUUUGUUGAGCAUUCCCGUUCUUAACUGCUCCAUGAUCAUUUGUGGCAACUCUCGUUUGCCCUUUCAUGUACCAUGUCGUAGUUUGAUGCUACAAAUUUGUCAUCAUCGCAAGGUUAAAGACACAAAUGAUUUCACUUGAAUUAUUAUUAUUAUUGAUUUGUGAUAUGAUGUAUGUGAAAUAUAAAUAUAUAAUUAAGAAUACGAAAUGGUGAUUUGAAAGCAAAAUGCUUAGAGUAAUAUUUUGAGAACUUCUGUAUCCAAACACACUAAGCUAACUAGAUAGAUGAUACUACGGUACUUAUCAUCUACGUAAGUUCAUCUGAACAAUGAUGAACAAAAUUUUCCUCAACAGGGAGAUUAAGAGUAAAAGGAUUGAUGGCUUAUGAUGAUGGGAAGGUGGAGGGACCUCUAAGCUAAGCUCGCUUAGGAUCCCAAUCAGAAGUGCUGAAAGAUCGUCCAAACACAUACUUGGCUAAAUUGGCUUUAUUAGAACCAAAAGUAGCAGCAGUACUACUAGUAAUGCUGGGACAAAACAUAUAUUUUUGGUGGCUGGUGGUGGGUAAGAGUACAAGCAGGGUACCAAGUAGUAAUGGAUAGUAAAUAGUAACGGAUAUUAUUGCCUUUUGGGCAAGACCGUGAGACGGACGACAAGAGUACCAAGCAGCAAUAGUAUGAGAAAUCACGGAAUACUUCUUGCACCUUGAUUUUUACGAUGUAUGUGAAACUCAUAAAAUAUUAUUCUAAAAUUACAUGUUACACAACUAAAGUUAUAUCGUGUGUAAAUAAAAUUACGCGACUAACAAAAUAAAACCGUUCCCGCCCGGUUCCGAGAAAUCACUCGCAAAUAGGGCUGCAAACGAGUCGAGCCGAGUCGAGUUUUGAGCUAAUCGAGUCGAAUCUCGACUAAAUUUUACCAAGCUCGAGUUCGAAAAAAAAAUAAAAAAUAAUUAUUUUAUUUUUUAAAAAAUAAUAAAAUAAUAUUUUUUCUUAAUAAAUAAUAAAAUAUUAAGGAUAUAUACGUAAUUUUACUAUGAAAAUAAAAAAUAAAAAAAUAUAUAUAAUAUACGUAAUUUUAUUAUUAAAUAAAAAUAAAAAUAUAUAUAUAUAUCCAAGCUCGCGAGCUAUAAGCUGCUCGCGAGCUAACGAGCUUAAUAUUCUGAACUCGAGUUUGAACUCGAGUUUGACUCGAGUCGGCUCGAACUCGAUUAAUAUCAAACUCGACUCAAGCUUGUUUCGAACCGCUCGCGAACGGCUCGAUUCGUUUGCAACUCUACUCGCAAAGCGGCAUCACUCACGGACUCGGGUGAAGUCCCAAAGUGAUUUGACAAAGUCGCAGCGUCGUCUCGUCUGCAGUCACGUACAUUACGUACUCUACCAGUUUUCUCCGUCUAAUUUUUGGUUUUUCCUUCUCAAUUUCUCCCCCUCACUGUCACCGGAGUCAUGGCCCAAGCCAAAAGCCAAAAGGUCUAAAUCCUUUGACGCCGUUUGAUUCUCUUAACACGCUUUUUUUGGCUCAUGGGAAAUCGCAAACUCGGAAGUCCAACAUCCAUCCAUCCAUCUCCAUCCCCACGAGUGCACGGUCAACGUUGUAUCCGCACCGUUGAGGUUACCAGUAACGUAACUACUCCUAUAUACUACUACUAAGAUUUACUAGUGCUGCUGCUACUCAAACCAGUGCUAAUUAAUUCCUGCUACUCUUUCACCCAAAGAGAUUAGUAUAAUCCACCGUCCCCCCCCCCCCCUUUUUUUUUUUUUUUGGUUUUGGCUAAAAGCCAGUAGUAUUGCUCUAUUGAUUUAUGAUGAAAUUUUAGUAGUCAUUAUUACACUACCAAAAAGACCAAAAAAAAAAAAAAAAAACUUUAGGAGCAAGGCUAGGGCUACCGGUUUUUGAGGUGGGCCCAUGAAGAAUUUCUCGUUCUUGAUUCUUAGAAAAAUUUUUAGGGUUUUGUUGAUUCUGUAGUGAGUGUGACAUUGAUGAGUUUUCGGUUGGACUGCUUUCCUAAUCCCAAAAUCAAUCAAAGUAGUAAUAGAGACAGUACAGCACUGCCACUAACGAAUGGAGUACUGCUUACUACUAGUAUUAGUGAAGGCAUGUGGUAAGCCACGUGAUCGGUUUUGUAGCCUUGUCUUCAUCACUUCAUCUGCCGCUUGCUAGAGCGAGCUUCCGGGAAGUUUUAUAGUACAUCAUUCAUGCUACAGACCGCUCGAAUCCUAAUGAUCGAUCACACCCCAUAUCCUUCAUGUAAAUAAAAUCGAAGGAUGCUUCAUUAGCAUGAUUGAUUGAUUGUUAGUACUCACAUCCUUGACUAAAAAAUUGGACAACCACAUGGAUUUGUCUCCUACAAAUGAACAUAUAUAUCUAUACAAAUAAACAAUUCAAUGUAUAUAGGCAAGUUUUUUUUUUUUUUUUUUAAACAUUUUUAAGAGUCAAACGAAAUGCAGGUACUAACUAAGCUCCUUGCUAUCAUCUGCAUUCAUGGUGAGGUUGGUAGCGGUAUGAAACACUAAUCACGAAAAAUUAGCACCAGAAAGUUCCACCAUUAUUCCCUUCCUGUUCUUCUUCUGUGUGCCCUUUUUGUGUGCUUAGCUAUUCAAAAUUUUGGGGUCAGGGUCAGAGUCGGACACAGAUACAUGGUACGUAUGGAUGAGAAAAGAUGGAAAAGUAUAUAUGAUUGGUCAGGCAAAAAUAUAAAUGGAAAGAAAAAAAAAAAAAAAAGUCCAUCAUCUAUCUAUGAGGCAAACAAAUAUGUACUAGUAGCCAUCUUUGGGUUGGUGCUGGCCAAGUAUUUCAUUAUUGAGGCACAUGCCAUGGACUCCUUUUAACUGCUAGAAUCCUCACCAACAAACCCCAUCCUAAUUGAAUGAAUAGUACUGGUACCAUAAUUGCAUCCUUAUUUAUUACUAUACAUAUAAAAUGAGCAUCUUGAUACCAAGCUGGGGGGACGGACGGAUGCUUCUUUCUAUGAAUUCCACACAAUUUAAGAGCGUCUCGUAUCCUCCUUCACCACAAAUGAUAAGUCCUCAAAUGUGGAAGGAAAAAGCGAUGUAAAAGUGCAAAACAAGGAAUGAAUGAGGCAUCUCUGGCCGUGUUAAAUGAUAACAAACUCCAAAAGCAGAACAUUGAACUUGGAUGUUCACGAUAAAUUAAUAUGCAUAUGUAUACCUAUUUAUGUAUUUAAUUUAAACUGCAUUCCUGCACUUUUGAAAAAAAAAAAAAAAAAGUGUAGCUUUGAUGCAAGAGGAUUGGAGCAUUGGAGUGUCCCUAAUGAAAAGUUACAGAAGAAAAUAAAGGCAUACAUAAUAAUGCCUCCAAUUUCAGAACCAAAAUGAUUACGCCUCGAACGCUUUCUAUUAGAAUGUCCCUCUCAUCCAUUUUCGCUAUAUUUAUGCCUUAGGGGGAAGUUGGCAACAGAGAUGGCUCAUUCCACUCGGAUACAAAAUCUGCAGACGUACGUGCACAUUGUUUACUAUACACUACUAUUCUUAAGGAGUUACAAUUAAAGUCUCGCAAAUACCCAAACCCAGAGAAACUUCGUCUGUUUGAAGUGGGUUGUAAUCGAAUCCAAGCUGCUCUCGACAAGAGCAGCUGGGUCAAAAACUUGACUCAGAAUCGGGUUGAUCUAGUUCGAGUACUUCGAUAAGCCGAUCAAGUCGAAUUCGAGUAUCCAGAAGCAAUGUUCGAACGCUCGUCGAGUCUUAUCGAACUUUUUAAUUUUAAUUCUUUAAUAUAUUAUUAUUAUGAAAUUACCGUUGUGCCAAAAAAAAAGUGGUUGAAUUUAUGAAAUGUUUCAGGUCGUAUGAAAAUUUUUAAAGGGCAAUAAUGUCUUUUUGCUCAAAAUUGUUAAUAAAAUGAAAUUUUCUAACGCGAGCUCGAUAAGGCUCGCAUUGACUCGGACCCAUGUGAGUCGAGCUCGAGUUCUGUAUGCAAUGCAAUGAACUCGAGUUCCAAUAAUACUAUUCAUUCGAACUCGAGCUCGAGUAUCCUUCUUGCAUGUUGAGUCGAGCUCGAGUAUUGCAAUACUCGAUUCGAUUACAUCUGUAGUUUUAGACAUUGCAGAUAAAGGAUAUUUAUUACUGGCGUUAUAAUUAAGAAUAAAUAAUCAGAGUGUACAUUUGAUAAAACACAGAAAUGUCAAUGUGACAACGUGCCCACUUCAUUUAUCUGGAAGUGAUUAAUAAUUUCACGUCAGUUGUAUUUUCGUUAUGGCCAAGUUUCUCUAGGUGGAUGGUGGCCAAACAUGUUUAGCUGUAAUGAUGACAAGCUAUAUAUGGUAAUGUUCACUAAUAGUUAUUUGAAGCUUAAUACUACUAGCAAGUAUGAUUAUGAUGUUGAUCAGGAGGCGAAAAAACAUGAAUAAAGGAGAGGACAGCUAUCGUUUCAAAGGUCGAAAAAAUAUUCUUAGUACAAAACUUUGGAAUAUAUAUGUGUGUGUGUGUGUGGAUAGAUUUUGGCUAAAUCAUGGGGUCGGAUUGAUUCGAGGAGUCCAUCUCAAUUGGGAUCAAUCAUUUCUUGCUAACAAUGACUCCUAACGUUUCUCCAUUUGAAUCCAUGGCCAGCCAUAGAUGUACAGCAAUGUGGACCUCCGAGCUUCGCUUGCGCACGACCAUUCGGGUGGUAGGAGAAACGCAUCGUGAGUCCGUGGUGCAUGAGAAAACGAAAGGUUGGAACAGUAGAUUUUGAGCUAUUUAAUAUGGUCACACCACAAGAUUUUCAAGUGCAACAAUCGGUGCUGAACCAUGCAAUGUGGCAUGUUAGGGCACAUACAUACACACACACAUAUAUACUAUAUAGGAAGCAGCACUGUAAGCUAGUUGUAGGAAGAGGAGGGUGUUAUAUCGUUAUCCAUCAUUAAGGGCUAACCAGAUGGGGGACACAUUUUUGGUGCGACAUUUCCUCCUUGAUUUCAAAUCAUAUAUUGUAAACCUGACUCUUCAAUUCUAUAGUUUGCAACACAGAAAAAAAAAAUUGAAAUAUUCCCUGUGUUGAAAGAAAAAAAAAAGACGUAGAAUGUCGAUUACCAGUUUAUCAUAUGAUAUAUUAGCUGGUGAUCACCCUUUGUUUUUUGUAUUAAGAAAGCGUAAACAUCCGUUGUUAAUAUCCAACAUCUACCCUAAGUUUUACAAUGAUAGGAAUGAAAUCCAUUUUAGGUUUUCUAAAGAUGGUGAAUUUGAGGUCCACUCAUGUACAAAUUAUGACAUUAAACAGAGUAAUUACAAAUCCUAUCACAGCAACAAAAGUGUAACUUAGUUAAAAUGCUAUUUUGCUUGUGACCAAAAGGUUCAUAUUCUGAGUUAACAGAUGAAAUUUUACUAUUACACCUAUCCUAGAAUAAAUAAUAAAUAAAUAAAAAAAAGUUGUGACCUACCUACCGAGUGUAUAUGCUCCUCUGCUCGUCCAUGGUGCUGAUAAGAUAUGGAAUCAUUAAAAACAACUCUUAAAAGUUCGGAUGAUAGCCGGCAACUUCUGUCAUGAAUGAGUCGCACCACUGCUAAGUUGACAAGGGACGAAGAGCAGGGAAAUCUGGAACAUGCCAAAUUACUACUAAUCGUGAGGCUUAUUAGGUAGUUCUCUUUUGCAACAAAAACUUGUGAGGCUAUGGAAAUUCAAGGGGACAAUCAUGGGUUGAAGAAUCAUUUUAUUAUGUACUGUGUUCCUCAAGUGGUUCAAUUCUUUUGCUAGAAAAGAUUACGAUCUUGACUCUUGCUGGAAGAUAAGAUCGGCUUUUGGCCAUGUGAAAGUGCAACCGCAACUAAUUGAAAGCGGAAUCACUUCAUCAGCGAAGCUUUUCUUCCAACUUAAUCAUCGCGUUGCUUCCACUAAACACCUCCCAGCUUUCUUUCACUAAUUGAUCCAUCAUUGUACCUUGAUUUCUCACUGGAUAAUCCAACUUCGUAAUCAUGAACAUUAUAUUUUCUGGGAGGGCAAAAAAAAAAAAAAAAAAACUCAAGGAUGAUGAGGAAGAGGCCGCCCGCCGUCCAUUAACCACCACAAAUAAAAAGUAAAUAUUGCACCAACAGAUUUUUAAUUCCAUUUGCCCACGCCAUCAACCUCCUAAUCCAAAUUAGCGCCAAAGGGCUCUGAAGUUUUGAUUUGGUGCCGCUAAUUUCGAAUUGUAGUGCCACACGACAGCUUUAAUUUUGUCAAAGAUAUUACUUUAGGAGACUGCCGAUUGAAAAGGGUUUUGGAUUCCUUUGACAAAGACAGCACUGAGAUGCUAUUCAACCUUUAUAUGAUUGAUUUAUCUUUAAGGACUGAAUUAGGAAGCGAAUAGCUCCAAUCAACAAGGUUUUUGUACUUAAUGUUGUUGGUAAUGAUUAGGCAUCGCACUAAUUUCCGAAUGAUUAGAAGCCAGAAUAGUCUGCCAGUCCCACUAAUGAGAGAUGCUACCAUAACAUAAUAAAAGCUGACAACUGCAAAAUCCUAGAUUAUGGGGAUGACAAAGCUCAACCAGUUUUUAUGACUCAAUCUUGCAAUUUUAAAGUCAAAUGGUUACAUUAUCAAGAUCUUGUAGCGAAAUACGCACUGGAGUUGUUGAGUUUCUUUCUCGAUAGAUCCGAAUUCUUUGCUUCUGAUACACAUUUCAUAUUGCUCUAUACCAUUAAAAGGGCAGGAGGAAAAAAGAAAAGAAAAGAAAAGGGGUAUUGGUACACAAUCCUGGAGGGUCGGCAGACAAAUUUGAAUUAUUGACCCACUUAGUUAGGGAACUCAACUUUCUUCUGCCUCGAAACACAGAAAGUUGGUUAAUCCGAAGUCAACUAAUCAGGAUUUGCAGAAGCCUUUGGAGUUUUCAUGAUAUCACAGAAUCCCAACUUUUAUUUUCUUUGCAUUGUUUAUGAUGUCGGUGCUGCUACAGAUACUAAAUUAUUUAACAGCCAUAUUUGAGAGGUUAAAAUAAAAGAGAGGAAACUACGCUCUAGGCUAAGUUUUUAUCCCCGACUAAGAGUCGAACUCUGCGGACGCUCCCCGAGUCGAAUUCGGAUUAGUCUCGCUAAGGGUGGGUGGGGACACCGGGUGCUCAAAGCCAAAAAGAAAAGAGAGGAAGCUAACCGCUGUAUCCUUGCAAUAAGGAGACUCUGGCUCAUCAUGCAGCAGGGCAUUAUAUGGCGCUUUUAUGCGGGAUUUCGGCCACAAGCAAAUUAGUAGUAUCUGUAUUCAGGGAGUAAAAGGUGCAAGAAGACGGCAUCAAUUCCACCAAAACUUCUUAAAGCUUUUAUUAAAUGACAUAAUCUAGUCAAAUGCCAAAGAUAUCUAUCCAUAAGAACCCCCGAGAUUUCUAAGAGGUGAGGCAGAAUACACGAAAGAAGCUCCUCAAUGCAUUGGCUAUCAGAGUUUGCAUCUUUUGUUAGGAUUGUUUAGUGCCUAUUUAUACGGGAUCAGCUAUUAAUGUCGACUAGUAGCUAUUACUCUUCCGGUUGAGCUACAGAUUCAAAUUAAUGCAUAUUAAUCUGUCUGAUUACCACUUUCUUAUGCUACAUGGAUCAACUAAAAGUUGAUGGCUGCUAUUUUGAUUGGACAGCCAAGAUGAGAUGCCGUGCACAACCAGUUCGCUACUUCAAUACAUAGCCAAGUGAAAACACAAAUGCUUGCUUAGCUUUAAUUUGUUCAAAUUGCAAACAAACGCCUUCAAAACACUUGGUUGCUCUUAGUAAAAUCUAGAAGCAUGAACUCGUGCAUUUGAGAUUUUUUGGGACGCGUAGCAGAGAUUUAAGGAGCAUUGCAUGUAAAUCCCAUUCUCAGUAGCAGAACGUAGGAAUUUACAACAUUGUCAAGGGUUGUAGGACUUAAAAAGAAAUACAGUACCAUAGAAUCGCAAUCGAAGCAACUAAAGUUGAGCCAUCAAAGACGAAAAACUAGGAGAAAAAACUUCUUAACGCAGAACAUUUAGAUUAGGAGAGAGAGAGAGAGAGAUAAAAGAAUAACAUAGAAGAAAGCUUGUGCAGCUGAAUUAGCACAUCCACAACGAUACAAGCAGCAAGUAAAAAUAAUGUGUUCAAGUCUGGACAAGUUUUUCAAUCACACAUAAACUUGGCAGUUCAAGCUACUUCAUUUUUGACGUCGAAAUAUCCAACUCCACAGUUAUUGGAAUACAUACUAUUGCAUUUAAAAAGCUUUUCAAGGACAGAGAUUCACUUUAACUU
rnacentral:lncRNA from 1 species